GAUGGCGGUAGAGACACAUUCUUGGCAGCUACUAUUUGAAACAUCACCCCUGCAGAGAAACAGCCCGUAGACCACGUCAGAGUUUCUGCCAGAGGUUGUGCUGUAGAAUCGAUUGUCACGGGUGGCGUUGGAGGAUAGAGAGGAGAGCAGGUGAUUGAGAUCGGCUUGGUAAGUACCGUUUGUGGGAAAAGUGGUCGUGUUCGAACAACUAUGGUAGAGGUAAGUUUGUUGCGCUUCAAUGGUAAAGCUAAGCAAGGAGAGGAACAACAGAGUUCUGAAGGACUUGUAGACAAACAUUUUUUCUGUUUCUUUUUUCCUCGGACCGUAACAGAGAUGAGUUUCUCAAUAUGGGGUUUCCACCGGCACUAAAAGACUUGUACUUCAAGACGCCAACAGUGAAAAACCAGGUGUAGCCAAUUUAAUGGGCCGUCUUAGGCAACCUUGAAAGAUGUAAAGACAUUUACGUGUCUUUGAUGGAUGGGAUGGGAGUUGGAGAUAAAUGUCAAGUGCCGGUUUCACAUUCAUGGUGCCUUAAAAUCGCAGGCGCACUGAUUGGAAGUUAGUGCUCCUGGUUGUAACAUACUUUUUUCAUUACAUUUAGAUUUCUUUGAUCCUCUGUCAAAUGUGUCCCUACCAUUCCAUUCAUCUAAAGGAGGUUUUUUUUUUUUUUUUUUCAAUACUAUUAUAUAAAAAUAUUUUAUGAUUUAUUUUCAAAGUUCUUUGAUCUUUUGGUCGAAUAAGUAUAGUUUAAUUUUAAUAAUAAACGCUUGAAUUAAUUCUUUGAAUAAAAACAGAUAUACUUCAAAAAAGAAAAUCACAUACAUCUAUAGCCAAAAUUUUUUUUUCUUUUGUAUAUUAUUGAUUUAUGUAGAUAUCUCCCAUUCUUUUGUUGAAAAGGUUUAAGUACAUUUUUCGGUGUCAUUCAGCCAAAAAAGGCUUAACAAGUGUUCAGAAGCUAGCAUCCUUAGAAUAGUGCAAUAAAGGGAGAUGCAACUACUAAUCAAUCACCGAGGUGAGAUAUUUGAAAUUGUAACCUCAUUAACAGAACAGAAUUUAUUAUUUGAAGAUGAUUGAAUUGGUUCUGCAACAACACGUCCAACAGAAAAUGCAGGUUCUGCUGGUAUAGGAGGUGUUAUGGUCUCGCUUGCCAACAUGACAAUCACAGAUGACAUGGUAGGUCUGUCUGCUGGGUCUUCUUGCACGCACAACAGCCCAAUAUGGAUGCAUUUAAGAACCUGAGUGGCCACACACGACUGAACAAGGAGCGGGUCUAUUAGCUCCAUCCCUUGACCCUUAGACCAUAGUUUCCAUGCCUGCAAUGUUACUUAAAAUUAGAAUGGUACAACACUACAGCCAUCUACAAAGAUAGGAUAAAAACGUACAAACGUUAGGAGGCUUUCACCAUGCUCCGAGAGAUGAAAGCCAUUGUUCCUUUUGCCACUUAUAAUCUCCAGUAAAAGGACUCCAAAACUGAAAACAUCGGAUUUGACUGAAAAAAGUCCUUCCAUAGCAUACUCUGGUGCCAUGUAUCCACUAUUUCAGUUCAUAAAAAUAGAUAAAAUCAGGCUAGAUUAUGGAAAUAUCAGAACCAAGAAUCUUUCAGUUUGAACAUUGUGCUGUCACAAAAUUGAAGGAUGAUUACAAAUUUUAGAUUAUAAAGAACAGCAAUGUUCCUCUGCGGAACAAACCACAGCAAAGACUGUGAUCUGAUGUACUGCUUUUCCAUUUUAUGAGUUCAAUGCUGAUUCUUUCUUUUCAAUAAAAUUUUAUUUGACACAGACGCAAUAUUAAAGAUCAAAAGAAAACUACUGAAGAACCUAGAUUGGUAAAAAAAAAAAAAAAGAACUGUGAGCCUAGAAGUGCAUGGAAUAGUGGACUUACUAUGUUCCAACCACUCUAUUUGUAUUUGCUUCAUUUUGAUUUCCACCAAAAAUUCUUGCCAUUCCAAAAUCUGAUAUCUUUGGGUUCAUCUCGUGAUCUAGCAAAACAUUGCUAGCUUUAAGAUCUCUAUGAAUAAUUCUAAGACGAGAAUCCUCAUGUAAAUACAGGAUGCCUCGGGCAAUGCCCUUAAUAAUGCCAAGACGCUUCUGCCAAUCCAGUUGCAAACCAAUGCUUGAAUCUGGAAAGGAACCCCCCAAAAGAAUAAUAGUAGUUAGUUGAUUUUUUAACAUAUUGCAUGAAGAAUCCUGUUAAAAAACAGAAUGAAACAAUAAUUUUUUGUUUGAGGAUCAAACCAAAGAGGAACACAUCAAGGCUUUUAUUGGGCAUGUAUUCAUAAACAAGCAGUUUUUCGUUCUGCUCCAAGCAGCAGCCCAGGAGUCUCACAAGAUUUCUAUGUUGUAGUCUGGCAAUUAACAUCACUUCAUUCUUGAACUCAAGUAACCCUUGCCCAGAAGUUCUAGCGAGCCUUUUAACUGCAAUUUCUUUUCCAUCUGCCAAUUUGCCCUAAAAGAAGGAAUUACAAAGCAUCAUAAAAGAACUAAUUAUGUGAAGUUGAAGAGGUGCAUCGUAUACUAAAAGUAUAACAUUCCAUCACCAUGGUCACCUUAUACACAGGGCCAAAUCCACCUUCUCCAAGUUUAUUUUCAUCACAAAAUUGUUUUGUCGCUGCUUGUAAAAUAUCUAACUGAAUCGAGGGAAACUCCUGAGAUCUCACCCCACUCUCACCUUGAAAAUUUUCAAUUGAGUAGUCAUCGCCAGAUCUUCCUCCUAAUUCAAGUAACUGAACUUCUUGGCUGUUAUGAUCUAUAUUCUCUUCAAGAAAAAAUGAAGUGGAUGUAAGAUCCAAUUUCAUACCUUGAAAUUUUCUCCUUCUCCAAAGGAAAAUACCUCCAGAACAGAACAGAGUGACGCCAAAAAUCGUGGAUAAACUUGCAACAAUAGGAACCCACUUUGAUUCGCCUUUUUUGACACCUUCUAAGUCUGUUACUGCAAAAGAAAGUUAUCUUUCACUUGAUUAUUAGUGGAAUAAAUUUCUAAUUUUUGUGUUCUUCUUGCUGUUUCUAUUUUACGGAUAUGAAUUCAUUUAUAAUUAGUUUCUGUAGCAGGUAUUUGUCCUACUUUCUUUUUUGAUGGAUGAAAAGUUCAGUAAUUAAAAAUUAGGCAAGCUAAAUUCUCUAGCAUCUGAUGAUACUAACCGUUUGAGCCACUGGUUUUGUUUACUGAAGGUUGGGGUGCUUUUGGUUCAACUCCAGGAUUCUUGAUAAUCGUAUUGUUUGGUGAUUCGUCUCGAGGUUUUCCAUAAAAUGGAUAUAUCUCAUACCUGAUGUUACAGCUUGGUCCUAACACUCUCGCACCUUGUUUUCCAAUUGCGAAAGAUGGGAUUACAGCAAUUGAGCUACGUAGACAAGAUUGACAGUCUGCAACUGACAAAUCACGGGUGCAUUGAGCAAGUCCAUACAGCUUCAUAGAAAUUGAAACAUUAACUUCUGUAGUUGCAUACAUGCGGUUAGAAGCAUUUGAAAGCUUCGUAAUCAGAUUGUUGUAAGUCUCGGCGAGAUUCUUUUCAAAUUUAUCAGGAUCCGUUACAUUUUUAAUAUUAUACAUACCAAUAGAAGGUGAUAGCUCCAUGAUAGAGAAGAAAGAUCUAUAGGAAUAGCGCAAAAGGCAUUCAUCAUACCAUAUGAUCGCUUCUUUGUCAUUAGCGCACUCCUCCAAGAUCUUAGCGGUUGCUGCGUCAAUGCAGCUUUGGCAGAUAUUGAGUUGAACAUCACCUCUACAGAGGAAAAGGCCAUAAACCUUGUCUUGAUUUUCCCCUUUUGUAUCGCUAAAGAAACCAUAAUUACUUCCUUGAUCAUAAAGCUGGCGGAUGAGAAGGCGCUGAAGGUUGUAAUCGAACUGGCUGGAACGAUUAUAUCUUCCCCGGCAACUUGCAGAGAGAUAAGUCGGCUGUAUUUCGGACAUGUUUUGUGAGAUAACAAGGAGCGGAGAAGAAAGAAAGAAGAGCAGGUAAAAUGCUCCUGAAACAGAAAGAACAACAUAAUAGUGCAUUUUCUUCCAAUGUUUUUCAAUAAUUCAGAAAUCUGAAUUUUAAGGCCAUAAUUUGUCCGGAAUGGGUUAUUAACUGAGACUUCUGACUCGUUCACUUCCACAACUCUUGUCUGCAGAAGAAAUUAUCCCCACAUUCUUUAACCUUUUUUGACCAAGCACGGCACAAACAUAAUCUGUACUGUUUCUCCAACACUAAAAAAAAUGUUAUUAAUUGUUUUGAUCAUCAUGAAAAUUUCUGAUUAAUUAUUUAUGUUAUGUCGUUACCAAGCUUUUACUUAGCUAAGGUAAUUAUUAUUAUCUAAGUUCUCUACUAUUUUUUAAGAUUUACCACUUUGUUAAAGCUUAGUUUAUUACAAUAGAAUAAUUGAAUAAAGGCUCUCAAUAAAUUAAUAAAAAUUUUAUUUGUGAAAUUGAUUAUAAUUUAAAAUUUGAUCAAAUGUAAAAGGUUAAAUAGUCUUCACCCUAUAAAAUAAUUUUAUUUUUUUUAUAAAACACAUAUAUGCUUUCAUUCUAUGUAUAUGAUUAAUGUUACUAUAAAUCAGUUUUGUGCAUAUAUUAUUAUGUAUUAAUUUAUUAUUAUACAAUAAUAUUGAUAUAAUUUUAAUACUUAUAUUUAUAAAAUAAGAGGACCUUUGCUUACGAAUUAAUAUGGUGGAGUGACAUAAUAUCAUUUUCGGAGGUGACGUCAUUACUCUUUCUAGAAGUGAUGUAUUGUCAAAACAGCUGGAGACUUAGCCACUAAGUACAGUCACUUAGACACGCCGUGUAAGACUUAAAUUAAGUAAUUUUAUUUCUAUAUUUGUAAAUUUUCCUUUAAAAAAAUUAUAAAAUAAAUUUUUAUUAUUGAAUUUUGCUAACAAAAAUCUUUAAAAAAACAUUUUAAAAUUAUUAUAUUAAAUAAUAUUUUCUUUCAAUAUAUUAAAAAUUGAUAUAUUAAUUGUCAAUUAUUCAUUAAACAAAAAUAUUAUCAUAAAUACAAUAUUAAUUAAUCUUAAAAAUUCGUUAACAAAACUUUUUAUUAUCAACUAUAUCACUUAUCGCCGGUAUCAACCCUUCCCCUAGAAAAAGAAAGCACUUAAACGUCUUGGAAAACCAGUAAACCAGUCACGACAUUGCAAUUUUCAACUUAAAUUGGGAUCAACAAGUAAAGUUUUUCAAAGAUAUAUUUAUUUUUUACAAAAUAUUAAAUUUUAUAUAUUUAUAUUAUAUUUUAUAUAAAAAUUAUAUAUCAUAAUUUAUAUCGAUAUAAAAAUAUAUAAUAUAUUUUUUAUUUUAUUAAAUUUAUAUAUAAUUAUUAUUAAAAUUUAAAAUUAUAUCAUUUUUAUUUUUAUAUUAUAUUUAUAUUUAUAUUAUAUUAUUAUAUUUUAAAUUAUUAAAUCUAAUUCUCCAACUCUAAUAGAUGACAUUCGAGGUAAAAGUCGAUUCAACGCAAAGUUAGAAUAUUAUUUGCUAACAAGAAGAAGCAAAUGCACCCCCCCACUGUGAUACUUGAGGUAGAAGUCGUUUCCAAGACGCAGUCGAAUAUUAUUUGCUAACAACAAGAAGCAAAUAGAAUAUUCAAGAGAAAGAAAAAAGAAGAGAAAAUCAUUGAAUUUACGUACAACUUUAGGCAAAUAAACAAAUGGGCGGCAAAGUUUAUCAAUAAUUGGAGUAGUUCCAGGAAGAUGCUUUUAGCCCUUUCACCGCUUUAAAGCCAGACGACGCUGGGAUACCUUGACCUGCCCAAAACAGAGAGUUCAAUGAUCAACGAACCGCAUUGGAUAGCUUGUUUUGUCUAAACUUGUCCUUAAAUAUUAGAAGUCCUAAUAAUGCUAAAAUAACAAAAAAAAAAAAAGGUCUCUUAAAUUUCAUAACUUUAAUUAAAUAAAUUUUUAUAUUUUUAUUAUAUUUAAAUAAAUAUUUAAUAUUUAAUUUGCACUCAUAUAAUCCUUUAACAUUUAAUUUGUAUGUAAAUAAAUUAUUAAACUUGUAAUUUCUACAUAAAUAAUUCUUUAUAAAUUAUUCUUUUAUUUGAAAUGAAAAUUUAUUUAGAUACAAAUCAAAUUAUAAAAAUUUAUUUAGAUAUAAUAAAAAUAUAAGAGUUUAUUUUAAAAUAAUAAAAUAAUUCAAAGAUUUUUUUUAAUAUUUUAACUGACUAAUAAUUAUGCUUUGCAUACAUACAUGUGAGACAAUUAUUAAAAUCUGGUAAAUUGAAAGGGUGUAAAUAUUAGAUGGCCUGUUAACAGAACAAUGUCAUCAAUAUGAACAAAAAGGAAUAGAAAUUUUGAACAUUGAACUUUUAUCAUAUCAAAAAUAAUUUAGAGUAGUUAAAUUAAAUUCAUCAAUUUUUUUUACUCGGCCAAAUGUAUUCAACGGGCUGAGAUAUUAGAUAUUGUCAUCAGAUAUAUUAAUGAAUCUAUUGUAGAAAGGCUGAUCAACAAUAAUAACUCUGCCAACAGGCAAAAGCAGGUCUUUUGCCUCAGGAAGAGCAAAUAAGGGUCCACUGGUCCCAGUUGUUUUCCUUCUUUCCAUAGUCCCCAGGCCUGCCAAUGAAUUCACAUAUAUCAAAUUUUUGACAGAAUACAAUAUUGCAAUGGUGGGAAGGACACUUCAAUUUUGAUGACAAAUUACAGGUAUACCUACAUGUGCACGAAGUGUCGGGGCAUGUUCCGUUUGGUAAAAGUCACUAUUUUUUUCCCCCAGCAAUUUCAAUCUUGAGAAUGAUAGAGAUGUUUUAAUUCCCUCAGUUGGAGUCCCCAUGAAAUUUUGACUUCCAGCAGCCUUUUACAGUUGAAUUGUUGACACCUACAACCUUGUAGCCUCAAAAUUAGCCACUGUAAAAAGUUGAAUUAUAAAAAGUUUUGGUGUAAUAAGUAUUGUUUAAUUUUAAUAGUAAAUGACUGAAUGUAAUUCUUUGAAUAAAAAUAGAUACACUUUUGAAAAAAAAUCAAAUACGACUGAAUCUGUAGCCAAUUUUUUUUCUUUUGUAUAUUGAUAUGUGAACAUAUCUCAGCCAAAAUAGGCUUAGUAAGUGUUGAGAAGCUAGCAUCCUUAGAAUAGUGAAAUAAAGGAAGAUGCAACCACUAAUCAAUCACCGAGGUGAGAUAUUUGAAAUUGUAACCUCAUUAACAGAACAGAAUCUAUCAUUUGAAGUGGAUUGAAUUGGUUCUGCAACAAAACGUCCAUCAGAAAAUGCAGGUUCUGCUGGUAGAGGAAGUGUUAUGGUCUCGCUUGCCAACAUGACAAUCACAGAUGAUAUGGUAGGUCUGUCCCGCUGGGUCUACUUGCACGCACAAUAGCCCAAUAUGGAUUCAUUUAAGAACCCGAGUGGCCACACACGAUUGAACAAGUACCGGAUCUAAUAGCUCCAUUCCUUGACCUUUAGACCAUAGUUUACAUGCCUGUAAUGUUUCCUGAAAUUAGAAUGGUACGGUACUACAGCCAUCUAUUUUUUUAACACAAAGAUAGGAUAAAAACAUACAAACGUUAGGAGGCUUUCACCACGCUCUGAAAGAUGAAAGCCAUUGUUUCUUUUACCGCUUAUUAUCUCAAGCAAAAAGGACCCCAAAACUGAAAACAUUAGAUUUGACGGAAAAAAGUCCUUCCAUAGCAUACUCUGGUGCCAUGUAUCCACUAUUUCAGUUCAAAGGAAUAGAUAAAUUAGGUUAGAUUAUGGUAAUAUCAAAACCAAGAAUUGUUAAGUUUGAACAUUAUUCUAUCAUAAAAUUGAAGUAUGAUUACAAAUUUUAGAUUGUAAAGAACAGCCAAGUUCCUCUGCAGAAUAAACCUUAGCAAAGACUGUAAUCUGAUGUACUGCUUUUCCAUUGUACGAGUUCAAUGCUAAUUCUUUCUUUUCAAUAAAAUUUUAUUUGACACAGAUGCAAUAUUAAAGAUCAAAAGAAAACUACUGAAGAACCAAGAUUGGUAAAAAAAAAAAAAAAGAAUUGUGAGCCUAGAAGUGUGUGGGAUAGUGGACUAACUAUGUUCCAACCACUCUAUUUGUAUUUGCUUCAUUGUGAUUUCCACCAAAAAUUCUUGCUAUUCCAAAAUCUGAUAUCUUUGGGUUCAUUUCGUGAUCUAGCAAAACAUUGCUAGCUUUAAGAUCCCUAUGAAUAAUUCUAAGACGAGAAUCCUCAUGUAAAUACACGAUGCCUCGGGCAAUGCCAUUAAUAAUGCUAUGGCGCUUCUGCCAAUCCAGUUGCACACCAAUGCUUGAAUCUGGAAAGGACCACCCAAAAGAAUAAUAGUAGUUAGUUGAUUUUUUACCAUAUUGCAUGAAGAAUCCUGUUAAAAAACAGAAUGAAACAAUAAUUUUUUGUUUAAGGAUCAAACCAAAGAGGAACACAUCAAUGCUUUUAUUGGGCAUGUAUUCAUAGACAAGCAGUUUUUCGUUUUGCUCCAAGCAGCAGCCCAGGAGUCUAUGUUGUAGCCUGGCAAUUAACACGACUUCAUUCUUGAACUCAAGUAACCCUUGCCCAAAAGUUCUAGAGAAGCUUUUAACUGCAAUUUCUUUUCCAUCUGCCAAUUUGCCCUAAAAGAAGGAAUUAAAAAGCAUCAUAAAAGAACUAAUUAUAUGAAGUUGAAGAGGUGCAUCGUAUUCUAAAAGUAUAAUACUCUAUCACCAUAGUUACCUUGUAUACAGGGCCAAAUCCACCUUCUCCAAGUUUAUUUUCAUAACAAAAUUAUUUUGUUGCUGUUUGUAAAAUAUCUAACUGAAUCGAAGGGAACUCCUUAGAUCUCACCCCACUCUCACCUUGGAAAUUUUCAUUUGAGUAUUCAUCGCUAGCUCUUCCUCCUAAUUCAAUUAAGUGAACUUCAUGGCUGUCAUGAUCUAUAUUCUCUUCAAGAGAAAACAAUUAAUUGGGAUAACAAUUGAGUCAAGAAGAAAGUGAAGAGCAAGUAAGAUCCAAUGCAUACCUUGAAAAUUUCUCCUUCUCCAAAAGAAAAUACCUCCAGAACAGAACAGAAUGACGGUAAAAAUCGCGGAUAAACUUGCAACAAUAGGAAUCCACUUUGAUUUGCCUUGUUUGCCACCUUCUAAGUCUGUUACUACAAAAGAAUGUCAUCUUUCAGUUGAUUUUUAGUGGAAUAAAUUUCUAAUUUUUGUAUUCUUCCUGCUGUUUCUAUUUUGCAGAUAUUAAUUAAUUUGUUAUUAGUUUCUGUAGCAGGUAUUUGUCCUACUUUCUUUUUUGAUGGAUGAAAAUUUCAGUAAUUAAAAAUUAGGCAAGCUAAAUCUCUAGCAUCUGAUGAUACUAACCGUUUGAGCCACUUGUUUUGUUUACCGAAGGAAGGGGUGCUUCUGAUUCAAUUCCAGGAUUCUUGAUUAUCGUAGUGUUUGGUGAUUGGUCUCGAGGUUUUCCAUAAAAUGGAUAUAUCUCAUACCUGAUGUUACAGCUUGGUCGUAAAACUCUCGCACCUUGUUUUCCAGUCGCGAAAGGUGGGAUUACAGCAAUUGAUCUACGUAGACAAAUAUGUAAACUUGCUUAUCAGGAAUUCUUAUGAAUAUUUAUCCUAUAAUCCUAUAAUUUUUUGACAUUUUUUCAUAUCUAAAGAUUUUACUAUUUAUAAAUAUACAAAUUUAUCUAUCAAAAAAAUUUUUUUUUAAUAUUUUUUUCUCUUACAAGUUUUUUAUCUAUUACACAAUAUUUAAUCAAUUUUAAACAAAAUUUUUCUAAACUUUGAACCACUAUUCUUUACACUAUUUCCGAUUUCAACUUCUCAACGAACAUUAGAAGUAUUAAUAAUUAUGUCUUGCAUGCAUAGGUGAGACAAAAUUUGUUAAAACGUGUCGAGCAUUAAUGUAUUAAAAGGGUAUAAACGUUGGAUGUCCCGUUAACAGAACAAUCUCAUAAAUAUUCUUGUUACAUUUGAUUUGAACAAAAUAGGAAAAGAAAUUUUGAACAAUGCUCCUUUUAUCAUGAGUUAAUUGUUUGCAAAAUCAAGAUAGUGUUAACAUGCUUAAAACCUUCACGAUUUAGAAAUUGAUAGAUAAACGUUCCAAACACAAAGCUGUAAAAAAUUUCUUAAAAAAGAUUAAAAUCCAUGCUUGAUGCAAACCUAACUGAACAAAAUUAUAAGAAAAGCCAAAGCAAUGCAGUGUCUGCAUCUCCCAGUCCUUGUUGAAUUUAGAUAAAAAAAACUAAAGGUUGAGAUGUGACCAUUUCUAGAAAUAAUGAGCACGGCAUCUGGCCAAAAACAGAAGGGUAAUUAAAUGCGAGGCUAGAACAUGGGAAAAUUCAGUGGUUUGGUGGUUAAACUCUGACUUUGACAAAACAAAAGUAUGGUAAUUAUUUCGAAAGCCAAGCCCCUUGGUGUGUCGACAUUUUCAUGUAGAAACAUUACGGGAGGUGUCAUCUGUUCACUGCCUAAUUCUGUACUUCAGGAACCAGGGCAAAAUUCUGAGAGAACUGAGAAUUGCCGGUAGUUUAAAAUAUAAUGUACCUUAUAUUAGAUAAAAAAAUUUAAUUAUUAUUGAAUAAAAUUAAUUUUUAUAUUAAUUUUAUUUAUAUUUUAAAUAAUUAUAUUUGAAUAAAAAUAAUUAUUAUAUAAUAAAUUAUCAUAAUUAUUUAAAUAUAAAUAUAUUAUUAUUUAUAAAAGUUAUGAUUAUAUAAAAGGUGAUAAUCAUUUGAAUAAAAAUUUAUAGCUAUUUAUUUAUUAUAAAUAAAUCUUUCAAUAUAAUUAUUUUUAUUAUUUUUUAUUAGAGAGUUUGAAAUUUUGUUAUAUCCUAAAGAUAUAAUUAACUUUAAAAAAAUAUUUUUCAUACCUCAAAAUUGAAAUUAUUUUUGAUUAUUUCUCUUUUUUUAUUUAUUUUUUGUAAUAAUUUAAAGGUAAUUAUGAAGAAUUUUUUAUAUUUUAUAUUUAUGGAGAUGCAAAAGAAAGAAAUUUAUAAAUGUUUUGGUGAAAUUUAAAUUCUUGAAAUAAUUAUAAAUAAAGAGAAAUAAUUCUCUACCACGAUGUUAGAUAAGUUUUCUUUAAUUUUUAUUCAAAAUUAAUAUGUUAUUAAUUCAUUGUUUGAUUCCGUUGCAUAAAUCCAAUUUCAUUAUUGUUUUUCAUAUUACUUGGGCUUUUGGAAUUUAUUAAUUGUGCAUUCCAAAAGCUUCACUGAAAUGGAUUUUUCAAAAUUGUAACUUGUAGUAGUCUGAAAUUAAUAGGGUGAAUAUAUGCAUGAAAAUUGUCGUUGAUUUUGGAUUGGAUAAUAAGCCAAGAGCAAGUUUAUACAUGAAGUUAUAAUGUGAUUAAUUGAAAUUGGCUUAGAUAGUCGUAAGCUGAAAUGGGUUCUGUAUAUAUGAUAAAAAUUGGAUUUAGACAUAAUAAAUGAUCUCUUUUGUUCAAUACUAAUGAGAAUUUGGAAAAGAAAAUAGGUUUUAAGGAAAUUGAGAUAAUUGAUUGGGAUCUUUGUUCACAAUAGAAGUUAAUAGAAGUGAAAUGGAGUGUCACAAUAAACUUAUUUUUAAUUAUUUGUGGUUAAUUAAUACAUAUAUUAAUUAAAUGCUUGUUUAUUAUUAUUUUUUAUGCUUACAUUGUUUAGUCAUGCUUGCAUUAACAUGCUUUGAGUUAAAUGGAAUGUUUAUAUAGAGGAGAAUUUGAUUAAUUCAGCUUUAUACUUAUUAUUAAUACAAUUUGCUAAUAACAUGCAUUUAUUAUUUGGUCAAAAGGCAUGAUUGAAAUUUUAAUUUUUGAAUAAGCAUGACUUUAUGUUUACCCUGACAAUCAUUAAAUAAAAGAAUUACGAAAAUAUUGUUAAAUUUAUUAAAACCAUAAGAUAAUGUUUUAAUUGAAAAAAGCUAGAAAAGUAAUAAUAUAUAUUUGCAAUUGUAAUAUUUUGCCCAUAUGAGAUUUAUUUAGAGUAUUAUUAUGUAAUUUAGGGUUAAAUACAUAUUUAGCUCAUGAACUUUAUAAUUUUUAUCACAUUGGUACUUAAAGAAAUUUUUUGUCACAUUGAUACUUAAACUUUUAAAUCGUUAUCACUUUGGAAUCUCUAAUUAACAUUGAUGGUCAAUUUUACUGAUGUAACAUGAAUAUCUUAUACGAUAUUAGUAUGUGUCUAAAAAGUUUAAUCAAUACCAUAUCAUUAAUGUCACGUCAUGCCCACAUCACAUUUAAAAGAAAAUUUUAAAAAAUUCUAAAAUCUUUAAACAAUUCUAAAACAUAUAUAAAAAUUCUAAAAAAUAUUUUUUUAAAAAAAGAAAAGUAUUAAAAAUUCUAAAAAGUAUUAAAGAAUUUUGAAAAAAUUAUAAAUUUUUUAAAAAAAUUUUAAAAAUUCUAAAAACUUUAAAAUUUUCUAAAACAUUUUAAAACAUCAAAAAAAUUAAAAAAUUAUCAAAAUUCAAAAUAAUUUUAAAAUAUUUUAAAAUAUUUUUAAAAACUUCUAAAAAUUUUUAAAAAUAAUUUGAAAAUUUGAAAAUUUUUUUAAAUUUCUUAAAAAAUUCUAAACAUUAUUGGAAAAUUAUAAAAAAAAGUUUAAAAAUUUGAAACUUAUAACAAAAUUAAAAAUAUGAAAUAUUUUAUAAAUUAUAAAAAUUAUCGUAAUUUGGAAAAUUUUAAAAUUUUUGAAAAUUUCUUAAAAAAUCAAAAAACUUAAAAAAAAAGUUAAAAUUUAUAAAAAUUAAAAUUUCUUAAAGCUUUUUAAAAAAUACAAAAACUUAAAAAAACUAAAAAUAAGAAAAAAAUCUAAAAUCUUUUAAAAUCUUUUCAAAAAUUAAAAAAUUUCAAAAUUUUGAAAUAUUAUAAAAAUUUUAAAAAAUCUAAAAUAUAAAAAAAUUAAAUUUUAAAUAAAAAUCCAAAACAUAUAAAAAAUUGACAAAUUAAAAAAUAUAUAAAAAGUUGAAAUUGUAAGAUUAAAAAAUAUAUAAAAAUUUUAGAACCUUCUAAAGAUUUUUAUAUUUUUUCAAAAAAAUUUUGAAUUUUGAAUUUUGAAUUUUGAAUUUUUCUUUUUGUUUUUUUUUUUUUUUGAGUUUUUCUCUUUGUUUUAAAAAAAAAAAUUUAACAAAAUUUUUAUAAUCAUUAAUUUUUUUAUUCUUUUCAUUUUUCUAUUUUUUAUUUGAAUUUUUUUAUUUUUUUUAAUUUUCAAAAAUUUUUAUUUUAAAAUUUUUCAAAAAUUUUUAAAUUUUUCUAGAAUUUUUUUAAAAAUUAUUUUUUAAUAUCUUAAUUUUUUUCAAAAUUUAAAAAUUUUUAUAAUUAUUUAAUUUUUAAAAAAAAUGUUCAAAAAUUUGAAAUUAUUUAAUUUUUGAAAAGAUUUUAAAAUUUUCUAGAAUUUUAAAAAAUCUUUAAUUUUUUUGAUAUCUUAAUUUUUUCAAAAUUUUAAAAAUUUAUUAAAACCAUGAGAUAAUGUUUUAAUUGAAAAAGGCUAGAGAAGUAGUAAUAUAUAUUUGCUAUUAUAAUAUUUUGCCCAUAUGAGAUUUAUUUAGAGCAUUAUUAUGUAAUUUAGGGUUAAAUACAUAUUUGGCUCAUGAAUUUUAUAAUUUUUAUCAUAUCGGCAUUUAAAAGAUUUUUUUGUCACAUUAGUAUUUGAACUUUCAAAUCGUUAUCACUUUGGGAUCUUUAAUUGACGCUGUUAGUCAAUUUUAUUGAUGUAACAUAAAUACCCUAUACGAUAUUAACAUAUGUCUAAAAAGUCUAAUCAACACUACAUCAUUAAUGCCAUGUCAUGCUCACAUCAUAUUUAAAAGAAAAUUUUUUAAAAAUUCUAAAAUUUUUAAACAAUUCUAAAAUAUAUAUAAAAAUUCUAAAAAAAAUUUUAAAACUAAGAAACGUAUUAAAAAUUUUUAAAAAUUCUAAAAACUUUAAAAAUUUCUAAAAAAUUUUAAAACUUCAAAAAACUAUUAAAAAUUAUAAAAAUCCUAAAUAAUUCUAUAAAAUUUUUAAAAUUUUUUAAAAUUUAUAAAAAAUAAUUAAAAUUUCUCAAAAAUUUUUUAAAAACUUGUAAAAAUAAUUUUUAAUACACAAAUAUUUUUAAAAUUUCUCAAAAAAUUCUAAACAAUUUUAAAAAAAUUCUAAACAUUAUUGGAAAAUUGUAACAAAAUUUUGAAAAAUUUGAAAUUUAUAAAGAUUAAAAAUAUGAAAUAUUUUUAUAAGUUAUAAAAAUUAUCAUAAUUUGGAAAAUUUUAAAAAUUCUGAAAAUUUCUUAAAAAAUAAAAAAAUUCAAAAAAAGUUAAAAUUUAUAAAAAUUAAAAUUUCUUAAAAUUUUAAAAAAAUACAUAAACUUAAAAGAUUAAAAAGAAGAAAAAAUCUAAAAACUUUUAAAAUCUUUUCAACAAUUAAAUAAUUUCAAAAUUUUGAAACAUUAUAUAAAAUUGAAAAAAAUUGAAAAAAAAAACUUAAAUUUUAAAUAAGAAUCCAAAACAUAUAAAAACUUAAAAAAAUUAAAAAAUAUGUAAAAAGUUGAAAUUGUAAGAUUAAAAAAUAUGUAAAAUUUUAGAACCUUUUAACUAUUUUUAUAUUUUUUCAAAAAAUUUUUGAAUAUUGCUUUUUGUUUUUUUGAACCUUCUCUUUUUGUUUUAAAUUUAACAAAGUUUUAAAAAUUUUUAAAAUCAUCAUUUUUUUAUUCUUUUAAUUUUUUAAUUUUUUAUUGAAUUUUUAAUUUUCUAGAAUUUUUAGAAAUUUCGAUUUUUUGAUAUCUUAAUUUUUAAAAUUUUUAAAAUUUUUUAAUUUUCUAAAAAUUUUUUGAAAUUAUUUUAAAGUUUUUAGAAUUUUUGAAAAAUUUUUAUAAUUUUAAAAAAUUUUUCAUAUUUUUUAGAUUUUUUUUGAAUUUUUUAAAGUUUUUAAUAUUUUUUUAAUUUUUAAAAAUUUUUAGAUUCUUUAUUUGAAUUUUUAAAAUUUUUUAAAUUUAAAAAAAAUUAUUUUAGAAUUUUUAGAAUAUUUUUUUGAAAAUUUUAAGCUUUUUGUUUAGAUUAUUUUUUUGAAGUUUUGAAUUCUUUGAAUUUUUUAGAAAAUUUUAAAUUUUUUUGAAUUCUUUUAGAAUUUUUAAAUAUUUUUCUUUUAAGUAUGAUAUUAGCAUGACAUGGCAUGAUAUGGUAUUGAUGAUGUGGCACUAGUUAGACUUUUGAUAUGUGUCAGUAUCUUAUUGGAUAUUCAUAUUAUAUCAACAAAGUUGACUAAUGGCGUUAGUCAAAGUUACUAACAUAAUAAAGAUUUGAAAGAUCAGGUAUCAAUAUAACAGAAAAAUUUUUUAGGUACCAAUGUGAUCAAAAUUAUAAAGUUCAGGGGUCAAAUAUAUAUUUAACCCUAUACUUUAUAGUUUGGGAAAUAAGUGUAUGCAUUAUUAAUAUAAUGAUUAUGACCAUGUACAUAUCCAAGGUAAAAUGCACUUAUAUUUAAUAUAUCCAUCAUGCAUACUGCAUUUGCAAGAGAUCUCCGAAAGAGAUACUAUGGAAUUAUAAUAGAAACACAUAUAAGAGGGUUAUGUUCAAUUGUGGUGCCAUAAAAAUCUUGGCAAUGUCAAGAACAUAAAACAUAUAUCCAUUUUUAUAUUUAGAUAAAAGGGUCAUGUUCAACUGUGGUGCCAUAAAAAUCUUGGCAAUGUCAACAAUAUAAAGCAUAUAUUCAUUUUUAUAUUUAUAUGUAUAUCAGCUAAAAAUGAAUAUUGAGUUUUUCAAGUCUUUUAAUUUAAUGAAUGAACAAAGACCACUUAAUGAUGUUAAAUUCAUGGUUCCAUGGGUUAUCACAUUUCAUGGCUUGAAUACAUAUUUUGUGAAUUUUUGUGUAUGGUAAUGAAUUGAAACAUCCAUGAGCCUAGAAUUGGACAUAGAGAACUCAUGCAUGGUUUGCCAUAUAUUAAAAAAAUAAAUGGAAACUCAAAUUAUCUUAUUAUUAGCAUAUAUUGCAUUUAUAUACAUAACAUUGAAAAAAAAAGUGUACAAGUCUUUGUGGUACAUGAGUUUUUAUAGUUUCAGGGUAAGGGUAUUGAUGAGAGCUUAUAUAUGCAACAUUAAUAUAUGGACUUGAUAAUGAUGAUAGCUUUCAAUAACCUCAAUCCUUGGAAUUAAUCGCUAAAUGAGUUAUUCAUGAAGAAUGAGGUAUGAUUCUUAAAUGAACAGUGCUUUUGAUAAAUUUAAAAAUAUUUAUUUGUAUAUAAUACAAAAAUGGUUUUUCUUAAUGAUUUUUGCAUAAAAGUGAUGUUUGUUUAAUUUUAUUUGAUAAUAAUCAUAGCUUGUAUAAACGAUUUACAUCUCAUUAUUUUAUUAAAAGUUUUGAGAUAUAGUGAAAAUAUAAAAUUAUAUUCACAUUGAAAGUCAUGGGUGAUUCAAAGAUUUUGUGAAUAUAAAAAAAAUAGCAAAAUGAAUUCCAUUUGAUCCAUUUGGAUGAUGGACAUGGUUUUGCUCGUGAUAAAAUUAUGUUAAUAGUGUUUAUGAUGAAAUAUAUUCAUAAGUUUCCAUGAGUUGGUAUAAAAGUCUCAAAAAAAGACUUUAGAAAAUAUAAGUUUACUAAAAUAAAAAAAUUUUUUUGAAAGUGAUUAUAUUUGACAUAAUUCUUAUUGAUAUAUACUUUCAUACUGGGUUUAAAUAAAAGUUUUGAAACUUUUAUGAGAAGAAAAUAUUAAGAUAUAGAAUAUUUGCUAGUUAUUUUUUACUAAAGUUUGGAGGCCUCCUACUUAAAAAAAAAAAUCACCUAAUAGCGAAAAGAUAAAUGAGAUAGCAACUUAAUUAAGUAUAUAUGAUAUUAAGAAGUGGAUGGAAAUUAAGAAGUGGAUGGAAAUUAAAAUAAUUUUUUUACAUCAAUUUAUUAUAUGAUAGGAUUGAAAAAUGAAACUUACAUUAUUUUAUCAUUAUAAAUAUUUUAAGUAAAAACUAAAAAGAAAAAUUCUAAAAGUAAAUGAAUAUUUUCUAUUUAUAAUAUUUGACUCAGUCCUCUUUUAUUUUCUACCUUUAAUCUUUUUUAUUUGUAAUGAUUUUUUAUGAAUAAAAAUAAAAAAUGACAAUCUCUCUCUCUCUCUCUCUCUUAUGAUAUGGCUCAAGUCAACUGCAGCUUAACCUACAGAUAAAGCUUAAAUAUUAUGAGUUAAGAAAUCCUAACCGACAGUUGCUACAGAGCAACUUCGCGGAAGAACUUUCGAGUGGAAAUCAUAAAUGCUACGACGGAUUUUCUUAUUCAGAUAAACUACGUAGAAAACUAGAAAUGCAAUGAAUUGACAUAUAUCAUGUGGAAAAAUAAUUUAAAGGUCGUGUAUGUUUGACAUAUUGAGGUAGCACUCAAUUCCAGCACGCCGUUGAUCAUUUACAAACCACUAGAAGCAAAUGCAGGGCCAGUUCAUAAUGUGUGCUUGAAGGGGUCUUCUCCCCCAAAAUUUUGAAACCUUCUAUUAUAUAAUUUAUAUUUUGUUAAAUAAAUUUAAAUUGAUCCCCAAAUUGAGAAUAUUAAUAUUUUUUUAUUUUUUUAUGAUUUCGUAAUCUUGCAAUUUAAUUAAGGGGUUAAAAUUACAUUACUAUUUAUCUUUUUAUUAUAUCCACUAAUCAUUAUUUAGAAAUCUUUAAAAUCAAAAAUUUUGUUGUUUAUUUUAAAUCACAACAAUAUGAUUUUAAUUUUUUAGCUUUCCUGACAAUAUUAAGUUUCUAAUCAAGUAUUAAAUUUGUUUUUUUUUUUGUAAAGAAUUAAAAGAGUGUAAACGUUGGUUGUCCGGUUAAUGGAACAAUCUCAUAAAUAUUCUUGUUAAAUUUGAUUUGAAAAAAAAAAAAAAGAAAUUUUGAGCAAUGCAUGAAGUUGAUUGUUUGCAAAAUCAAAAUCGUGUUAACAUGCUUAAAACCUUCACGAUUUAGAAAUUGAUAAAUUCCGACAGCGAUAACGUUCCAAGCUCAAAGCUGUAAAAAAUUUCUUAAAAAUGAUUAAAAACCAUGCUUGAUGCAGACUUAACUGAAUAAAAUUCCAGAAAGCCACGGCAACGCGGUGUCUGCAUCUCCCAGUCCUCGUUGAAUCUUGACAAAAAACUAAAGUUUGAGAUGUGACCAUUUCCAAAAGCAUCUGUCCAAUUAUUGCGAGGCUAAAAGAAGUUCAAGGCAACAUGGGAAAAUUCCUUGGUUAGGUGGUGGAACUCUGACUUUGACAAGUCAAAAGUAUGGUAAUUAAUUCGAAAGCCAUGUGUCAAAAUUUUCAUAUGGAAACAAGCAGGGAGGUGUCUUCUGUUCUCUGCCUAAUUAUGUUCUCCAGGAGCCAGGAUAAAAUUCUGCCGCUGACUUGGACAUCGGUGUCAGAGAAGUGAGGAUUACGGAAUAAUUAUUGAGAAUUUCACACGUUUUUAGAUGAGAUCCACUUUAUCAAUUUUUUUUUACGAUUUUUUUUUAAAUCAUCAUUUGGUAAAUUUUGUAUUUUACGAAGUUUAACUAAGAUGACAUAUGACAUUUCUCGAUAAUUUUUUUAAGUUAAAUUAGUUUUGUGAAAAAAAUUGAGACCGAUGAAAUUAUAUACAUGGCACUCUUAAUUAGCGUUUUAUGUUUUAUAUUAUUUAAUUUUUAAUUAAAUAAAAUUUUAAAAUAAAAUAUAUCAAUUAAUAAAAAUAUCAAAAUAAUUUGUAUUUAUUUAAUUUUAAUCCAUUCUAAUUUGAUAUGAGUGAUUUUUUAAAUUGAAAUUAAAUUGAGAUAAUAUUUAAAUUUUUUUAAAAUAAGAGUAGGACAAAAAAAAUACUCUUUCACAAUUCAUUUUUUGUAUAUAUAAAAAUAUUUUUUAAAAAAUUUUAUUAUAUACAUUUAUUAAUAAAAUUAUUAUUUUUUAAAUUGGUAAUUGAAUCUUCUUUUUUUUUUUUUUUUCUCAUCCUCUUUUUUCUGAUGUUUAUGUACAUAAGGAUUUAGGUGCGAUUAUAAUUAAUUGAUUUAUAAUUACGUACGGUUGAAGGGAGUAGGAAAAAUAAAAAAUAUAUAUUUGAGACGAUUGAUAAAGAUGGCAGUUGUUAAGGACAAGCCGCCUGGCUUUCUGUGCGCCCAAAAAGCGGUUUUGUCCUUUUCGAAUAUCCUAUAUAUAUAUAUAUAUAUAUAUAUAUAUAUAUAUUUUACUUUAUAGUGCCCAUCACUAGUUAAUUGUGAAUUUAAAAUUUCAUUUAAUUAAUUUAUUAUAAUUAUUUUAAUAUAUUUUAUAAUUUUAAAAUUUAAAUUUUAAUAUCUUUUCGUAAUUAUCACAAGGAACUAAUCCGGCGCCAUGACAUACCAAUUUAAGAAUCUGACUUUGGGUGAUUCAUAAAUUUCUUGCAUAAGAAAUUGCUUGAAGGGCUACGCAGUUCACACACCGUUUAAGAUCAAAAGAAGAUUCAGAAUUAAAACCAAAAAAUAAUAAUAAUAAUAAUAAUAAAGAAGUUGAUUGAGACGGGAGUGGUGGAAGAGGAUAAGCUGUGAAGCUUCUAGUUUAUUUCCCUAUCUAUGAAUGAAAAAAAAAAAAAACAAGGAUUAAAGUUUUUUUAAUAAAAAUUUAAUAAUUAUUAAAAAUUUUAAUAUUUUAUUAUGAUCAAUUAAAUUUUUUAUUUUUUUAUUUUGAUUCAAUUAAAUUUUUAUUGAACAAACCUUAAAACAUAAUAAAAUUAAAUCAUUAAUUUUUAAAUUAUAAUCAAUUAAAUCUUUAAAAAUAUAAAAAAAUAAUUAUUUAUUUACUUUUCACAUAUAUAAUUAUGCAAUAUAAUAAAUAUCUAUCUGUUUAUUAUUAUAUGAAAUUUCAUUUUAAUUGAUAAAAUUAACGAUAUUUAAAUACAAAUUAAUAUUAAAGGUAUUACUUGAAAUAAAAAAAAUAAAAAUGUAAAUAACUUUUUAAUUACAAUUCAGAGAUUUUUAUAUAUUAAAACAAACAAAAAGUUUUACUUUUAUUUCCGUGUGGCACUCAUGUGUCGAGCCAAAAGUCAAUCACAUUGUCCGUCAAAAAAGAAAAAAAAAGGGAGAUUUCAAUUUUUUUAUUCUUUUUUUGUUUGUAUUUGUUCAUCUAUAACAAAUUGAUCACAUGAAAAGGAUUGUCUAAGGGUAAUCCGCUCAAACUGACAAUCACUGAAUUUCUAACAAUCAUGAAUGAUAAUGGUACUGAAUGUUGACACAAAAAUGCUUACAAACUUGACCAGCUUGGUAUCUUGGAUGCAGCUCGGUAAUUGAAACCUCAAUUUUUGAGACUACCACAAUUUCAUUUCUGGAUUGACUGGAUUGUGUUGCCCCUGAAUUUAAGUGCUGCGACCACAGCAUCCCUGAUUGAGUGUUGCUGUGCAAAAAAAUGCAGGUUGUGAGGGUAGUGGCAGAGUGACAGAGUGGCUAGUAAGCAUCAGAACAACCGAAGCCAUGUUUGGUCUCGCAGCUACAUUUUCUUGAACACAAAGCAGCCCGAUGUGGAUGCAUCUCAUCAGCUCAGUUCUUGAACCAUCUCUAAAACUGGGAUCUACAAGAUCCAUUACUGUCCCAUUCUUCCAAUUUCUCCAAGCCUGCAGCGUUUAAUUCAUGCAAAUUAUUAAACAGUAAAUUCUUUUAAUGCUUUGGACAAGUAUCAUAUGAGUUACAAUCUCAUGCUUGAGGACAAAGGAAUACUUACAAAGUUUAGAAGAUCUUCUACAUUACUCCCAUUAUGGAAAGCACUAUUUUUUUGACCACUUAAAAUCUCCAUAAGUAGCACACCAAAACUAAAAACAUCGGACUUAACAGAAAAUUGUCCAUGCGUUGCAUAUUCAGGCGCCAUGUAUCCGCUACAAGUUAAUAAAAGAAAAAUUAGUUUUCCUUGUGGAAAAAAAGGGACACAUGACUUACCAAUCUUUUGAAUUGUUCAAGUGAGGAUGAUCAUCGGUCAUGCAUCAGCCAAGAUUUUUCUUUUAUUCACAUGAUGGGAAGGCAGUUUAACAAAAAUAAUAAUAGUAUAUGCAAUUAAAAGUGUAAUUAUUGACUCAGAAGAUUUCUAACACUUACCAUGUUCCCACGAUUCUAUUAGCAACCCCUUGAGUUUGAUCAACUGCAACCAAUCUUGUCAUGCCAAAAUCUGUAAUUUUAGGAUUCAUCUCUGCGUCUAAUAAUAUAUUGCUUGCUUUGAGAUCACAAUGAAUAAUUUUAAGUAGAGAAUCUUGAUGAAGAUAAAAAAGUCCUCGAGAGAUGCCUCUUAUGACUUUGUAUCGUCUUUCCCAAUUCAAAUAUGUACGGUUAACCGGAUCUGCAUCACCAUAAAUGUACGAAUCCUAAUUAAUAAAAUAAAACAUGGAUGUUGGUCUUUUGCUUUGUAGUAUACAUUCUAUAAUACACCGAUAUAUCAUACCAAAUAAUGAUUUAUCCAGACUUGUGUUAGGCACAAACUCAUAGAUGAGAAGCCUUUCAUUUCCUCCUAGGCAGAAACCUUGAAGCCUAACCAAAUUCCUGUGCUGAAGCUUGGCCAAUAACUGAACUUCGUUUUUGAAUUCAAGAUCUCCUUGUCCGGAUUCUGUAGACAGUCUUUUCACUGCUAUUAAUUCUCCAUUGGCAAGUGUGCCCUGAGAAGAUAUCAGAAUGAAUUAUAUAUGUAUAUGCCUAUUGAACUUGCAUACCCAUUUUAUUUCUUACGGAUGAUCAUUAUCGUCUUACCUUAUAAACUGCCCCAAAUCCACCUUGUCCAAGCUUAUUUGCGUCAGAAAAGUGAUUUGUUGCAGCUCUAAUGGUGUUGAAAUCAUAUUGCAAGGACUCUGCACUUGUGAUUCCAUCCACGGCUUCAGCUGCUUCACGCUCUUCAGAGGUGUAACAAAAGAACAAAAACAUAAACAAGUAAACAUUAGAUUUAGUCACGAGCUAAAUUCAUUAACAACAUUCCAAAAGGAAAAAGAACAAGAACACACUGACACACAAAAAACAAAGAAGAAAAUCAAUAAACCGAUUCUUUUACUUACUUUCAGCAUUCACCUUUGACUUCCUCGCCCCUAAAAAGAUGCAGACGCAGCAGGAAAUGAGAAGUACCGCAAAAGCGACGGCCGAGACGGUUAUGAUAAUAGUAGUUCGAGAUGAAUUACUCUUUUUUCCUGCAAAAUUUCAAAAAAAUGCGUUUUCUAUAAGAGUGCUGAAAUAGUUAACUUUGGAACUACUCUUAACUUAAUUAGUUAAAUUAGAGAAACCCUUUUCUCUGUUGUCUAGGAAAAUAAAAUUUUUACAGGCACACAUCCCAUUGAUACAAGACGGAGAAAUUCUUGAUAUUCUGAGGUAGACGUUCUCAUUUGGGAAAGAAACAACUGUUGAAUUGACAAAACAAAGCAGAAAGCGUACCUGUUGUACUUGUGGUAUCGUUUGAGAGCGGGGGAGAUAGUGGGGAUGCUGGUGUUGGUGGCGGUGAUGAUGGUAUUGGUAUAUCAGCAUUGGUAAGAUCAUAGAAACGUUCAACCUUAAACCUUAAAUUACAGCUAGGCCCAAUUAUCCUGCCUUCUUGUUUUCUGUCACAGCAUACCGGAAUAAAUCCAAUAGCCCGAGACAAGCAAGAGCUGCAGUCAACCUCGGUCAAAUCAGGAGUGCAUUGAACAAGUGCAUAUACCGUUUGGAAAGCUGAAACUUCUGCACUUCCUGUUGCAAACUUGCGAAGGGAAGUCCCCGAUGAAGCGUUAUUUCUUAGGGUAUCCAACACGGAACCCAGGGCCUGAUUAAAAGCAUCCACAUUCGUGACGUUAUUUACAUUCCACAUGUAGAACGAAGGGUUGAUCUCCAUAACACCAAAGAUGGAGCGAUUUGCGUAGCGGAACAUGCAUUUAUUAUACCAGAUGAUUGCCUCUUUCUGGUUGGGGCAGAGAUUUCUGAGCGCAGCGGUUGCGUUAUUGAUGCAGCUGAUGCAAUCACCUGAAUUCACAUCUCCUCUGCAAAGUGCAAUUGCGUUAACUCUGUUCGAGCCUUGGCCGGAUGAAAAAUUGUAGAACCCGUAAUCAUUUGCUGUGUUAAAGGAGGAAGAGGAAAGGAGGCGAUUGAGGUUUGUCUCGUAAGUGCUGUUUCUGGUGAAGUUACCACUACUCUCUAAACAGAAAUAAUAUAGAGGCUGUUGUUGGGCAAUGGUAAGAGUAAGAAGGAAUGUAAUAGUUGAAGAGAAGAAAAACUGCCAUGAAAAUUCCAUUGCCUUGCCUGCGGAGUACAGUAGUGUUCUGCUUCUGCGUCUCCAAAGCUUGUUGGACCUAUGAUUUUCAAAGUUUAUAUUAUAAUGAUGAAUGCUCCUUCUAUCAUGGAGUUGAUUGUUUACAAAAUCAACAUCGUGUUAACAUGCUUAAAACCUUCACGAUUUAGAAAUUGAUAGCUAAUGAUAGUGAAAACAUUUCAAACACAAAGCUGUAAAAAAUUUCCUUAAGAUGAAAAAUCCAUGCUUGAUGCAUACGUAACGGAUUAAAAUUCUAAGCGAGCCACAGCAACGCGGUGUCCGUAACUCCCAGUCCUUGUUGAAUCUUGACAAAAAACUAAAGUUUGAAACGUUACCAUUUCAAGAGGUAAUGAACACGGCAUCUGGCCAAAAACAGAAUGGUAAUUAAUGCGACAAGUCCAUGACAACAUGGGAAAAUCCCUUGGUUUGAUGGUUAAACUCUGACUUUUCCAAGUCAAAAAGUACGGUAUUUAAUUGGAAAUCCAAGUUUCCUUGGUUUCAAAUUUUUCAUGUAGAAACAUGCAGGACGGUCUCUUGUGUUCCCUGUCUAAUUUUGCUCUCCAGGAACCAGGGUAAAAUUCUGCCAUCGCUUGGACAUCUCUGUCAGGGAAGUGAGGAUUACGGGUAAUUAUUGAGAAUUUCACACGUUUUUAGGCAAUAAUUCUGAUUAAGUGACUUUAACUAUGUGCUCUAAUGUCCACUCUUUUGUUGAUAAGGAUAUGUUAUGGGUAAAGGAAUGCCCUGAUUGAGUUUCAUUCAAUUUCAUUGAUUUAAAAUUAAAUGAGUGAAACAAAGUUAUUCCUCUAAAAAUAAAAAAAAACCAAACCGUUGUUAACUGUUACGUGGAGACGGUAUCUAUAGGUUCAGCUAUAAUCAUAUUAAUUUGGUUGAAUUUUCUUAGAUAAAGUUGUUUUUUUCUUCUUUUUUAGAAAAAAAAAAAAAAUACAAAAGCUAAUAUAAUUGCGUCUGAAAUGGGGAAGUGGGAACUGCUGACUCUCAGAUAAAUCAGGCAAUGAUGGCGAUUGGUAAAGAUGCAAGAACUUUGCUGUGGUCUAAUCACCCUUCUCAGUCCCAAUCAAAAGACAUAAUAUUAUUUUUUAGUCUCUCGGGAGAUUAUUCUUGAAUAAAUUGAGAUGACAGUGGAAAAUAAGGUGAUAGAAAAUUCGCUAAUGGCGACUGAAGUGGAUGAAUGACAUCUAACGGGCAAUUUUUAAUUCCUGAAAAAAGUUAUUUCGGAAAGAUGAAUCAGUCCUGAAAUCAUUUAGUUACCCUUUUUCUAUUAGAAAAUGUGGCUUACUAUAGGAAAAGUUUUCCUUGUAAAAUCCAUACUGCAUUGUGCCGAGUCUUUCUUCUUUUUUUUUUUUUUUUUUAAAGGAUAGUGGUGUUAAUUGAGAAAGAGAAAUGUAGUCUUAUGAAGUGGGUACUCAGCUUCGCCGUAGUAUCUCUUACGUGUCACCUCAAUUCCCAGGAGGUAGUGCAUUGGAAAGGAAAUAGGAUCUCUGGACACAGAAAACUAUGGAGUUUGCUACAUUCAUGAUUUCAAAAAUAACAGUAAAGAUAUCAAUUAAUUGUUGUAUAAAAUUCUUAUAGAAAUGUAACUAUCAUCAGGCUGCUAGCUACUGUUUCUUCAACUUAACUGUUAUAAGUUCAUUUAUAUAGUAGUGCUAAUGCUGAUUCGUUUGAAAACAUUUACUUUUGUUUUCUCUUGGGGAAAAUUAUGCUCCCCCAAAUAAAUUGUUCAAGCCAAGAUAAUUCUACAAUAAGCACAUUUACGGGUUAAAUAUAGCUUCUUCAUUAGCAUAUAAAACUGCAAGAGACAAAUGAUGAGCAGCUUAGUUGAUUUAAUAAAACAUGUAGAAUACUACAGAAUAUCAAGAUUUUGGGGGUAAAUAACUCUUGUAUGUCCAGUUCAUACAUAAAGUGACUGGAUCAAGUACACAAGUACCACUACUUAAUCGUACCAAAUAUUCACAGCAAUGGCAGAAAAAGGACUUAUUCAACAUUGGCAGAUUGCUUUCUAUACUGAGGAAGCAUCUAUUAACUCACUUUACCGAGGGUCUAAUUCAGUAAUCGAUGCCUCAUUGAUAGACCAUGGCAUUGAUCGACUAGUGGAUUGAUCAGAUUCCAUCUCCUUGUUUGGCAUACUUCCCUCUGUUCUGCUGUGAAGGAAAAAUGCCGGUUGCUUAGGUAAUGGUAGUGUGACAGAGUAACUGUUAAGCAUGAGAACAAUGGUAGUCAUCGUAGGCCUGUCAACUGGAUCUUCCUGAACACAUAAUAACCCAAUUUGGAUGCAUCUAAUGACUUCAUUUCUAGAGUAAGUAUCCCUCAGAAUAGGAUCCAACAAUUCCAAUGGCGUCCCAUCCUUCCAAUGUUUCCAAGCCUGCAGUGGUUCAUCAAGUAAGAUUUAAAAAGUCACCUCACCUUAAAUUUUAAUUUCGUAUUUCGUAUAGGCUGAAUUAUACUCACGUAGCUAAGGAGGUCCUCAGCACCAUCUGUUUGAUAGAAAUUACUGUUCCUUUGGCCACUAAUAAUUUCGAGAACUAAAACGCCAAAACUAUAUGCAUCUGAUUUCACAGAAAACUGCCCUUGCAUUGCAUAUUCGGGAGACAUGUAGCCACUGCAGAACCAUUAGCAAUGUUAGUAUAAUGACAAGAACAAAAAUUUUUAGUUUGAUCUAAUAAUUUAUUUAUGCUAACAACAAUCAGGAUAGCUUGUUAUAAAUGAUUUAGCUGGAGGUGUUAAUAUGUCACAAGGAUUCCUAAAUUCGAUUAAAAGCAGGGUAUAACCAAAAUGAGCUUUUAUUUCUUUAAGUUGUUCAACAAUUAGGAUGCAACAACUCAUGGUUAAAUUGCGUAUGAAACUUAUGCAAACAAAUGCUAAACAUGUUCAAAACUUACUAGGUACCAACAACUCUUCUGGUGGUUCCUUGAGUUUGAUCAACACCAAAAAUCCUUGCCAUGCCAAAAUCUGAAAUUUUUGGAUUCAUUUCACCAUCUAAUAAUAUAUUGCUGGCCUUGAGAUCCCGGUGUAUGAUUCUAAGCCGAGAAUCCUCAUGCAGAUAAAGCAUUCCUCGAGCAAUCCCUCCUAUGAUCUUGUAACGUCUUGACCAAUCCAAUUGUCCUUGUUUUGCAGGAUCUAUAAAAAUAAAUAAAUAAAUGAAUGAAUAAGUAGUUUUGUUCACACAGCAAAUCUAAGAUUAAGAUAUACCCAUGUAUCUCUCUAGGCAGUGUUUAAAAUCAAUUAAAAGUCCCAACAAAAUUCUUGCAACAGUAUAUUACACGUACCAAAAAGAAAAUAGUCAAGACUUUUAUUGGGCACAAAUUCAUACAAGAGUAUCUUUUCUUCUCCUUCCAAGCAAAAUCCGAGUAGUCUCACUAGAUUUCUGUGUUGAAGCUUGGCAACCAAUACAGCCUCAUUUUUAAAUUCCUCCACCCCUUGCCCUGAACUUCUUGAUAACCUCUUAACAGCUAUCUCUUGUCCGCUAGGAAGGGUACCCUGAGAAUGUAAGAUACCCUUGAUUAGAAAAGCUUUCUGAGAGUUUGAGUUUGGACACUGUAAGCAUGUAUAAAAUGCCUACAUGUCAUUAAAUACUAAUAAUACCUUGUAAACUUCACCAAAACCACCUUCUCCUAGCUUGUUCCUAUCUGAGAAGUUGUUUGUGGCAACUUGUAUCGUGCUAAAAUCAUACUGCAGUGACUCUAUUGUGGUUAUAUCAUUUCCUGCUGUAAAAUCAAACUAGCAAAUGUCAUAUUCUGUAAAACAUAAUCAAAGAACAGGGUGAAACCGGAGAAAUGAGAUUGUUUUGGCUCAAAAUAAGUUGUGUUUUACCAUUUUCUCCUUCUAUAGCUUUGUACUUCCUUGCUCUCCUUUUUAAUAGACAACAACCCACGAAAAAAAGCAAAACAGAGGCAGAAAUUGGAGCAACAAUGGCAAUAAUUAUUUGCCACGAAUUUUGGCUUUUUCCUGCAGAUGCAAUAAAGAAUUAAAGAUGUGUCACGAUAAUUUCUAAUACCAUAAAGCAUGCUUAGAAGGUGGAGAGGAUAUGUGGAAGGCUACAACUAUCAAAUAAAAUCAAAUUCAAAUUCAUUUGUGACUUUUAAUUCGAGAUGUCUUUGCGGCAAUCUUCCGGGAACCAGAACUUUCCCAAUGUCAAUUCCUCAAUUCCAUCAAGGAAAGGCAAAUUUUAGCGUCGGUAAUUUUUUGGAAGAAAACUAUAAGGCAUAUAGUCGUCCUAAUUAUAAUUAUUUAACUCAACUAACAAAAAUAAAUAAAAAGGCAAUAGAACGGAUGGUAUGACUGAACCUGGAGCUGCUGGAGGACGAGUUAUCACAGACGGAGGUGCCGGAACUGAAACUGCGGUUUGAUUAUAGAACGGGUAAAGUUCAUAUCUAAUGUUGCAGCUAGGAGUCAGCACUCUUCCCCCUUGCUUUCCACUGCAACAAUUAGGCAGAGCCGCUAUAGCUCCUCGCAGACAUGUAUUACAAUCCGUGCUUGAUAGGUCAGGAGUACACUGCACAAGGCUGUACAGUGUUUGAAACCCUGAAAUAUUCGCGUCUCUGGUCGCGAAGUUUUUUAAACCUAACGUAGCAUUUACAGCCAGGGUUGCUGCAUUAUUCAUCGUAUCAGCCAGUAUCUGGUUAAAACGCUCUUGGUCCGAGACAUUUCCCGUGUUCAACAUAUAGAUUGCAGGUACAAUGGUCGCGAUGGAAAAGAUAGAUUGAUUUGAGUAACGCAAGAGGCAAUCAUCAUACCAAAUCACAGCAAUUUUUUCAACAGCACAAAGUUGAGUGACGUCGUUGAUGGCAGUAGAGACACAUUCUUCGCAGCCACUAUUCGAAACAUCACCCCUGCAGAGAAACAGCCCAUAGACCACGUCAGAGUUUCUGCCAGAGGUUGUGCUAUAGAAUCGAUUGCCGCGGGUGGCGUUGGAGGAUAGAGAGGAAAGCAGGUGAUUGAGAUCGGCUUGGUAAGUACCGUUUGUGGGAAAAGUGGUUGCGUUCGAACAGCUAUGGGCGAGGUAAGUUUGUUGUGCUCCAAUGGUAAAGCUAAGCAAGGAGAGGAACAACAGAGUUAUGAAGGACUUGUAGACAAGCAUUUUUUCUCUUUCUUUUUUUCCUAGGACCAUAACAGUGGUGAUCUUCUCAAUAUGGGGUUUUCUACCGGCACCUAAAGACUUGGUACCUCUAGACACCAACCGUCAAAAGCAGGUGAAGCCAAUGUAAUGGUCGUGUUGGCUGGUUGAAUGCUGUAAAGACAUUUACACGUCUGUGACGGAUGGAAUAGGAGUUGGAGAUAAACAUCAAGUGCAGCUUUCACUUUAAUGGUGCCUUAAAGUCGCAGGCCCACACUCUAAUCGGAAGUUAGUGCUCCGUAUUGAAACAGACUUUUCUCAUUACAUAUUUACAUUUAGAUUUCUUUGUUCCUGUGUCGAAUUUGUCCGUAGCAUCCCAUUUAUUAAAGGAGUUUUUUUUUUUUUGGAAUAGUAGUAUACAGUAAUUUUUAUGAUUUAUUUUUCAAAGUUCUUUAAUCUUUUGUUCUAAGAAGUAUAGUUUAAUUUAGUAGUAAAUGAUUGAAUUAAUUCUUUAAAUAAAAAUGGAUAUACUUUUGAAAAAUAAAAUCAAAUACAUCUAUAGUCAAUAUAUUUUUUUCUCUUUUGUAUAUUGAUAUAUGAAGAUAGCUCCAAUUCUUCUGUCGAAAAAAUUAAGCACAUCUUAUGGUUGUCAUUCAGUCAAAAACGGCUUAAUAAGUGUUCAGAAGCUAGAAUCCUAAGAAUAGUGAAAUAAAGGACGAUGCAACCACUAAUCAAUCACCGAGGCGAGAUAUUUGAAAUUGUAACCUCAUUAACAGAACAGACUAUCAUUUGAAGUGGAUUGAAUUGGUUCUGCAACAACACGUCCAACAGAAAAUGCAGGUUCUGCUGGUAGAGGAAGUGUUGUGGUCUCGCUUGCCAACAUGACAAUCACAGUUGACAUGGUAGGUCUGUCCGCUGGGUCUUCUUCCACGCACAACAGCCCGAUACGGAUGCAUUUAAGAACCUGAGUUGGCACAGACGACUGAACAAGGAGCGGGUCUAUUAGCUCCAUUCCUUGACCUUUAGACCAUAGUUUCCAUGCCUGUAAUGUUAAUUAGUAUUAGAAUGAUACAGCAAUAUAGCCAUCUAUUUUUUGAAGACAAAGAUAGGAUUAAAACGUACAAAGGUUAGGAGGCUUUCACCACGCUCGGAAAGAUGAAAGCCAUUGUUCCUUUUGCCGCUUAUUAUCUCCAGUAAGAGGACUCCGAAACUGAAAACAUCGGAUUUGACUGAAAAAAUCCUUCCAUAGCAUACCCUGGUGCCAUGUAUCCACUAUUUCAGUUUAUAGGAAUAGUUAAAAUCAGGUUAGAUUACGGAAAUCUCAGAACAAAGAAUCGUUAAGUUUGAACAUUGUGCUGUCAUAAAAUUGAAGGAUGACUACAAAUUUUAGAUUGUAAGGAACAGCCAUGUUCCUCUUCAGAAUGAACCUCCGCAAAGACUAUGAUCUGAUGUAUUGCUUUUCCAUUUUACGAGUUCAAUGCUGAUUCUUUCUUUUCAAUAAAAUUUUAUUUGACACAGAUGCAAUAUUAAAGAUCAAAAGAAAACAAAUGAAGAACCUAGAUUGGUAAAAAAAAAAACAGAACUGUGAGCCUAGAAGGCAUGGGAUAGUGGACUUACUAUGUUCCAACCACUCUGUUUGUAUUUGCUUCAUUUUGAUAUGCACCAAAAAUUCUAGCCAUUCCAAAAUCUGAUAUCUUUGGGUUCAUCUCGUGAUCUAGCAAAACAUUGCUAGCUUUAAGAUCCCUAUGAAUAAUUCUAAGACGAGAAUCCUCAUGUAAAUACAGGAUGCCUGGGGCAAUGCCAUUAAUAAUGCUAAGACGCUUCUGCCAAACCAGUUGCACACCAAUGCUUGAAUCUGGAAAAGAACCCCCCAAAAGAAUGUAGUAGUUAGUUGAUUUUUUACCAUAUUUCAUGAAGAUUCCUGUUAAAAAACAGAAUGAAUAAAGCAGAAACAAGAAUUUUUUGUUUGAGGAUCAAACCCAAGAGGAACACAUCAAGGCUUUUAUUGGGCAUGUAUUCAUAGACAAGCAGUUUUUCGUUCUGCUCCAAGCAGCAGCCCUGGAGUCUCACCAGAUUUCUAUGUUGUAGUCUGGCAAUUAACAUGACUUCAUUCUUGAACUCAAGUAACCCUUGCCCAGAAGUUCUAGAGAGCCUUUUAACUGCAACUUCUUUUCCAUCUGCCAAUUUGCCUUAAAAGAAGGAAUUAACAAGCAUCAUAAAAGAACUAAUUAUGUGAACUGUGAAGUUGAAGAAGCGCAUCGUAUACUAAAAGUAUAAUACUCCAUCACCAUAGUUACCUUGUACACAGGGCCAAAUCCACCUUCUCCAAGUUUAUUUUCAUCACAAAGUUGUUUUGUUGCUGUUUGUAAAAUAUCUAGCUGAAUCGAAGGGAAAUCCUUAGAUCUCACGCCACUCUCACCUUGAAAAUUUUCAAUUGAGUAGCCGUCGCCAACUCUUUCUCCUAAUCCAAGUAACUGAACUUCUUGGCUGUUAUGAUCUAUAUUCUCUUCAAGAGAAAACAAUAAUUGGCAAAACAACAGAGUCAAGAAAAAAUGAGGUGGAAGUGUGAUCCAAUGCAUACCAUGAAAAUUUCUCCUUCUCCAACGGAAAAUACCUCCACAACAGAACAGGGUGACCCCAAAAAUUGCGGAUAAACUUGCAACAAUAGGAAUCCAAUUUGGUUCGCCUUGUUUGCCACCUUCUAAAUCUGUUACUCCAAAACAAAGUUAUCUUUCAGUUGAUUUUUAGUGGAAUAAAUUUCUAAUUUUUGUAUUCUUCUAGCUGCUUCUGUUUGGCAGAUAUUAAUUAAUUUGCAAUUAGUUUCUGUAGCAGGUAUUUUUCCAACUUUCUUUUUUGAUGGGUGAAAAUUUCAGUAACUAAAAAUUAGGCAAGCUUAAUUCUCUAGCAUCUGAUGAUACUAACCGUUUGAGCCACUUGUUUUGUUUACUGAAGGAAGGGAUGCUUCUGAUUCAACUCCAGGAUUCUUGAUUAUCGUAGUGUUUGUUGAUUCGUCUCGAGGUUUUCCAUAAAAUGGAUAUAUCUCAUACCUGAUGCUACAGCUUGGUCGUAAAAAUCUCCCACCUUGUCUUCCAGUCUCUAAAGAUAGGAUUGAGCUACGUAGACAAGAUUGACAGUCUGCAACUGACAAAUCAGGGGUGCAUUGAACAAGGCCAUACAGCUUCAUGGAAAUUGAAACAUUAACUUCUGUAGUUGCAUACAUGUGGUUAGAAACAUUUGAAAGCAUCCUAGUCAGAUUGUCGAAAGUCUCGGCCAAAUUCUUUUCAAAUUUAUCAAGGUCCGUUAUAUUUGCAUCAUUAUACAUAGCAAAAGCAGGUGUUAGCUGCAUGGUAGAGAAGAAAGAUCUAUAGGAAUAGCGCACAAGGCAUGCAUCAUAAUAUAUAAUCGCUUCUUUGUCACCAGCGCAAUCCUCUAAGAUCUUAGCGGUUGCUAAGGCAAUGCAGUAUUGGCAGAAAUUGGGUUAAACAUCACCUCGACAGAGGAAAAGGCCAUAAACCUUCUCUGGAUUUUCCCUUGCCGUAUCGUUAAAGAAACUAUAAAUACUUCCUUGGUCAUUAAACCGCCGGAUGAGAAGGUGGUUAAGGUUGUUCGCGAACCGAAUACUAGAAUUAAAUAUUUCUGAACAUCUUGUAUAGAGAUAAGCCUGCUGCAUUUCGGACACGUUUUGUGGGAUAACAAGGAGCGAAGAAGAAAGAAAGAGGAGCAGGUAAAAUGCGCCUGAAACAGAAAGAACAACAUAAUAGUGCAUCAUCUUCUUCCAAUGCUUUUCAAUAAUUCAGAAAUCUUAAGACCAUAAUCUAUCCGGAAUGGGUUAUUAACCGAGACUGAGAGGCCCUCCUCGACAAAUUGACUUGUUGACUUCUAAAGUUUCCGUCCACCGCCAAAAUUAUCUCCACACCACGAUCUGUUGCCUCGUUUGGCAAAAACGUUACGCUCUGUUUUCUCGUUAACGUGCAGUUUGCAUCUGAAUUUUUUUUUUUAGUAUUUUAAUAAAAUAAUAAUUAUUAAUUGUUUUGGUAACCAUGAAAAUUUCUGAUUAAUUAUUUAUUUUAUGUUGUUAACAAGUUUUUACUUUGCUAAACUAAUUAUUUUUGUUAAGUUCACUAAUUUUUAAGAUUCACCACUUUGUUAAAGCUUAAUUUAUUACAAUUGAAUAAUUGAAUAAAGAUUCUCAAUAAAUUAAUAAAAAAUUUAUUUGUGACAUGAGUAUAAUUUGAAAUUUGAUCAAAGGGAAGAGGUUAAUAUAGUCUACACACCAUAAAAUAAUUUUAUUUUAUUUUUUAUAAAAGACAUACCCUUUCAUUCGAUAUGUGUAAUUAAUGUUACUGUAAAUCAGCUUUAUGCACAUGUUACGUAUUAAUUUAUUAUUAUAUAACAAUAUUGAUAUAAUUUUAAUUACUUAUAUAAUAAGAGUGCUUUUGCUUUCCAAUCAAUGUGAUAGAGUGACAUAAUAUCAUUGAUAUCUCUUGAGGUGAUGUGAUUACUCCUCCGAGAAGGAUGUAAUAUCCAAGCAGAUGGAGAAUUAGCCACCAAGUACAGUCACUUAGAUGUUAGGGAUGAUUAUAGUUUUGAUAUUAUUUAUUAAGGAUCAUUUAGUUUUGAUAUUAUUUGUUAAGUAAAAUUUUUUUAUCUAAUUAAAUAAGUGAAAGUUAAAUUAUAUAAUCAAUCAAUCAUAUAAAAAAUAUUAAUUUAAUAUAAUUCGAUCCAAUUAGUUUAUGUCUACAAAUAAAAAAAAUCAUUAGUUAUAAAAAAUUACAUUAAAAUAUUAAAAUAAUCACUCACAAUUACACCUAUAGACCUUCUCAAUCUCUUCUAAUUCUCUAAAGUAUUCUCAAUCUAAACAAACAUAUAGCUAUAUAUACCUUUUUAACACAAAGAAACACAUACCCAUAUGUACUCAUGUAUCAUAUCUAUAUAGACUAUCUCAAUCUCCUCUAAUCCACUCACAAACAUACAACAUAUACAUUCAUAAGAUGUAAAUCUCUAAUAGUCUUAUAAGUUGUCUAUCACAAUAAAACUUUACAACUCUCUUUCAUCUUUUUCUUAUUCAUGGACUUAGGUCAAUUGGAUCGAAUCAUGUUAAAUUAUUGUUUCUUGUGUGAUUAUUUGAUCAUUUGAUUUUGCUUUCGCUGGCUUACUUGGAUUGGGGCUUUUUAACCUAACAAAUGGUAUCGAAGUUGUAAUAAUUUCUAAUAAAUUAUAUCAGAGCUACGGUAAUCCCUAACAAGUCGUAUCAAACUCAAAGGUUCAAGCCAUUGGAAAAGGUAAGUCCAGAAGAGCUCGAUUCAAGAAAAAAAUUAGAGUUCGUAUUUUAAAAAUUAAUUUGCGUGAAACAUGAAGGUACACAAAAAAAGAUGAUUGUGAGAUUUUUAUUACAGGUACAGUCAAGCAUGUCUAAUAUGAAAAUAUAUGAUUUGAUGAAAUUUGAGUUAAGGUGAAAAUUGUUGGAAAUAGUAACUCAAAUCCCAUAACAGAUUUGUUUGAAAAUUGAUUAGAUAUUAUUUGAUGGACAAGAAGAUUUACUGACGAAGAAUUCUAAAAGAAAAUGAAUUUUUAAUAGGUAAGUUUGACUUACAAAAGAAAAUUUUUAAAAGUAAAAAAAUUUUUAAUAGGCAAAUAUGUAUGUUUAUAAAUAAGUGAACUCUCUACAGGAUUAGGUAUGAGAAAAAGAUAUAAGAGAGUUGUAGGAUUUUAUGAGAUAGACACCUUAUAAAACUACUAAAGAUUUACGUCUUAUGAGUGUGUAUGUUUAUAUAUUUGUAAAUGGACUAAAAGAUAUUGAGAGGGUCUAUAUAGAUAUGAUGCAUGGGUGCACAUAGGUAUGCGUUUGUUUGAGUUAAUAAUACUUCAUAAGACUAGAAGAGAUUGAAAGUAUCUAUGAAUAUUAAUUAUUGAGUGAUUGAUUGAUUUGAUAUAUGUUUGUAACUCUCUAUAAUUAGUGGAUAUUUUUUUCAUCUAUGGACAUAAGUUGAUUUGGUCGAACUACAUUAAAUUGUUGUCUCUUAUAUGAUUGUUUAAUCAUUUGAUUUUGCUUUUGUUGGCUUGAUUGGAUUGGAGUUUUUUAGCCUAACAUUAGACACGUCGUGCGAGACUUAAAAUAAAUAUUUUUAUUUCUAUAUUUGUAAAUUCUCCCUUAAAAAUUAUUUAAAUAAUUUUUUAUUAUUGAAUUUUGCUUACAAAAGUUCUAAAAAAACAUUUUAAAAUUAUUAUGUUAAAUAAUAUUUUGUUUCAAUAUAUUGAAAAUUAAUAUAUUAACUAUCAAUUAUUCAUUAAAUAAAAAUAUUAUUAUAAAUAUAAUAUUAAUUAAUCUUAAAAAUUUCUUAAAAAUAGUCAAGUUAACAAAAUUAUUUACUAUUUAUUAUAACAUUUCUUAUUAUUAAUACCAGACACUGCCUUGAAAAAAAGAAAACAUUUAUUAUUGAUAACAAACACUCCCUUGAAAAACAGAAAGCAUUUAAACUUCCUGGAAAACCAGUAAGCCAGUCACGACAUUGCACUUUUCAACUUAAAUUGAUCAAUUGACAAUUUGCUGUGUGUACAGAGCAAAGUUUUCGGCAUGCACCCCGCAACUAUGCUUGUCAGCUAAAGCACAAAAUUAAACUCUUAAGGGGUCCAUUGCUAUUUCUAUUAAGACCUGUCAUGAAGACCAAUUUAUGGCAGGAAAUGGGGAAGGAAAUUAUGGCACUUUUAAAGGUUUUGCAGAGGAUAGAAAAUUAAAAAGAUAAAAAAUUGAGAGAGAAAAAAAUCCAAAUUAAGAUGGAAAAACUAUGAUUUUUUUUGUUGGUGUGAUUUUGUAAGAAAAAUUAAAAAAUGGAUGGAAUUAAAAUAAUUUUUCUAGAAUCGGCUCGAAAAUCUCAAAUUUUAAUUUUAAUUUUAAUUAAAAACAAUUAAAAUAUUUUUUUUACAUAGUCUAAUUAUUUGAUAGAGUUAAAAAAAAUAACAUUAUUUUAUCAUAUAUAUUUUAAAUAAAAAUAAAACAAUUCUAAAAGUAAAUAAAUAUUUUAUGGAUUUAUAAUAUUUGACUCACUCCUUUUUUAUUUUCUCUUGUUUAUUUUUUUUAUUUCAAAUGUUUUAUUUAUGAAUAAAAAUAAGAAAUGACAAUCUCUCCUAUUAUUAUUUUUUAUGAUAGCUUAAUUAACCUAAAGGUAAAGCUUCAAUAUUAUGAGUUAUAAAUCCUAACUGGCAGUUACCAUAGCAAUUUCGGGGAAAGGGCUUUCAAGUGAAGGUCAUAAUAUAUUAUUACAGAUUUUCUUGUUCAGAGUUUUCUGGUAAACUAAGUAGAAAAUAUAAAUGCAACGAAUUAAAAGGUCGUACGUAUCAACGAGUGUGUGACUUUUGCGGUUGAAGUCGAUUCCGAGGUUGAGUAUUAUUUUCCUAACAACAGGCAAAUGGAAACUUCGAGGGAAAGAAAAAAGAAGAGAAAAUCAUUGAUUCUACGUACAACUGAGGCAAAUAAAGAAAUCGGCGGUAAACUUUACCAACAAUUGGAGUAGUUCCAAGAAGGUACUUAUUAGCCCUUUCAUCACUUUAAAGCCGGACGAUGCACUGGGAUAACUUGACCUACCCCAAACAGAAAGUUCAACGAUCAACGAACUGCACUGGAUAUCUUUUCUUGUCUGAACUUGUCCAUAAAUAUUAGAAGUCCUAAUAAUGCUAAAAUUAAAAAAGAAAAGUAUCUUAAAUUUCAUAACUUUUAUUAAAUAAAAUUUUAUAUUUUUAUUAUAUUUAAAAUUUUUUUUAAUAUUUAAUUUGUACUCAUAUAAUACUUUAACAUUUAAUUUGCAUGUAAAUAAGUUAUUAAACUUUUAAUUUAUACAUAAAUAAUUCCUUAUACAUCAUUCUUUUAUUUGAAAUGAAAACUUAUUUAUAUACAAAUCAAAUUAUAAACAUUUAUUUAAAUAUAAAAAAUAUAUAAGAGUUUAUUUAAAAAUAAUGAAAUAAUUCAAAGAUUUUUUUUUAAUAUUUGGGCUUACUAAUAAUUAUGUCUUGCAUACAUCCAUGUGAGACAAUUAUUAAAACCUGGUAAAUUGAAAGAGGUGUCGAAUAUUUAUGUAUUAAAAGGGUGUAAAUGUUAGAUGGCCUGUGAACAGAACAAUCUCAUCAAUAAGAGACGGAGUCAUAAUUUAUGAUAAGUGAAAUAAAUAUUUUAAGUUAAUUUAAAAUUUUUUUCAUUAAAGUAAAAUUAAUUUUAAAAAUUAAAAAUAAAAUUAGCACGUAUAACCUUUUUGUAAAUGAAAAUAAAAUUUUGUUUUGCAAAUAUAAAUAAUAUUUGCGUAAUUAAUUAUAUGAUUUUUUACAAAUAUAGUCUAAACACUAUUUAGAUAAAUCAUUUAUCUUAAUAGACACACACACACACACACAUAUAUAUAUAUAUAUAUUGAUAUAUUAAUUUAAUAGAAUUUUACUUACAAAAUUCUUAAAAAUAAAUAUAAUAUGUGAAAGAAUGAAAUAAAAAUUAAUAUGUUUAACUUUAUUAUUUACUUUUAAUAUGUUUAGUUUUAUCAUUUAUUUUUAAUAAACAAAUAUAUUUGAUAUUUAUUCAUUAUAAUUUGAAAAAUAAAAAAUUAUUCUUUUCUUACAUACAAUGAAAAGAAGAAUGAAGAUGAUUUUUUUUUUAUUUUAUUACUUCAUAUUUUUUUAUGUUUUUUUAUUUUGUGUUAAAAAGUGGUUAAAUCACUUAUGUAGUGUAAGCUCCAUAUCACAUUAUUCCUAUAAGAUCAAUUUGUAUCAAUCUAAACAAAUUAUUAUGAGAAAUUAAAAAUUUAACAAUUUCAAACUCUCUAGAAAUAAUUUAUUUUAUUUUUUACAAACUUGAAAUAUAUAUAUAUAUAUAUAUAUAUAUAAGUAUAUAUAUAUUAUAAUGAUAUUGCUUAGCACUCAAAGUGUCAAUGUUCAAUUAUUAGAUAAAUAAUGAAAAAUUUCAUAUAUGAACUUUAACUUAGUGGGGGGCAAAUAUGACAACAAAGAUUUUUUAUAAGGACAAAACUUUAAAUUUUCAAAACUUUUGAUAUUUUUAUAAUAAACCCAAAAGAAUUUUAUGAACUCAGUGGGGCAACUGCCCACACAUGCUUCUACGUAGAUCUGCUCCUGUCAUCAAUAUUUUCUUUACAUUUGAUAGAACAAAAAUGGAAUAGGAAUUUUGAACAUUGAACUUUUAUCUUAUCAAGAAGAAUUUACAGCAGUUAGAUUAAAUUCAUCAAAUUUUUUACUCGGCUAAAUAUGUUCAGCGGGCUGAGAUAUUAGAUAUUGUCAUCAGAUUUAUUAAUGAAUUUGUUGUAGAAAGGCUGAUCAACAGGAACAACUCUGCCAAUAGGAAAAAGCAGGUCUUUUGGUUCAGGAAGAGCAAAAGAGGGUCCAUUAGGUCCAAUUGUUUUCCAUUUUUCCAUAGUCACCAGGCUUGCCAACGAAUCACUAUAAGAAAAUAAAAGAUUAGUGACAAUUUUGUAGCAAUAUUUCAUUUACAAAUAUUAUUAAUUUAUGUGUUUUUAUAAAAUUUAAAGCGCUUAUUAUCAAAACAUCAUUAAAUAUUUAAAUAGCGACAUUGUUACUUAUAAACACCACUCAAUACUUGAUAUUAGCGACAUUUAUCGACUAAAACGUCUUCAAUAAUCUUGUCUUAAAAAUUUGAAUGAAUAUUAAAGGAGUUUUUGGUAGAAAAUGACUUAAAUAAUCUCGUUAAAAAAAUUAAUAAAGAAUUACUCAAGGCGUUUUCUACAUGAAAUGCUUUUAAUAAUUUCAUAAAAAAAUUCAACAGGGAUAUUGAAGGUGUUUUUAAUUAAAAAUACCUUCAACAAUAUCCUAUUAAAAUUUUAGGAUCGUACGGAUGUUAACCAUAAGGUGGUAAGUUCGAUCCCUUCAUUUUGCAUUUUUUAAGUUUUUACAGAGAUUAUUUAUAAUUGAUUAUUCUAGGUAUUUUCUGGGCAAAAAUGCCUUCACCAAUCGAUUUAAAAAAUUUUAGAGAGAAUAUUGAAGGCGUUUUUGGUAGAGAAAUGCCCUCAAUAAUCCAUAAAAGAAAUAUGGAACCGAUUCUUGAAGAUAUUUUUGGCUGAACUCACCUUCAAUAAUCCAAUCAAUAAACUUUUAGUUUGGAUUAUUAAAGGCGAUUUUUGUCAAAAAUGCCUUCAAUAAUCCAUACACAAGUUGAAACGGAUUCUUGAAGGCGUUUUUGGCUCAAAAUGCCUUUAAUAUUUCACACGAUAAAUUUAAAUUGUUGGAUUAUUGAAGGCAGUUUUUAUAAAAAAAUGCCUUCAAUAACAUGUUGUUAGGGAUUAUUCAAUACGUUUUCCAGCAAAAAAAAUGCCCUUAAUAAUCCAUAGGAAAAAUAUGGAACAGAUUUGUGAAGGUGUUUUUGGCCAAAAGUGCCUUCAAUAAUCCAUUCAAUUAAUUUUUAGUUGAUAUUAUUGAAGGUAAUUUUUUUUUUUUAAAAUGCCUUCAAUAAUCCAUACAAAAAAGUUGGAAUGGAUUAUUGAAGGCAUUUUUUAUCCUAAAUGCCCUUAAUAUUCUACACAAUAAAUUUUUAGGUGGGAUUAUUGAAGAUAGUUUUGGUAAAAAACUCCUUAAAUAACAUUUUGUUAAGGAUAAUUCAAGGUGUUUUCUUGCUAAAUAUGCCCUUAAUUUGUUUGUAGGAAAAAUAUGAAACGAAUUCUUGAAGGUGUUUUUAGGUGAAAGCGCCUUUAAUAAUCCAAUCAAUAAAUUUUUAAAAUAGAUUAUUGAAGGUGGUUUUUGUCAAAAAUACCUUCAAUAAUCCAUACAAAAUAUUUGGAAAGGAUUCUUAAAGGCGUUUUUGUCCCAAAUCGCUUUUAAUAUUCCACAUAAUAUAUUUUUAGAUAGGAUUAUUGAAGGGGAUUUUAGUUAAAAACUCCUUCCAUAACAUUUUGUUACGAAUGAUUAAAGGUAUUUUCUUGCUAAAAACGCCUUCAUUAAUCCUAUGAAAAAAAUAUUUUUGAUAUUAUAUAUGUCAAGUCAGUUGUAAGUUUAUGCCCAGAAAACAUUUAAAGUCAGUUGUACAUUUAUGCCUAGAAAACAUUUGGUUUAUAUAUGUGAUACUAUGAAUUAUAUUUUGGAAUUUACAUAAUGAAAAUUGUUGUAUUUUAAUAAAUUGACGACACAUUCGAAUUUAAAACUAAUAACGUUGCCAUAUUACUAUACUUUCUGAAAUAAUCGUACUCAAUAAUAUAUUAAGUACACAUAGUGUAUUCAUAUAAAAUAAAUAUAUACCAAUAAUAUUAAAUCAAUACCCCAAUCUACAAACUUAAAAUUUUCAUUCAACAUGGCAUGUUAAAAAAUUAUAAUAAUUUGUUCUUCAUAUAUUUACAUUUAACCAACAAUGCUAAUCUCAAGGUUUAUCAAUAAUGAUAAAUGAUAAUAAAUACUCACACCAUUCUUUAAGGACUUCAUCCAGUUCCUCUACUGUGAAGUUUUCUUUACUCUCUCACUAAAAAAAAAAAUAGAAGUAAAUGUUAAUAAAUGAGAACAUAAUUUAGUUUUUUAUUUUUUUGAAGAUAUAACGAGUUUAUGAAAUUUAUACUAACCUUGAAUGGUGUGAUUAUAAAAUCAUAUAAAACUAUCUCCUGCAUAAAAAGAAGGACAUAAUAUCCACAUUCAGUAUUACUGGUUGAUGAUGUACCUGAAAAUUAAAUUGAGUGGGUUUAAGAAAUAUUUAUCUACACAAACUCAGUAUAAAAGAAUAAAUUUUACAUUUACCGAUAAUGACACCCAUUUCAGUUUCUUUGCCUUCUUAUCAAAUAUAGAUAUUAUCUUAAAUUGAAAAGAAAAAAAUUACUUAAUACAUAAAUAAAAUUACUUAUGAAAAACAAAAGAUAUAUAAUAUAAUAAAGUGUAAUACCUCUUUAUAAAAGUUUGAAUUUUGGUGUUAGGCAUCACCGUUGAUUAACUGAAUUAAGUAAGUAUGGCGUUAAGGAUUUGGUGUCAAUCACAAUAAGCACCCAAUGAUGACUACUAAAUAAUGACAAUGUUAUACUCAGAUUAUUUAUCAUAUUAGAUUUGGGUAAGGUUGAAAUAAUUAUUUGUAUGAAUAUAACUUACCGUGCAUUAUACGAGAGCAAAUAAUAAUCAGUCGAUCUUUUCACGUAUUUAAUCAUAUGAUUAGCAUGAUAAGUGACUGUGCCACUCUGCUCACUAAUGAAGUUGGGGUCAACGAAUCUAAAUUUGUUGGUCAAUUGUCUCCCUUGAGCUCUCUAUAUAGGAAGCUACACGAUAACAAUCAAUAAGACUAGUUAGUAUUACACCAUAAUAUAGAUUAAUACAUAUUGAGGGUGCAUAUUUGUAUUUAUAAGCUAACCUCAUAUAAGCAACAAUAUCAACAACUGAUAAUUCAUCCAAUUCAUAAAAAUUUUUAACCUCCUUCACACCAAUGAAAAAAAAAUGAUGGUUUAUCAAAUAAUCCUUCAUCAGACUCAAUGGUUAUGAAGUUUCCUCUGGAUAAAUGCUUCAACAAAUAAUUAGAUAACUCAUCCAUAGUAGCCUGAGCAAGGGUCAUACUCUGAGUCCCAACAUCCUACUACAAUAUUUAAUGAAAUAUAAAUAUUAAAACCAAAUAAAUAAAUAUAAUAAAUAAAUUAAUAUUAAACUUAUAAACAAAAUUAUACUUCAUGAGUGGUAGUGGAGGUUGAGUUCAUUGCCUGACUUGCAACGGAAGCUUGUCCUACGUGGAUAAUGCUAUUUGACUGGCCUACUGCCAUACUAUGCUACAUUGUUGCCAAUAUGGCCUUCAAAGCAGCGAGUCUUUGCUGUUGCUCAUUGAGGCAUUACUCAUGGUUAUCAAGUCAUUGUUGUUGUUGCUCAAUGAUUGCUUCAUAUUGUGCAUUUGUCAUUCGUAAAGUUUUGGGUUGAUUAUUAAAAAACUUUGAUGACAAGAAAAAUUUACCAAUCCCAUGAACCCGACCAAGCCUUUCUUUAGUACUUAAUGCUAAAGAUAAUGGAUCUUCUCCAUACUGGAUUAUCAGUUCACCAGAUUUGACUUUGGAAACAUAAUCAUCCUAAAAGACAAUAAUAAUAUGGGCUGUAACAACAAAUCUAUUCAAGCUAGUAUACAAUUAUGCAUACAACCACAAUGCUAAUCAUACAUUAUAUUAAAAAAGUAGUUAUACAUACAAUCUUUUUCGGUAUUUUUUCAGUUGCUUCAUUUGCAAAGGAUCUAUAUUUUUGUAGAUGUCCUUAUUUUCAGACAUCCCAUCUGAAAACUUCAGUACCAGAGCUUGCUGAUUUCUAUUAAAUUACUGCAAUAUAAGAAUCUGAAUGUAUGAAAUGAAUGUUCAUAAAUAUUCAUUAAUGAGUAUAAAAUAAGUGUGCGAAUUCAUACAAGUUCAUACUUCACAUUUGCAUAUCUUUUUCUUGUUGUUCAAUGGUGAUAUUGUUGUUUGGCUCAAAUAUUCUGUUGGUUUUCUUUGAUUUUCUACAAAAGAAAAAAAUUACGUCAAUCACAUAUGAAGAUCAAAUGAUAUAUUGCAUAAAAACCUAUAAACAAUUUUUUUGGUAAUGGGUUUGCAUACUGAGAAAUCUUCUGAAAGUCGAUAUUGAACAAAAUUUAUCCAAUCUUCAACACUUAUUACAUCUACAUAUGACGCAGGUGAAAUAGCCAAUACAUCACCUUGAUUAGCCAGCGGUAAAAUAUAUUGGGUUGUUAAUUUGCUUUUAAAAUCUCUGAAUGUUUUCUCAGCAGAUUGCAACACAAUCUUUUUAUAGUCAAUUAAGACAUCAAACCUUCCUAAAUAAUUUAACACAAUUAGUAUGAACAAAUUGAAUUUUAAUUAAAUGAUUAUUUAAUAAAUUUUACGAAAUAGUUGAAUAAACAUACCACAAUCGACUGCCAUAUAUCAUCUUUUAGAUCAUUAGAAACUCAUCACCAAUUGGUGUACAUAAUUGAAAUCCUAUUACGGACGAUGGCUCCAAUAUGAGUAGUCAACUUGGUAGCUCCUUCAGACACAAGCUGCCCAUUUUGAUUGAAGUCAAUGUGAAUUUUUGUGUCACUCACUUUAAUUUGUUUAUUUGGGCCCCUUCCCUUUUUUUUUUGGCCUAUAGGUGUGUCUUGUGCAUGUUUAAUAGAAGGAGAAUGAUGUUGUUCGAAGUUUAUAAUACAUGUAAUUUUGAUCAUAAUUAUAUGAAUUACACAAAAUAACCGUUUAAAUUUAACACUGUACAUAAUUAAAUAAAAUUAAUACCAUACUACAUACAGAAAUACCAUUCAGUAAACUAAUCAGCAAUGUGCUCAAACACAACCAUUCAGAAAUACCAUUUAGCAUACCAUUCAACAUAAAAUUUAGCGUACCAAUAUCAUACAAUACCAUUCAGCAAAAUAAUAUCACACAACAAACCACAAUAUUUAAAGAAAACUACACAGAAACAACACACAUGCAAUGAAAGGUGCUUAGGCAACUUUGCUUAUGGUGAAAUUAAUAAAAAUAUAUGCAUAUGUAAAUAGUAAAGAACCGAAAAAAAUACCUUUAUUGAAUAAUAUCAAUAAUACAGUAAACAAAAAAUAAAAACAUACCAAUAAACAUAGAGGUGCUCACCGUUGAUUUGUUAAAGGUCAAUGACGAUGAUAGGGAUAAAGAAACCAAAAGUCUGAUAGAAAUGUGUUUAUAGGUUUGGUUUGGUUUAUUAAUGCAACUUUUAAUCAUUCUCUAUACUAACAGUUUGUGAUUCUAAUGUUCAAGAUAAGGGAAUGAAUAUAAAAAUUAUAAGUGAAGGCAUUUUUCUGAAAAAAAGGCUUUCAAUAAUUCCUUUAAAAUUUUAGUUGUAGAUUAUUGAAGGUAUUUUUUAUUAAAAAACACCUUUAGUAAUCUAAAAAAUAAUUUUCAAAUGAAAUUAUUAAAGGUGUUUUUCCUCAAGAAAUGCCUUUGAUUAAUUUAAACAAAAAUUAUUAAAGGCGUUUUAGUAGAAAAUCGCUUUCAUUGAUAUUCCUGUGAUAAGAAUUGAGGGAAUUAUUGAAGGCGUUUGUUCUUAAAAAAGCCUUCAAUAAUUAUGUGCAAAAACUAAAAAGAAUUAGUGAAGGUAUUUUUCUGGAAUAAACGCCAUUACUAACCAUCUUAAAAUUUGAGUAUUGAAAUAUUGAAAGCGUUUUUCAUUAGAAGACACUUUUAAUAAUCCCAUAAAUUUUUAAAAGAAAAUUAUUGAAGGCGUUUGUUCUCAAAAAAUACCUUCAAUAAUUAUGUAUAUAAAUUAAAAGAAAUUAGUGAAAGUAUUUUUUAAGAAUAAAUACCUUCACUAACCAUCUUAAAAUUUGAAUAUUGAAAUAUUGAAGGUGUUUUUCACUAGAAGACGCAUUUAAUAAUCUCAAAAAUUUUUUUUAAAAAAUUAUUGAAGGCAUUUUUUGAGAACAAAUGCCUUCAAUAAUUAUGUACAAAAAUUAAAAGGAAUUAGUAAAGGUAUUUUUUUGGAAUAAACACCUUCAUUAACCAUCUUAAAAUUUGAGUAUUGAAAUAUUGAAGGCAUUUUCACUAGAAGACGUCUUUAAUAAUCUCAAAAAUUUUAAAAAAAAUUAUUAAAGACGUUUAUUCUCAAAAAAUGCCUUCAAUAAUUAUAUACAUAAAUUAAAAUGAAUUAGUGAAGGCAUUUUUCUAGAGUAAACACCUUCACUACCUGUCUUAAAAUUUGAGUAUUAGAAUAUUAAAGGUAUUUUUCACUAGAAGAUGCCUUUAAUAAUCCAAAAAAUUUUUAAAAAGAAAUUAUUGAAGGUGUUUGUUCUAAAAAAAUACCUUCAAUAAUUAUGUACAUAAAUUAAAAAGAAUUAGUGAAAGUAUUUUUCUAGAAUAAACGCCUUCAGUAACUAUCUUAAAAUUUAAGUAUUGAAAUAUUGAAGGCAUUUUUUUACUAGAAAACAUCUUUAAUAAUCUCAAAAAUUUUUAAAAAGAAAUUAUUGAAUGUGUUUGUUCUAAAAAAAUCUUCAAUAAUUAUGUACAUAAAUUAAAAAGAAUUAGUGAAAGUGUUUUUCUAGAAUAAAUGCCUUCAGUAACCAUCUUAAAAUUUGAGUAUUAGAAUAUUGAAGGUGUUUUGUACAAAAGACAUGUUUAAUUAUCUAAAAAAUUUUUAAAAGAAAAUUAUUGAAAGAGUUUGUUCUAAAAAAAAGGCUUUCAAUAAUUAUUACAUAAAUUAAAAAGAAUUAGUGAAGGCAUUUUUCUAGAAUAAAUGCCUUCACUAACUAUCUUAAAAUUUGAGUAAUGGACUAUUAAAGGCAUUUUUCACUAGAAGACGUAUUUAAUAAUCCCAAAAAUUUUUAAAAGAAAAUUAUUGAAGAUGUUUGUUCUAAAAAAAUGCCUUCAAUAAUUAUGUACAUAAAUUAAAAAGAAUUAUUGAAGGCAUUUUUCUAGAAUAAACGCUUUCACUAACCGUAUUAAAAUUUGAGUAUUGAAAUAUUGAAGGUAUUUUUCACUAGAAGACAUCUUUAAUAAUCUAAAAAAAUUUUAAAAGAAAAUUAUUGAAGGCAUUUUUUGCAGAAAAUUGCCUUCACUAAUAUUCAUAGAUAAAAAUGAGGGAAUUAUUAAAGACGCAUUUAAUAAUCUCAAAAAUUUUUAAAAAGAAAUUAUUGAAGGUGUUUGUUCUAAAAAAACGCCUUCAAUAAUUAUGUACAUAAAUUAAAAGCUAUUAUUAAAGGUGUUUUUUUGGAAUAAAUGCCUUCACUAACUCCUUAAAAUUUUAGUAGUGUAAUAUUAAAGGUGUUUAGUGCAGAAGAUGCCUUUAAUAAUCUCAAAUAACUUUUAGAAAGAAAUUAUUAAAGAUAUUUUUUUUUUGUAGAAAAUCGCCUUCUUUGAUAUUUAUAGAUAAAAAUGAGAGAAUUAUUGAAGGUGUAUUAUGCAAAAUAUGCCUUCAAUAAAUACACCAUAAAAAAUUAGAUGAAAUUAGUGAAGUCAUUUUUGAGGUGUAAACGCCUUUAAUAAUCUCAAACAAUUCUACUUCGACUCUGCUAAAGGCAUCUAUAAUAUAUUCAAAAACUAUUUAGGAGAAAAUUAUUGAAGGCAUUUUUCUUAGUAAACACUUUCAAUAAUCCGAUCCAAUAAAAUUGUCCCCAAACUUAGCACAUCCAAUCACUAACUUCAAGCUUCAUCUUUAUCAUUUUACUAUUUCUCUUUCCAGUCCAACUACAAUUUACUUUCCCUUUCCUUUAGCUUUUAGUAUUUGAGCAUUGUCUUUUAUUUCAAUUAUUCAUUAGUUAUUUACUUUAGCUUUUACUUCAUUUGACAAUUCCUUUAGCUUUUGCAAUUUACGAUUUUUUUUUUGUUUAAACAAUUUUCUCUAAAACCCACAUUUCUCAAAUACCCAUUUGUAACCCAUAAUCCACUUCCUUGACCCUUUCAUUUUCUUCUUUUUUUGGGUUUCCUUUGUACCAGUUUUACCUUAUUUCAACCUCAACUACAAAUACUCUUGAGUACUAUCUAGGUGAGCAACAGACUUUUAAUAUUCAUAAUAUUAGGUAGCUAAUAAAAUAUUUCACAACAAAGAGUUCUGGUAUUCUGUAAGUACUAGUCUUGUUAUUAUAUUUUAUUUAAAACAUAGUAAACUUAAGUAUUUUGCAUGUUCAUUUUCAUAUAAAUUAUUUAUAUACAUUUAGUCUAAUAAUGUAGCAAGAACUAAAUGGAAAAGAGUUGGAUGUAAAAGUCAAUUAAGUCAAGAGUAUUGAGAUGGGUGACAAAUUUUCUUAAUUUUGCAUUUGAGAAUACAAGUCAAAAUAAUAUGAUAUUAUGCCAAUGUGUGAAGUGUGCUAAUAUCGAUUGGCAAUUGUGUGAAAUUAUUUUUGAACAUUUAAUUUGUAUUGAAUUUCUCUUAGGAUAUGUUAAUUGAUAUUUUCAUGGAGAGUCUGUACCGUUAAGGUUUUUCACUAGAGUUCUUUCAAUUUCAAAGGCUCUCCAAUACCAACAUAAUCUUUUUAUAGCAGAUUACAGUGAAGGCAUAUUGCAAGAUAUUUUUAACAUUCAUAACCAAUAUUUUUGUAAUCUUUCUCCCCAAAAUGAUGGAUUUAAUCAGUCCAAUGUUGAAAUGAAUGAAUUUCGUGAACCUAGGAUAGGUGUAGGUGACCAUCAACCUAGAGAAGAAGCAUCAAAAUUUUAUAAGUUGUUUGAGGAUAUAAAUGAAGAACUUUAUGAGGGAUCGAAGCAUUCAAAGUUAUCUUUUUGCGUUCGUCUUUUUCACUUGAAAUGCUUAUGUGGAUAGAUAGGAAACUCUCUGACUUUAUUAUUUGAGUUUAUAAAAGAAAUGUUUCUUUUUGUAAAAAUCUCUAAAUCUUGUAAGAAAUCAAAGAAGAUGAUCAAAGAUUUAGGUCUCAGAUAUGAGAAAAUACAUAGUUGUCCCAAUAAUUGCAUGUUGUAUUGGGAUGAUAGAAAAAAUCAAGAAUCUUGUCAUUUGUGUGAUAUUUCUGGUUGGAUGGAUAAAAACCCUGAUAAAAGGUUGAAUGAGGAUGGUGAUGAGGUUUGUGUCAAAAAGAAGCCUGUUAAGGUUUUACGUUAUUUUUCAUUAAUACCAAGACUUCAACGACUCUCCAUGUCUUUCAAAACUAUAAAUUCAAUGAGAUGGCAUUAUGAGAAGUAAAUGAAUAAUGGAUCAUUGAGGAUCCUGUAGAUUCUUUGGAAUAAAAAUUAUUUCCUUUUAAGUUUUCAGACUUUGCAUUUGAUCCUCAAAAUGUUAUGCUUGGACUAGCAUCUGAUGGAUUUAAUCCGUUCAAAAUAAUGAGUACUUUUUAUAGUACUUGGCCAGUUGUGUUAAUUUUUUACAAUUUGUCACCAUGGAUAGCUAUGAAGUAAUAGUUAUUUAUAUUAUCUAUGAUAAUUUUUAGGGAAAAAGGUCCAGGUAAUGAUAUAAAUAUCUAUUUUACAACAUCUUAUUAAAGAGUUAAAGCAAUUAUAAGAAGGAGUUGAGACCUAUGAUGCAUUAAAAAAAUAAAACUUUAAUAUGCGUGCUACUUUAAUAUGGACUAUCAACGAUUUUUCUACUUAUGCAAAUUUAUCUGGUUGGAGUAUAAAAGGUUGUUAUGUUUGUCCACAUUAUGCUGCUUAGACAUGUUCGAAGUGGUUACCUAAUGGUAUGAAGUUCUAUUACAUGAGACAUUAUCAAUGGUUAGAUGAUAAUCAUCGAUUUAGAUUCCAAAAACAUCUCUUUGAUGGAACUAAAGAGUUGAAGAGAUCGUCUUUACCAAUUAGUGGGUCAAUUUCUUGUUAAAGUUAAAAUAUAUCAAUUUCACUUAGAAAAAAAUGACUCCAUCAAGAAAAAGAGUGAGGACAUCUUUAAAGGUGUCUGGCCUCAUAUCACGCAAGUUGAUGAUACUGAUACUUAAGUUAGUGAUCUUUACGUUUAAAGUGAUAAAAAAGAUCAUAAAAAAGAUGACCUUAAUGAGUCUGAAUUGUAAAAAAAAGAAGUAUCAUUUUUGAGUUGCCUUAUUGAAAUAUAAUCUAUUACGCUAUAAUCUUGAUUUGAUGCACAUAAAGAAGAAUGUUUGCGAAAAUUUUAUCAGGACAAUUCUCAAUAUGAAUAAAAAAUCAAAUGAUGACUUAAAUAGUUCGCUUGACCUAGUUGAUAUGGGGAUUCACCCUAACUUUUAUUGAAAAUUACUUUCUAAUGGCAAAUAUCGAUUACCUGCUGCUUGUUUUGGGAUUUCUAAAGCCAAAAAAGAUAAGUUUUGCAAGGUUUUAAAAAAUGUCAAAGUUUUGGAUGGCUAUACAUCAAAUAUAUCUAGAUGUGUGAAUCUAAAAGAGCAAAAACUUUCUUCAUUGAAGUUAUAUGAUUAUCACAUUUUGAUGCAAUACUUACUUUCAAUUGCUUUACGUUCAUCAAUGUCAAAGUAAGUUACUUCUGUGGUAAUUGAAUUGAGUAACAUAUUUAAAUCUCUAUGUGAAAAAUGUAUGAAUAUGGAAGAGCUUGACAAACUUCAAGAUCGAGUCACGAUUACUUUAUGCCAUUUAGAGAAGAUUUUUCUUUCAAACUUUUUCACUAUUAUGAUACAUUUGGUUAUCCAUCUUUUAUAUAAAGCAGAAAUCGGUGAGUCAGUUUAUUAUUGAUGGAUGUAUCCUAUCAAAAGGUAUUAUUGUUUAAUAGAUUGAUUAGGUUUUUAUUGAUGAUCAUGCCACUCUAGUUAAAAAGAUAUAUGACUAAUGUUUUAUGCGAUAGGUUUUUAGAGAGAUUAAAGUCUUAUUGUCACAAUAAACGCUAUCGGGAAGGUUCAAUUGCUAUAGGAUAUUUAGCAGAAAAGUGUAUGAUAUUUUGUUCUCGUUAUUUGAAAGAUGUUGAAAUGAGAUUUAAUAGACCAUCGAAAAAUGUUGGUAUGUAACAUACUGAUUCUAUUUAUAAUUAUCUUUUUCAAAGUUUUAGACAACCAAUAAACAAAACUGAAAUGGUAGAGUUAGAUGAUAAAUUUGGGCAUAAGAACAUAAAUAUAUUUUUUUUUAUCAUGACUCUAUUAAAUUGUUUUGCACAUAAGUUUUUUAGCAAAAAAGUUAUUCAUUACAUUAAGCAUAAUUUAUUGUAUUUUUUUAUUGUUAAUACUUUAUCAUGAUACUUUGUAGUGAGCAUAGAAAUAAUUUGAGAGCUUCUGCACAUUAUCGAUGAUCAAACCAUCGAGAGCUUAAUAAGUUAUUCGCUAAAAACUUUUAUAAAUGGUUAGGAGCAACUGUAAGUAAUGCCAUACUUUCAAUUAUGAGAAAUCUACAUAGAAUGCUUAUAAUAUAACUAACAUUAAUAAUAUAUAUUUAUUUAUUUCAGUUUUAUAUGUUUGGAGUAGAAGGCUUCUUAAUGAAGAAGUGACGUAUCUUUCACAAGGUCCGAACAGGAUUGUGAAACGAUACAAAGGUUUCAUUGUCAAUGGAUUUAAAUUUUACACUAAAUACUGUGAGAGAUUUAGAAGUACACAAAAUUUAAAAGUUAUUGUUACUUUAUCAACUACUAGCUAUGCUAGUGCUAGGGACACAAACCCUUUAGUAAAAAAUGUUGACAAUUAUGGCAUGAUUAAUGACAUUAUUGAGUUAGAUUAUUAUGGUAAGUGAAAAUUUAUCUUAUUUUGGUGUGAUUGGGCUGAUGUGAAUAGUACAAGAGGUCUUAAGAAAGAUCAAUAUGGAUUUAUACUUGUGAAUUUUUUUUAAUUAGUUCACACAGGACAACAAUUCAUCGAUAAACCUUAUGUUUUUUCAUCCAAGUCAAACAAGUUUUUUAUUCUAAAGAUCCCAAAGAAUUGGGUUGGUUUGUUAUUCUUCAAAACAUACCUAGAGACUUAUUUGAUAUGAGGUUAGAUACCAAAGAUGAUGUUAAACAUGGCACUGAAUGUUAUCCUUUUGCUGAAUAAAACUUGGAUGAAAAUAUCUCUAGUACCUACACUCAGUGGGUCUAUGAAAAUGUUACUGAAGACAUUUAUAAACCAUGAUGGAUCAUCUAUAUUUUGUAAUUCAAGUGUUUAAGACAUAAUGUAGUAAAUGAUUGUAUGUAAUUAAUGUCGCAUUCACUAUUAUAUAUUUAUUAUAUUAUAAAUCAUACAUUAUCUUUUGAUUUAAUUAAAUCGAUAUGUUAUUUAUAUAUCGUAUGUUAUGAUUUCUUAAUUUCUCAAUGUCUUUAUAUAUGUUCUAAACUAAUAUCUUUUAUAUAUUUUCUUUUAUGAUGCAGGUAAGCUACAAUACGGAUGAGUAGAUUGAAAAGAAUACAUAUCAGAGAUAUUAGUUAAAAUCGUCUGCGGCACCUAUUGAUAUUGGUUAUGGACUGAAUCUUUUGAAGGGGAAUGAAUAUACUGUCGGAUCUAACUCAAUCACUUUUAACUUUUUAACUGAUAUUGGAUCUAGAAAUAUGAAAGAUCCAGGUUUAGAUAGUAUCCCAUCAAUUGAUUAUGCUUUAAAUUUUUUAUGCAAGUAUCAUAUACCCCAUAUUUAGAAUUUGAUUAUAAUGAUAAAAGUAUUGCCAUUUUACAAAUUUAUUUUUUAUUUUUUACAGUUGAUAACAAUGAUCAAUGGAAGACCAAAGGCCAGAUAACUUUGAAUGAAUUAUUUGCAUUACCUUUGAACGAGUGUAUUGUAGUACCUGCAAACUCUGAUAGGCAACUAAUUGGUGAAGAGGCUCAACUAUUGGUUGGAUUUCUAGGCAUGCUUGCCUAUAAUGGAAUGAAAUUGCCUAUCUAUUAUGAAACAUAGCAUAAAGUUCCAGCGAAAGUUAAGGCUGAUGCUUUAAACUUUAUUGAGGAAUUAAUAUAAUUAAUUACAUAUAAAAAUAUAAUUGUUAUACAUUUUGUUUACUUAUUCAAGCUUUUCUUAUUAUAUUAUUAUAGUCAAGAUUUGUACUUGAAAUACCAACUUCAUUUGUGCUUAAGUCAUUGAAAAAGAAAUGGAAAGAUUAUAAGCAUAAUUUGAGGAAUAAGUAUUUUGAUCGAAAUACUACUAUAAAAGUGACGAUGAAAAAUCUACCUUAUAAUGUGAUUAGGUGGUAAUAUGAACAAUUAGUUAGAUUUUGGUUUUUAAGAAAAUGAGAGGUAAUAGUUUAUAACAUUGUAUAGUAGAAUGAAAUAAUGAAAGUGUUUUAUGCUUUAAAUUGGUAAUAUUUGUAUUUCUAUCAUAUACGCAAUUAUUUUUUAUGAUAGGAAAGAGAACAAAUUGGGAUUGAUAGCAGAAAGCAACAGAAAUAUAGCCAUACAAGUGGACCAAAAAGUUUUACAAGAAAACAAAAAGAAAUAGUAAGUUUAUGAUUUUAAACUUAUUCCAAUGAAUGAACUUUUUGUGCCAUUAAAAGGUAAAUAUGCAAAUUAACAGUUAUUGUUCUAUUUUAAUAGUUUCAAUAUAUGAUAUUAAACUUAUCAAAAGUUUUGAACUUAGUUGACAUGGAUGAUAUGUAUGAAAAGUUAUUAUUUACAUCUAUUUAGGUAAAAAUACAAAUUUGUUGUUAUUGUUGUAUUUUAACAGUUUGGAUAGCUUCAAUACUUGAUAUUAAACUUGUCCGAUUGAUUGAACUUGGUUUCUAAGGUUGAUAUGAGUGAAAAAGUUGUUAUUUAUGUUUAUUUGGGACUAUUUUUGCCUUUAAAAGAUAAAAAUACAAAUUAAACUUUUGGAUGGCUUUUAACAGUUUGAAUGGCUUCAAUCCAUGAUAUUAAACUUGCCCAAAUAAUUGAAUUUAGUUUCCAUGAUCGAUGUGUGUUGUCAUAACGGUUUUAUGUCCGCCUGACGAAUUUGGAAACGAAAUAAAAAAUAAUGAAGUUGCCACCAAUCUUUUUUGGCUAGGUGCGAUUGGUCACCUAUUAAAACAUAUCCUUUUAAUGAAAUCUUAAAAUUAAUUAAAAUUUAUUAAAAAGAUAAUUUUAGGAUUUGCGCAACAAUCUAGGUUCAGAAGUAGUUUCGUGUGGGGAACCCCACAAUGCCCAUUUAAAAUGGUACCAAUUAAUUACUUGUUAUUCGUUGAUUUUGAUAAAAAUAGUAUUAUUUUUUAUGUUUGAAAAAUAAUUUCCUUGAUUGUUCAUUUGUUAGCUUUUUUUAUAUACUAUUCGAGAAAUAUAAAUUAGCACUUUUUUGUUGAAAUAAUUCUUAAAAUGUUCUAGUACGUUGGUAACAUUAGAAUAACUUUUUUUCACUUAGAGAUUUCUUAGGCAUUACUUAUUGGAAUAUCGUAGAAUCUCAUCCUCAAAAGGAUCAAAUUUACUUUUCGUAAAAAAAAAAAAUUAUGUUGUGCAUGCAAUGCAAAUAUUAACAUGUUGAUGCACACAUUUUAUUUUUUAUUUUAGAAAUUUUAUUAAUUGUUUUAUUUUUAAUUUAAAUUUUUGAAGAAAAGAAUUUUUAUUAUAUUGAAGUUUUUCUAUAAAUAUUUCAAUACACUGGUAAUAUUUUAAAAAAAAUUUCUCACCUAGGAAUUUCAUAAAGCAUCACUACUCGAAAUACUUUUAGAAUCCCAUUAUUGGAAAAAAUUUUCUUUUUCCUUAUUUAUAUUAUUAUUUUUUUAUAAAUUAAUUAAUUUUUAUUUUUUAUUAACAAAAAGAAAAAUUUUAUUGUAUUAAAAUUUUUUUAUAAAUACUCAAAUACAUAGGCAGUAUUUAAAAAAAAUCUUCUCACCUAGAGAUUUCAUAGGCAUCACUACUCGAAGUACCUUUGAAUCUCAUCGUCGGAUAAAAAUUUCCUUUUCUUAUAUAUUUUUUAAUUUUUUAAAUUUUUUAAAUUAUUUAAGGUUUAUUUUUAUUUUUUUAGUUUAUUUUAAAAUUAUCAAAAUUAUAAAAAUUUUAACAAAAUUUAUUCUAACAAAUACAAAUAAUUUAAUAUGCAUAUAUAUUAUAAAAAUAACAUAUAAAAAAAUAAAAAAAUUUUUUUACCUGAAUCGGACCCGUCAAAGGUUCGAUCAACGCGGAUCCGAUCGGUUCAACCACUUGGUAUGGCCUGGUUGGUUCGACGGUUCGAGGUCGGCCCGACUCGGUUUGAGUCGAUUCAGUUGGACUGAUUAGAGGCUGAGGGAUGGACGGGUCAUCGGGUCAGGUACGCUGACCCUGAGUCGGGUCACGAGUUGACUCGUGGAUCCUCAGGGGCUCAAAUGAUGUCAUUUUGGUUUUGGUCAUUUAUAUAAAAAGCCCUAAAUUUUUUUUCAGUUACUUUUUCCUUCUCCAAAAAAAAAAAAAAAUCUCCCUCACUCUCUCAGACAAAACCCAAGGGGACCGGCCAGUCGUAAGUCGCCGGUCACCGUCGUCGGUGAUAAAAAAAUCUUUAAAAAGACCAAAAUAUUCCUCUCAAUCUCCAAAGUCCGGAUCUGAGCUUAGUUUUAUGAAAAUAGGCUCCAAACGAAACAUAUUUGGCCUGGAAUGUUCGACAAAAAAUAUUUUUUUGUAUGUUUAUGUUAUUUUUUUGUACUGACGCCAGGUUCCCUUACCUUGGGGACUAUGAUUUUUUUUUGGUUGGUUUUUUAUGUCGAUUUUCAAAAAAAAUUUUCUUUGAAUCUGGCAAAAAUUUUUUUGCAAGGUUUCUGAUUUCUUCGAUCACUCCCUUAUCAUGAAAGAAAUGAGCUCUAUUUAUAGAGCUUUCUAAGAUUCGAAUCCCAGAUUUUCUGGGAUUCGAAUCCCAAUUUUUCAACCGACUUAGGCUUUUGGGUGGCCGAAAUUCAUGCUGUCAGGUUAGGUAAAAUUUUAGGCGACUGCUAGUGGUGGCAGUGGUGAUUUUGGACUUUAAAGAGAGUGCAUUUAAUGCACUCGUAUUUUUUGUCAAACUAAUCAAAUAGGAAAGAAGAAAAAGAAAAAAAGAAAGAAAAAAAUAAAAAAAUAAUACAAAUAAUACAAAAAAUACAAAAUGAUGUUUACAGCUGCCCCUUUUUGCCUAUUUCUGAGAAUCAGAAAUAAGGCAAAGAUAAAUAAAUAACCAUUUUGUUCGAAAAGAAGAAAUAUUGAGCACAAAUUUUUUUUUUUAAAAAAAAAUCCUCUAAAGAGAGGUUCAAGAAAAUUUUUGAAAAUUUACAAAUCUCUUUUAAGCAGAGACUCAACAACUUUUGAAAAUUUUAAAGAGGCUAUUCUAAGCAGAGGCUAAAUGACUUUUAAAAAUUUAAAGAGGCUCCUCUAAGCAAAGGCUCAACGACUUUCAAAAAUGUAAAAAAAGUUUCUCUAAGCAGAGGCUCAACAACUUUAAAAAAUGUAAAAAAAGCUUUUCUAAGCAAAGGCUCAACAAGUUUAAAAAUUUAUCUUGAAAAAGCUUCUCUAAGCAGAGGCUCAACAACUUUAAAAAUCCAUCUUGAAAAAGCUCAUCUAAGCAGAGGCUCAACAACUUUAAAAAUCUUAUCUUGAAAAAGGCUCCUUUUAGCAGAGGUUUAACAACUUUAAAUAUCUAUAUUGAAAAAGCUCAUCUUAGCAAAGGCUCAACAACUUUAAAAACUUAUCUUGAAAAAGCUCCUCUCAGUAGAGGUUCAAUAACUUUAAAAAUUUAAUCUUGAAAAAGCUCAUCUCAGUAGAGGCUCAAUAACUUUAAAGAUUAAUUUUUUCUCGAAACUGAUUUUUCAUCUUUAAACAAGUAAAUUUCUCUCUUUUGACAUCUCUUGUUUAAUUAUUAUCUUCAUCUGAAUAUCAAAAUCUUGUUUUUCAUUAAGAAAUAAAAAGUCUUUGUCUUUAUUAUAACUGCUCAUGGAUGCAUGUUCUGAGUGCUCUAAAUGCAAUGCAUAUAAUGCAAUCAAAAUUAUUCAUUGUAGUAAAAAGGUUCUUAAAAUCUCUCGUUUUUCAUUUCUUUUAUCAGAAUUCUCAACAAUUGCUAUAUGACCAAUCUGUUCUUAACAUUUGACCAUUGUAUUCUUCCAUAACAAUACUUUUCUUUUUCAAAAGUCUGCAACAUUAAUGUCUUGUCAUGUUUUUCUCAUUCUUUUUCAUCUGCUUUUGUCAACUUUUAAAAAGUAAUAUUGAGAUUUUUUAUGUUUAUUUUCCUUUUCAUCAUUUUAAGUUCAAGACAAACAAACUGCAAUCACACAUUUUUCCUAUUUGUACAGUGAACAAAAGUAUUAAAUGAGAAUAAAGGAAUGGAUAGGCAUUAUUUCUAAAGGAAAGAUAGCAUAUUUCAUUGAUGGAAAAGUGUUUGAGUUAAAACAAAGGUGCCCCAAAUAAUGAUCACAAGAUAAUCAUGAACAAAAUAUUUUCAGAUUUUUUUUAAAAACUAAAUCAGAUGACUUUCUUGAUCUUUUAGAGUUUAUCAAACUACACUUGCCCCCUAUGUUGUAAGUACAUCCAAGCUGCCUUUUCAGAUUUUCAGCUUAGAUAAGUCAUUAUUUUUUCAUUUUUUUAACUUUUUUAUUUUUUUUCUUCUUUGUUUUUCAAGCAAAAUAUUUUUUUACAGCAUCUGAAUUUAUUGGAGUAGGUAAAUCACCUCUAUCCAUCUCUGUCAAAAUAAAUGUCCCACAAGAAAAGGCCUUUUUCACCACGUAUGGGCCCUUCCAAUUUGGUGUCUAUUUUUUUUUAUUGUCAUGUUGAUUUGGAAGGAUCUUUUUUAGCACUAAGUCUUCUUUCUUAAAAUGACGGGGAUGGAUUUUCUUGUCAUGUGCUCUCAUCAUCCUUUUUUGAUAUAAUUGACCAUGACAAAGUGUUGUAAGUCUUUUUUCUCCAAUGAGAUUCAAUUGCUCGUAACAAUUUCAAACCCAUUUUGCUUUCUCUAACUCUACUUUCAUCAAGACUCUCAACGAGGAAAUUUUCACUUUAACUGGCAGCACAGCUUCCAUUCCAUAUACCAAAGAGAAUGAGGUGGCCCCAAUAGAUAUUCUGACUGAUGUUCUAUAAGCAUGCAGAGUAAAAGGUAACUUCUCAUACCAAUCUUUGUAAGUAUCAGUCAUUUUCUCUAGGAUUAUUUUUAUAUUCUUAUUUACAGCCUCCACUACCUCAUUCAUAUUUGAACGAUAUGGUAUCGAUUUACGAUGAUAGAUCUUGAAUUGAAUGCACACUUCAUUCAUCAUUUUGUUGUUCAAGUUUUUGGCAUUAUAAAAAAUAAUUAUCUCUGAAAGCCCAUAUCUAUAUAUUAUCUCUUUUUUUAUGAACUUGUAUUCCACAGUCGGGUCACACCAGCAUAUGAUGUAGCUUCUACCCACUUUGUGAAGUAAUCAAUCAUUACAAAGAUGAAUUUAUGUUCAUUCGAAGCUUUUGAAGUGAUGGGACUAAUGACAUCCAUGUCCCACAUAGCGAAUGGCCAUGGAGGAGCUAGAAUGUACAAUGUUGAUGGUAGAGCAUAAAUCUUGUCAGUAUAAAUCUGACACUUAUGACAUCUCUUAGCAUAGUCAAUACAGUUACCCUAUAUUGUCAACCAAUAAUAGCCAGCUCUCAUGAUUUGUCUAGCCAUCGUAUGACCAUUUGUAUGUGUCCCACAGACUCUGUCAUGUACUUCUUCGAUAAUCCUCUUUGCUUUAGCUACAUUCACAUAUCUUAAGAGUACUUGAUCUCGACCUUUUUUGUAAAGAACAUCUUUUUUUAGGAAGAAACUCAUAGCUAACCUUCUGAUAGUUUUUUUUAUCAUUUUGUAUUCCAUGCUCUGCAUAUUGUUGACUUUUAAUAUAUUGCAUAAUAUCAUGAUACCAUGACCUCCCGUUAACUUCUUCUUCGACAUCUGAAUAAUGUGCUAGUUCAUUAUUCACAUCCAGCUUAAUGGGUUAAAUUUCAGUAUUUGUAUCUAUUUUAAUCAUUACAGCUAGAGUAACUAAUGUAUUAGCAAUUUGGUUCUCCUCUCUAGGCAAAUGCUCAAAUUAAACUUUUUUGAAUAGUUUAACCAACUCAAAGAUGUAUUUAUGGUACCGGAUUAACUUAGAAUCUCUUGUCUCCUAUUCUCCUCGUAACUAAUAGAUGACUAGAGCAGAAUCUCUAAAUACAUCUAACACUUUGAUUUUUUUUCAAUCGCUGCUUAUAGACCCAUGACACAAGCCUCAUAUUCAGUCACAUUGUUUGUGAAAUUGAAAUUCAACUUGGUUGUGAUAGGAUAAUAAUGUUCAUCCGGAGAUAUUAAAAUUACCCUAAUACCAUGCUUAAAGCAUUAAUAGCUCCAUCAAAAUACAUCCUCAAAGAUUUUUCAACAGGUUCAUUUUUUUCAAUGGCCAUCACAUCUUCAUCGGGAAAAUUUAGUUUCAUUGGCUCAUAAUCUUCGGUUGCACGAUUGGUAAGAAACUCGGCUAUCGUACUUUUUUUAAUAACCUUUUGAGUCACAUAAAUAAUAUCAUAUUCUGAAAGCAUAACUUGCCACUGCACUAUUCUCUCUAUCAAUGAAGGCUUCUCGAAAAUAUAUUUAAUAAGAUCCAACUUUGUUAUGAGACAAGUAGUGUGAUAAAACAUGUAUUGUCGGAACGUUCGAGCUAUCCAGACUAAUGCAUAACACAUUUUCUCUAAUUGAGAAUACUUGGACUCGUAAUCAGUGAAUUUUUUACUCAAAUAGUAAAUUGUUCGUUCUUUCCUGUUAGUUUCAUCUCUUUAUCCUAGCACACAUCCCAUUGAAUUUUCAUGCACUGUUAAGUACAAAAUCAAAUGUUUUCUCAGGAUUAAUGGUACCAACAUAGGUAGAUUUGACAAGUAUUCUUUGAUCUUAUCAAAAGCUUCUCAGCAUUGGUCAUUCUAUUCUGCUGGAUCAUGUUUUUUAAGAAGCUUGAAAAUAGGAUCGUACUUAUAGGUGAGUUAAGAAAUGAAGCAAGCAAUAUAGUUAUGGAUAACUUGUAUCUUAUCUGGGUCCAUUUCAAUUCCUCUUUUACUAACCACAAAGCCCAAUGGUUUUUUUUAUUUGGCACCGAAUGUACAUUUGACAGGAUUCAACUUCAGUUGAAAUCUUCUCAACUUGUCAAAUAGCUUUUUGAGAUUAACUAUAUGAUCUUCUCUUUCACAAGAUUUUAUAAGUAUAUCAUCCACAUAUACUUCUAUUUCUUUAUGCAUCAUAUCAUGAAAAAGAGUCACCAUUACUCUUUGAUGAGUGGUACCAGUAUUUUUCAACCUAAAAGGUAUGACUUUGUAACAAAAUAUCCCUCAUAUGGUCACAAAUAUGAUUUUUUCCAUAUCAUCUCGAGCCAUCUUGAUCUGAUUAUAGCCUAAGAAGCCAUCCAUAAAGGAAAAUAUAGAGUGCUUAAUAGUAUUAUCUACUAGAGUAUCAAUAUGGGGUAAAAAAAAGUUAUCCUUGAGACUUGCUCUAUUCAAGUCUCGAUAAUCGACACACAUUCUCAUUUUUUCAUCUUUUUUGAGAACUGGCACUAUAUUGGCUACCCAUUUAGGAUAUUUUACCACUUUCAAAAAUUUGGUAUCAAAUUGUUUUUUUACUUUCUAAUUAAUUUUUAACAAUAUCUCUGGCUUCAUGCGUCUUAGCUUUUGUUGCACCGGCUUGUAUUUCGAUUUCAAAGGUAACUUGUGCUCUACAAUAUCAGUGCUGAGUCUUGACAUAUCCUGGUAAGACCAUGUGAACACAUCAAUAUAUUCUCAGAGUAGUUUUUCUAACUUUUACCUUUCAACAGGUAAAAAAGAUGUACUAACUUUGACCUCUAUUUUAUUUUCACCGUCUCUCAAAUUCACUAAUUCGAUAAUUUUUUGGUGGGGUUCAAUUGGCUUAUCUUCAUGGUUUAUCAAUUUUAACAAAUCAGGAGGGAGUAUGUAAUUAUUCAAAUCUUUCUCAUUAUCAAGUUCAUCAUCAUGAAUUAAGUUUUCAAAAUCAAAUCCGAGAUUAUUGUCAUGAUUAUUUUCAUGUUCAUUAUUAGGGACCCUGUAAAGGGUAAGAUGAAGAGAAUAUUGGCAUAAAAAAAUAAAAUGGCAAGAAAAUGAUAGAAAGAAAAAAUGGAAAGCAAAAUGAAGAUGAAAAUAAUAGAAAAAAUAUAGUGCAUCUUCUAAGUCUUUUAUUAAAAUGAUAAACAUAAAGACACACAAAAAAUCACCUAAUGCUCAUAGAAGCAAUUAGAGAUUUAAAGUUUCACAAUACAUUACUUUUCAAAAAUUUUAAAGAGAAUAGGCAGCUCUAUGACUCUUCAGUUAUUCAGCUCAAAAUCUGAAGGACAAGGGUGCACGAAUAGUUCUUCAUAUCGUCUCUUUUUUUCUUCGUCAUCCACCAUUUGAAAGGGCAACUCGAAAAACUCUUCCACGAAUCCUGCACUUAGGGCUCUAGGCAAAUCUGGGUAAAUAUGUCUUCCUAAACGAAAAGAAUCAUGAGGUAUGGAAUGACAAUAGGCUCUAACUCGGCUCAUAUCCCCCAAGAUUAGCCAUUCUUUUUUUUUUUAUUCACCAUUUUCAUUCUAUCUCUUCUUGUAGGUUUAUAUCCUAAGCCAAAUCUAUUUUUCUUGUUAUAUAUUGCUAGUGGCUCUAUAAUUCCUUGUAGGUUCCUUUUUAGUCCUGUUUCAAGUUACCAUCCCAUUUUAAUGAUCUAUUUAAUGACCAUUUUAGUAGUCGUAGAUAGGUGUGAUGAAUAUAAUUUAUAUCCUUCAGCCAUAUAUGUUACGUUAGUAAUCUCAAAAGAUCUAUACGAGCACUCUAGGACUUCAUCUAUUGCUUAUACAAUAGGAGUAUUUAUCGAUUGGGUGACCAGUAAAUCUUCUUUUCAUACCACACAUGUCAAUUUUCCAUCAAUAAUCAAUUUGACUUUUUGAUGCAAUUAGGAUAAAACAGCACCUGCCAUAUGAAUCCAUGACCUUUUCAAUAAUUAAUUGUAUGAGGGAGAGAUAUCCAUAACUUGGAAUUUCACGUUGAAAGUGCAUGAGGCCAAUUUGUAAUGGCAUUUCUAUGUCUCUCAGCACCUCUCUUCGGGUCUCAUCAAAGGUUCGAACUAUCAUAUGACUAGAUUUUAUGUAAGAUUCAUCCACAGGUAAUUUUGCCAAAGUAGUCAUGGGUAUAAUAUUGAUGGAUGAGCCAUUAUUAAUUAAAACUUUAGCCAUUAUAUGACUCUUGUAUUUCAUAGUAACAUGAAGAGCCUUGGUACUUUCUUGACAUUCAAGAGGAAUCUUUUCGUCACUAAAAGAGAUAUAAUUUGAAAUCAUUAGAUUACUAACAAGCUGUUUUAUAUAUUCAACAGAGACAUUAUGGGACACAUAUGCUUGAUUAAACACCUUCAAUAAAGCAUUACAGUGUGACUCUGAGCUUAGCAAUAAUGAUAAUAGCGAAAUUCUAGCUAACAUCUUGUUCAACUAUUCUACCACGUUAUACUCGCUAUGUUUUAUUAACUUUAAAAAUUUACAAGCUUCACUCUCAGAGACUAGCUUCUGACAUUCUUUUUCUGGGGCUGUGGCAAGAUUAUUUUGACUUUUCUCUUUUUUUUUUUACCUUUGCUUUCUCUUUUCUGGCUUUCUUUAAAGCUUUUAGAGUAUAACAUCUUUCACUUCGAGUUAUACCUUCUACGCCCGUUAUGUUUAUAAUAUCUGGAUUGACUACGACAUCACAAUCAUACUUUUAUGGUAUUAUUUUGUCAUUCUAGUAUAAAAUAAGGCCAAGAACUUUAAUUGUCACUAUUGGUCGAGAGAUGGGUUUUUUUGGCCUCGGUGUUGACUUUUCAUCAUAAUAAAUUGUUAUUGGUCUACGUACAAACUUAUUCUUUGAAUCAAUGGUAGACACUUCAGCUUUUAUCAACUCUUCUCUUUCUUUGUAAAACUCUAUCUGACCUAUAUCCAUAAACUUUUGCACCUCUUAAUGAAAUUGGUGACAACUCUCGAUAGAAUACCCCAAAGCCCCUCUAUGAUAAUUAUAGCUCUUAGUUGAGUUAAUAGCUUCAGAGCAAUUCUGAAGUUUUAUUGACUUUAACAUGUUAGCUUUGACUAAGGCUUCAAACACUUUACCCAUAGGAGUUUUGACCUCUUUUAUCCCUCUUUUCACAUAGCUUGCUUGCCCAUUAAUCAAAGCAUUUAUCGAUGGCCUAAUAUAGUUCGGUAGAGGGUUCUUAUUAACAUUUGGAGUUUCUCGUUGGCUGGUUUCAAAAUUUAACACCUCUUCAUUGAUUAAUCUUUGUACUUUACACUUCAAAAUAGUACAGUUCUCAGUAAAAUGACCUGAGUUUCCAUAAUGAUAAUCAUAAUGUGCAUUAGGGUCAUACCAUUUAAGAAACGAAGGUUUCAAAGGCUCAAUAAUAACUGGGGCUAGUAAAUGUUUCUCGAUAAAUUGAGGAUAUAAAUCUAUGUAUGUCAUGGAUAUGAGGUUGAUGUGGGUUUUCCUGGAUUUUUUUAGGGUUUUUGGACCAUUAUUUGGACUAAGUCUCUAUUCUGGUUUUGCAGGUAUAGUAGGACGAUUGUAAGAAUAUGUGGGUGUCUGAAAAGAUAGCUAAAAUUAAUAUAGAUAAGCUGGUUGUGGUAAUGGUUGGUAUGGCUAAUAUGGAUAAAGAGUGGGCGUAAUAUUAUUUAUGAGAGGAUAAUGGGUUUGGUAGAUUAGUGCAGGAUAAGGUGUGAAACCUUUGAACUGUUACACCACAUAGUUCACCGCUUGAGCUUCAUUCUCUUUCUUUUUGGGAACUCCAUCUUUUUUUACUCCACUUGUCUCUCCUGCAUCGAGCUUACCAUUUUUUAUAGUAUUUUCAAUAAUCUCACUCGAUAUCAUCAUAUCUAUAAAGUUUUUGGUUGCAUUGCCUAUCGUCUCUCAUAGUGUGAUACUUUUAAAGUAUUAAUAAAUAAGACAGUUAUUUUUUUCUCUGUGAAAGGAGGUUGAACUUAUGCAGCCACAUCUCUCUAUCUCUGUGCAUACUCUUUAAAACUUUCUAUUACUUUUUUUCAUACUUUAUAGAGAUAGAUAGUCUAAAACCAGAUCCAUGACAUGCCGAUAUUGUGUAAGAAAUGCCCUUGUGAGCUUUUGCUAGGAAUGAAUACAAGUUUUAUCUUGUUGAACAUACCAUCUAGCUACAGAUCCUAUAAGGUUAUCUUAAAAUACAUGCAUCAACAACUUUUCAUCACGAGCAUGUGCUGUCAUCUUACGAUAAUACAUGGUGAUAUGGGUUAUCGGGCAUUUUGUGCCAUCAUAUUUUUCAAAUUCAAGGACUUUAAAUUUAGGUGGAAUGACCACGUUUGGGACCAAACAAAGGUCGGCUGCAUCUGUGGAGCAAUAAAAAUUUAUUUUCUCUACGGCCCUAAGUCUUUCUUCUAAUACUUUCAUUUUUUAUUGGGCACUAGUAUCUUCUACUUUCUUGAUUGUCUUUAUCCCUAGCUUUUUUCUCUCAUUAGGAUCAUCCAAGUCAGGGAUCAAGAUUGGCUCGGGUGAUUUUUCCAUCAUAACGGGAUUAACAAAAUUUUGAAAUUAUCCUAGAGUAAGUGUGGAUGUCAUUCCUGGAUAAGGAUUGGGAUAUCCACUAGGAGUAGAAAUUUAUACUUUAGUUCCUUGAAAAAGUUAGGUCAAUCGUGGCUCAAACCUUGAAAGGUAAACAGGAUCUUUCAUAUCUGACGAUUACUCUUGAAAGCUGAUAUUUUCUUCCACUACUUUUCCAUUGUCAAGUUUUUUAAGCAUAACUAUUAUUACAUUGAGAUCUCUUCUUAGUUCUUAUUGAGCUUUCUCGAUUCUUUUAAAUCGACUAGCCUAUUUUUGCUCCAUGAUUCAUGUUUGAGUCUUAGUAUUGUAUGAAUGAUGAAUAGAUUGGGUCAAAAUUUUUAAUGGACGAGCUAUUCUUGAACUUUUAUUACCAUAAUGUUUUUUUUUUUUUAAAUUAGAAUGCUAUGUGUUGAAAAUUUUAUUUUUUUCAUUUAUUUUAUGAAAAUGAUGUACAUGAUGCAUGAAUACAAGUGAGAGAUAUUUGCUCUUAGAUGAAUUUCAACAUUAGAAAUUUUUAUUGAUUCCAUACAACUUUUAUUAUAUGAAAUUUUCCAUCAUAGAAUUAUAUCCAUAGAAGCAUUUAACUUGUUCAUAAUGGUCCUUUGCCUUGUCUAAAAAGUUCACUAGGUGUUGUCCAUAUUUUUCUAUGGGAUUGACUUCUCUUCUUAAUGCUUCUACCUUUUCAACCAUUUCUCAUGCUUUCUUCACUGCCUUGCAAACUUGAUUAGUCAGGUGCUCUAUGUACUGUUGCCUCCCUAAGUUUUUUGCUUUUCAUUUCAUAUGAGCAUCCUUUUCUGAAUCACAUGUGAAGAUCUAAUCUUUUUUCCUUCUAUGCCAUUAAUCUAUUAUUGCUAAAAUAUGGCUCUUGUGGUCUUGCACUUGCAUCUCUAACCCUUGGAUCACUUGGUGAAGUGAUUCUUUUUCAUUUAGUAUUUCAAAGUGCUUUCUUUUCUCUUUUACGAGCAUGGCUUUCAACCUUUCCUUUUUUUUUUAGCAUUCCAUCAAUCUUGCUGAGGUUGUAGAGUAUAAACCCUUCUAAUUUUAACAUUUUUGAGAAAUUUUGAUGAUCUUCUUUUGCUUUUCUUGAGCUUUGCCUUUUCAUUAGUUCAUUUCCUCUCGGAGCUCAUCCAUUUCAUGUUAUCGACUAAGAUAAGACUUGGUGACUUUUUUUAUUUUGAAUUGAACUCGUAAUCUCUUAUUUUUUUGGUGUAGAUCUUUCAAAUUAUUAUUGGUCACAUCUCAUUCUUUUAUGCUCUUUUCUAAUCUGCUCCAUUAUAUUUCUGCUUCAUAUUUUAAUUGUCUCAUCUUUUCGUGAAGUCUUAAAUUUUUUUAUUUUUAUUUCUUCUUUUUCAGCUUCUAAUUCUUUCUUGACAAGCUCACCUUCUAAUAAUUAUACUUUUGUCGAAAGAUUAGUCGAUUGGUAUGAGCUAUCAUCAGGAGGAAGUACUAUGUCUGUAGGUCAUUUUGCUUUUCAAAUAUGAUAGUCAGCGGUGACUUUAUCGAUGAAAUGCCCUAAUCUCAUUCUUCAUAUUUUCUUUCAUGCUUGAAUCAACUGCUCUGAGAUUCUUGGUGGAUUUGGUUCCCUGUAAAUGAAUUCUACCUGAACCAAGCCAUGAGUAGCAAGAACAAACUGCUUUGCACCAAAUUGUCUAAGCACCAUCAAUGAAGCGUAACUUAUAACACCCCAUAACCCUAACAGUGGUAUCCACGGUUCGUUUUCUCCAUGAUGCAACAAAGGCACACAAGGCAUCCAAGGUACCAUUAAUUCAAUUUCAUCCCCGAUAAACCUUCGUAACAAAAAGACCCACUCUUCUUUAGUCUUUAAUGUUAGCUAUUUACUUUGUAGAACUCUUCAAUUGGUGCUUUGUUUCAUAGAUACGGCUUUGAAAAUACACUUUUCUAACACUUGAAAUGACUUUAACCAACACAUAUAAUAGCGAUGCACAUCCUAUGAACUGUCUUUUUCCAUUUCGUCGACAGAAAUUCAAUGACCGGAUGGUUUCUGCCAAGACUGCUGGUGUAGGAUUAAUUGUUUAGGUUUCAAUUUGCUUGAAAAAAACUCACCACAGUUAUCUCGAUGUAACCUAAAGUCUUCGAAAAAAUCACCAUGCCAUACAAUGCUAGAGCAAACACAGCCAUGCCUUGGUCAUCAUUUAAAUUCUCCUGAAUGAAGUUUUAGAGAAAGUCCCAAUGAAUGCUGAGAUGUUCACCUUUAGGCUUUGCGAAGGAAUCAAUGGUUUCUACUUUAACCCCCAUAAGCUUGGCCAACUUUUUAUGAUAACCUGAUUUUGAUUUUCGAGUAAAUACUUUAUCUGGACACUGUAGUUCUAUUUCAAGCAAAAUCACAUACUCUUCAAUAGUUGACACCAAAUCUUUCUAAUUAAAAGUGAAGCAUCUAUAGGAUGGAUCUCAAAAUUGUAUAGCUAUCCUGACUAGCUGUUCAUCGAUCACUACUGAAAUAAGAGAUGCAAUCUACCCAUACUUCUUGUAAAAAUUUUCUUUUAUUUCUUAACUUAACUGACCUUGGAUAGCAGCUAAGUCUUCUAAAUCAUUCUGUGUGAGAUCUAAAUGCACCUUUUUGGGUAACUCAAACACAUGGCUGAUAGACAAACAAUCUCCAUUCUUUUGUUGGACUUCUUUCGAUCAAAUAUAUACUUCAUUAUACGGCUCACAUAGGACACUAAGUAAGAAUGAGCAAAUCUGUAGUUCUACAGGAUCCAUGAAAACUUCUUGGAAGAAAUAUGUCCUAAAGCAAAUAUCUCAAUACAAAAUUGUAUGAUAUGAUUAAUGCAAAACAAAAUUGAGUUAGUGUAAGGAUGCGAUUUGAGAAAAAAUAUUUGUUAAGUUGAGUUUUGAGAUUUUUUUUGUUUUGUUUUGUUUUGUAUUACACAUAACUUUUAUUCUUAGGUAUUUCCUACAAGAAGGUGGACGAGGCUCUACCUACGGCUAGUUUUUUAGGCUUAUUACAUGCUGAAUUUGGAUUGACAUGUGUCUAAAAGUUCCUAAAUUGUUUCUCACUGUCGUCCACGUUGGAUUAGUGAGGCACCUCAAUCCUCAACUAUUACAGGCUAUAAACAAAAAAAAGUUUAAUUUAAGUGAAAGUAUUUGGCUUACCAUUGCAGAGGUUAUCACCUUACGAGGGCAUAAGUACUUUACUUCCUCCUAUAAGGGACGAAACUUGGGUAUAAAGCUUAGGCAUGAGAUGCAUCAUGUUAUUGUGUGUGUAAGUAUAUAUAGAAAAAUAAAGCAUAAGAGGCAUAGUGAAAGAAAUGUAAGUGAAAUUUUUUCUUUUUGUUUUUGAUUUUUUUUACCUUUUUUGUUAAAAGUGAAAAAUAAAAAUGUAAGAAACCGAUUAGGACUGUUUAAAUCAAAAUUUGAAGAUAACACAUAGUUAGUUUUGGCUUGACUCUCGAAAACAAAAGAUAUCCCCAGUGGGGUCACCAAGCUGUCGCAACGAUUUUAUGUCCGUCCGACAAAUUUGGAAACAAAAUAAAAAAUAACGGAGUCGUCACCAAUCUUUUUUGGAUAGGUGCGACUGGCCACCUAUUAAAACAUAUCAUUUUAAUGAAAUCUUAAAAUUAAUUAAAAUUUAUUAAAAGGAUAAUUUUAGGAUCUACGCAACAGUCUGGGUUCAAAAGUCAGUUAUGUGUGAGGAAGGAUUGGCACCACCACAACGUCCAUUUAAAACGGUAUCAAUUAAUUACGUUUUAUCCAUUGAUUUUGAUAAAAACAAUCUUAUUUUCAGUGUUUGAAAAAUAAUUUUCUUGAUUGUUCAUUUAUUAGUUUUUUUUUUUUAUAUUAUUCGAGAAAAAUAAAUUAGAACCUUUUUGUUGAAAUAAUUUUUAAAAUGUUUCAGUACGUUGGUAACAUUAGAAAAACUUUUUCUCACUUAGAGAUUUCUCAGGCAUCACUUCUUGGAAUACCACAGAAUCUCAUCUUUGGAGGAUCAAAUUUACUUUUCGUAAAAAAAAAUUAUGCCAUGCAUGCAAUGCAAAUAAUAACAUGUUGAUGCACACAUUUUAUUUUUUAUUUUAGAAAUUUUAUUAAUUUUUUAUUUUUAAUUUAAAUUUUUGAAGAAAAGAAUUUUUAUUAUAUUGAAGUUUUUCUAUAAAUAUUUCAAUACACUGGUAAUAUUUAAAAAAAAUCUUCUCACCUAGGGAUUUCGUAAAGCAUCACUACUCGAAAUACUUUUAAAAUCUCAUCAUUGGAUAAAAUUUCCCUUUUCCUUAUUUAUAUUAUUAUUAUUUUAUAAAUUAAUUAAUUUUUAUUUUUUAUUAACAAAAAAAAAAUUUAUUGUAUUGAAAACUUUUUAUAAAUAUUUCAAUACACUGGUAGUAUUUUUAAAAAAAUCUUCUCACCUAGAGAUUUCGUAGGUAUCACUACUCGGAAUACCUUUGAAUCUCAUCGUCGAAUAAAAAUUUCAUUUUCUUACAUUUUUUAUUAUUUUUUAAAUUAUUUAAGGUUUAUUUUUAUUUUUGUAGUUUAUUUUAAAAUUAUCAAAAUUAUAAAAAUUUUAACAAAAUUUAUUCUGACAAAUUCAAAUAAUUUAAUAUGCAUAAAUAUUACAAAAAUAACUUAUAAAAAAAUAAAUAAUUUUGUUAUCUGAACUAGACCUGUCAACACGGGUCCAAUCAGUUUAGCGACUUGGUCUGGUUUGAUUGGUUCAGCAGUUCGAGAUCGGUCUGACUCGGUCUGGGUCUAUUCAAUUAUACAGGUUAGAGAUUGAGGGAUGGACGGGUCAUUAGGUCGGGUGCGCGGACUCCGGGUCAGAUCACAGGUUAAUGCGCGGAUCUUCAAGGGCUAAAACGACGUCGUUUUGGUUUUUAUUGAAACGUCGUCAUUUUGAUUCUAGCCUUUUAUAUAAAAAGCCCUAAAUUUUUUUCGGUCACUUCUUCUUUCUUCUAGAAAAAAAAAAACUCUCUCUCACUCUCUCAGACAAAACCCAAAGGGAUCGACCGGUCGUCCGUCGCCGGUAAUCGAAAAAUUCCAAAAAAACCAAAAUAUUCCUCUUAAUCUCCAAAGUCGGGAUCUGAGGUUAGUUUUACGAAAAUAGGCUCCAAACGGCACAGAUCUGACCUGAAAUGUUUGCUAAAAAAUUUUCUUUUUAUGUUUAUAUUGUUUUUUUUUUGUACUAGCAUUGGGUUCCCCUACCUUGGGGACUGUGGUUUUUUUUUGCUUGGUUUUUUAUGUCAAUUUAAAAAAAAAAUUUUUUGAAUCUGGUAGAAAUUUUUUUGCAGGGUUUCUGGUUUCUUUGAUCGCUCCCCCAUCAUGACAAAAAUGAGCUCUAUUUAUAGAACUUUUUAAGAUUCAAAUUCCAAUUUUUCAGUGGGCCUAGACUUUUAGGUGGCCAAAAUUUAUGCUACUAGGUUAGGUAGGAUUUUAGGCAACUGUUGGUGGUGGCGGUGGUGAUUUUGAACUUUAGGAAGAGUGCAUUUAAUGCACUCAUAUUUUUUGUCAAACUAAUUAGAACAGGAAAAAGAAAAAAGAAGGAAAAAGAAAGAAAGAAAGAAAAACAGAAAAUAGAAAAAGAAAGAAAAAAUAUAAUAAUAAUAAUAAUAAUAAUAAUAAUAAUAAUAAUACAAAUAAUACAAAAUGGUGUUUACAUGUGUGAAAUGCCAAAAUGCGUUUAUUUUUUGCGUUUGUUUAAGACUAUUGUGUUGUUAAAGAACCGAAAUAUAAAUACAUGAUAUUAAAAUUAUUUGAAAAUUUUGAACUUGAUUGACAGACUUGAUAUGUAUGAAUAAAUUUUGGUUGAUAUGUAUCAUAUCAAAUAACAUAUGUUUUUAUAUAGGAGAUUGAGAUAGGCAGUAAAAUUGGACGUGUGAAAUUUUUUUGCUUAACACAAAAAAAAAUGGAUCUUACAUGAAUGUCAAAACACAAGAAAUUGUAAUAAUUUGUAACAUCUAUUUUAACAGAAAGUAAAUAUUUACUCUUUUUAACAUAUUAUCAAUUAAUCAUUAAAUUUGAUAGUUGUAUAUAACUAAUUUACAGGAAAAAGCGAAAGAGAAAAUGGUUGCUGAUAUUGAAUUAGCAUCUAAUGGUUCUCUCAACAUGUAAGAAGAAUUGAAAAAUCGGAUAUUCAUAGAAGUUCUUAGAAAAAAAAGGCAUGGACGGGUCUGAGGCCUUGGAUUGGGUCGAAUACCAUCUAACUACUAUGGACAUAGCUCUUAGCGAUUUACAUUCUUAGUAAGUCAAUCUUCACGAGACAUUUCAAUAUUAAGAGAGGAGUUGCAAACUAUGCAACAAUAUUUCCAGCAAAUGGAAGCAGAAAGAGAACAAAAGCAUGCCAAAAUUGAGGAAGAACGUGCUAGAAUAGAGCAAAAGUGUGACCGUUGCAUGAUCAAUUCAAUCAUCUUAUGAAUUUUGUGCAACAAUAAUUUUCAAGAACUGAUCUCGAUGGUCUACCAACUCAGGUAUUAUUUAGUAAAUAUUUAUAUUUUUUAGUAUAAAAAAAGCUUAUAAUGAAGUGUUAAAAAUUGGUGACAUUGAUAUAGUGACGUUUUUCAGAUACAAAUGCCACUAAUAUAGCGCAUUUUAUAAAAAAACGUCGUUAUUUUUUGUGACACAUGUAUAAUCGAUACUCUAACUGACAUUUUUCGUAAACGCCACAAAUCUUUUAAUGGCUUUUAUAAAUAUCGCUAAACAUUAAAAAUAACGCCACUAAAAACCUAAAUGCCUAUAGUGAAUUCACAUAUAUCAAAUUUUAGACAAAAUACAAUAUUGCAAUGGUGGGAAGGACUCUUCAAGAUGACAAAUUACAGGUAUACCUACAUAUGCAAGAUGUGUCUGGGCAUGUUCCGUUUGGUAAAAACCACUAUUUUUUUUUUUCCGGGAAAUUUCAAUCUAGACAACGAUAGAGAUGUUUUAAUUCCUUGAGUUGGAGUCGCCAUGAAAUUUUUACUUCCAGCUGACUUUUACAUUUGAAUUGUAGACAUCCACAACCUUGUAAAUAGGAUGCUUUGGCUUCAAAAAUUGCCAUAUCAAAAUGGAGAUCAAAACCCAUAGGGUUAUCACUUUUCUCAUUACAUAUUUCCAUUUAUAUUUCUUUGUUCCUAUGUCCAAUUUGUCCACAGCAUCUCAUUCAUCUAAAGGAGGUUUUUUUUUUUUUUCAAUAGUAGUAUAUAUAAUUUUUAUGUUUUAUUUUUCAAAGUUCUUUAAUCUUUUGGUCUAAUAAGUAUAGUUUAAUUUUAAUAGUAAAUGAUUGAAUUAAUUCUUUGAAUAAAAAUAGAUACACUUUAGAAAAAAAAUCAAAUACAUCUAUAGCCAAUUUUUUUUUCUUUUAGUAUAUUGAUAUAUGAAGAUAUCUUCCAAUCUUUUGUUGAAGAGGUUUAAGUACAUGUUAUGGUGUCAUUCAGCCAAAAAAGGCUUAUCAAGUGUUCAGAAGCUAACAUCCUUAGAAUAGUGAAAUAAAGGAAGAUGCAACCACUAAUCAAUCACCGAGGUGAGAUAUUUGAAAUUGUAACCUCAUUGACAGAACAUACUCUAUCCUUUGAAGUGGAUUGAAUUUGUUCUGCAACAUCACGUCCAACAGAAAAUGCAGGUUCUGCUGGUAGAGGAAGUCUUAUGGUCUCGCUUGCCAACAUGACAAUCACAGAUGACAUGGUAGGUCUAUCUGCUGGGUCUUCUUGCACGCACAACAGCCCAAUACGGAUGCGUUUAAGAACCUCAGUGGCCACACAAGACUGAACAAGGAGUGGGUCCAUUAGCUCCAUCCCUCGACCUUUAGACCAUAGUUUCCAUGCCUGUAAGGUUACUUAAAAAUUAGAAUGGUACAGCGCUACGGCCAUCUAUUUUUUGAAGACAAAGAUGGUGUAAAAACGUAUAAACGUUAGGAGGCUUUCACCACGCUCGGAAAGAUGAAAGCCAUUGUUCUUUUUGCCGCUUAUUAUCUCCAGUACGAGGAAUCCGAAACUGAAAACAUCGGAUUUGACUGAAAAAGGUCCUUCCAUAGCAUACUCUAGUGCCAUGUAUCCACUAUUUCAGUUCACAAAAAUAGAUAAAAUCAGGUUAGAUUAUGAAAAUAUUAGAACCAAGAAUCAUUAAGUUUGAACAUUGUGUUGUCACAAAAUUGAAGGUUGAUUACAAAUUUUAGAUAGUAAAGAACAGCCAUGUUCCUCUGCAGAAUAAACCUCAGCAAAGACUGUGAUCCGGUGUACUGCUUUUCCAUUUUACGAGUUCAAUGCUAAUUCUUUCUUUUCAAUAACAUUUUAUUUGACACGGAUGCAAUAUUAAAGAUCAAAAGAAAACUACUGAAGAACCUAGAUUGGUCAAAAAGCAAAAAAAAAAAGAAUUGUGAGCCGAGAAAGUGCAUGGGAUAGUGGAUUUACUAUGUUCCAACCACUCUAUUGGUAUUUGCUUCAUUUUGAUUUCCACCAAAAAUUGUUGCCAUUCCAAAAUCUGAUAUCUUUGGGUUCAUUUCGUGAUCUAGCAAAACAUUGCUAGCUUUAAGAUCCCUAUGAAUAAUUCUAAGACGAGAAUCCUCAUGUAAAUACUGGAUGCCUCGGGCAACGCCAUUAAUAAUGCUAAGGCGCUUCUGCCAAUUCAGUUGCACACCAAUGCUUGAAUCUGGAAAAGAACCCCCCCAAAAGAAUAAUAGUAAUUAGUUGAUUUUUUUUACCAUAUUUCAUGAAGAAUCCUAUUAAAAACGGAAUGAACAAAGCAGAAACAAGAAUUUUAUGUUUGAGGAUCAAACCAAAAAGGAACACAUCAAGGCUUUUAUGGGGCAUGUAUUCAUAAACAAGCAGUUUUUCGUUCUGCUCCAAGCAGCAGCCCAGGAGUUUCACAAGAUUUCCAUGUUGUAGUCAGGCAAUUAACAUGACUUCAUUCUUGAACUCAAGUAACCCUUGCCCAGAAGUUCUAGAGAGCCUUUUAACAGCAAUUUCUUUACCAUCUGCCAAUUUGCCCUAAAAGAAGGAAUUAAAAAGCAUCAUAAAAGAAGUAAUUAUGUGAAGUUGAAGAGGUGCAUCGAAUUUUAUUUUUUAAACUCGAACUCAAUUCAAGGUAAAACUCGAAUUAAGUUCAAACUCGUUCGGUUUUUUUUUAUUUUUGGAUAGUUGACCUUUGUUUUCUUCUCUCUGAAGAAAUUGGACAUUGAAGGCCUUUCUCCUUCGAAGUCGAAAAAUUUGAGAGCGUGAUGUCCACAGAUCAGGAUGAAUAUUCCACUCAAGCACUUGAGGAAUCUGCAGUCCUACUUUUGCCGCAGGAUUUGGAUGAGUAUUGGAGCGAGAUAGUGUUGGAAGAACCCACUUUGAUCUGAUCGAAAUAAAGAAAAGUGUGGGAUCAAUUGGAUGAAAUUGAAGUGGAACAAAUGCACUAAAAACGAAGAAGACAAAGUGAAUUGGAUUGAAUGAGUCUAAGUGUCCGGGGCGAACAUGAUUGGAAAAGACCUCCUAUCCCUAUUCUAGCUCGCCAUUAUUCUUUUUAAAAAAUAAUAACAUAUGCUUACCUUGGGAUGUCUCAAAAAACACAGAGACGUUGGAACCAAGUCUUUUCUCUUGUGACUUGUGUAAUAGUGCCAGGGGGGAGAGGAAAGUCAUGAAAUUGAAAGAGAAGAAAAGAGCCAUGAGAUUGAAAGAGAUAGGGAUAGCGUUGCUGGGGGAGAGGAGAGUUGUGAGAUUAAAAGAGAUAGGGCUGGAUUUAUAUUUUAAAAGUAAAAUUGUAAUUUAUAAUUAAAAUAAUAAAAUAUAUAUUAAAAUAAAAAAAUUCGAUAAACUUGCGAACAACUCGAGUAAAGUAUUAAUAUUCGAAUUUGAUUCGUUCAAUAAGUUAAGUUACUCGAGUUCAAGCUCAAACUCGAUUCGACAAUAAUCGAGUCAAAUUCAAAUUUUUUUCAAAUUAAAACCAAAUAGCUUACGAGUAUAAAUAUAUCAUUUAUGCCCUUAAUCUAAAAAAAGUUUUUUUCUUUUUCAAUAGUAGUAUAUAGUAAUUUUAAUGAUUUAUUUUUCGAAGUUCUUUAAUCUUUUGUUGUAAUAAGUAUAGUUUACUUUUAAUAGUAAAUUAUUGAAUGUAAUUCUUUGAAUAAAAAUAGAUAUACUUUUGAAAAAAAUCGUAUAGCCAAUUUUUUUUUUUCUGUUGUAUAUUGAUAUAUGAAGAUAUCUCCCAUUCUUUUGUUGAAAAGAUUUAAGUACAUUUAUGGGUGUCAUUCAACCAAAAAAGGCUUAAUAAGUGUUCAGUGAAAUAAAGAAAGAUGCAGCCACUAAUCAAUCACCGAGGUGACAUAUUUGAAAUUGUAACCUCAUUAACAGAACAGAUUCUAUCACUUGAAGUGGAUUGAGUUGGUUCUGCAACAACACGUCCAACAGAAAAUGCAGGUUCUGCUGGUAGAGGAAGUGUUAUGGUCUCGUUUGCCAACAUGACAAUCACAGAUGACAUGGUAGGUCUGUCUGCUGGGUCUUCUUGCAGGCACAACAGCCCGAUACGGAUGCAUUUAAGAACCUGAGUGGGAACACACGACUGAACAAGGAGCGGAUCUAUUAGCUCCAUUCCUUGACCUUUAGACCAUAGUUUCCAUGCCUGUAAUGUUACUUAAUAUUAGAAUGGUACAGCCUUACAGCAAUCUAUUUUUUGAAGACAAAGAUAGGAUAAAAACGUACAAAGGUUAGGAGGCUUUCACCACGCUCCGAAAGAUGAAAGCCAUUGUUCCUUUUGCCGCUUAUUAUCUCCAGUAAGAGGACUCCGAAACUGAAAACAUCGGAUUUGACCGAAAAAAGUCCUUCCAUAGCAUACUCUGGUGCCAUGUAUCCACUAUUUCAGUUCAUAGGAAUAGUUAAAAUCAGGUUAGAUUAUGGAAAUCUCAGAACAAAAAAUCGUUAAGUUUGAAUAUUGUGCUUUCAUAAAAUUGAAGGAUGAUUACAAAUUUUAGAUUGUAAAGAACAGUCAUGUUCCUCUUCAGAAUAAACCUCAGCAAAGACUGUGAUCUGAUGUAUUGCUUUUCCAUUUUACGAGUUCAAUGCUAAUUCUUUCUUUUCAAUAAAAUUUUAUUUGACACAGAUGCAAUAUUAAAGAUCAAAAGAAAACAAAUGAAGAACCUAGAUUGGUUAAAAAAAAAAAGGAACUGUGAGCCUAGAAGGCAUGGGAUAGUUGACUUACUAUGUUCCAACCACUCUGUCUGUAUUUGCUUCAUUUUGAUUUCCACAAAAAAUUCUAGCCAUUCCAAAAUCUGAUAUCUUUGGGUUCAUCUCGUGAUCUAGCAAAACAUUGCUAGCUUUAAGAUCCCUAUGAAUAAUUCUAAGACGAGAAUCCUCAUGUAAAUACAGGAUGCCUCGGGCAAUGCCAUUAAUAAUGCUAAGACGCUUCUGCCAAUCCAGUUGCACACCAAUGCUUGAAUCUGGAAAAGAAACCCCCAAAAGAAUAAUAGUAGUUAGUUGACUUCUAACCAUAUUGCAUGAAGAAUCCUGUUAAAAAACCGAAUGACACAAGAAUUUUUUGUUUUAGGAUCAAACCAAAGAGGAACACAUCAAGGCUUUUAUUGGGCAUGUAUUCAUAAACAAGCAGUUUUUCGUUUUGCUCCAAGCAGCAGCCCAGGAGUCUCACAAGAUUUCUAUGUUGUAGUCUGGCAAUUAACAUGACUUCAUUCUUGAACUCAAGUAACCCUUGCCCAGAAGUUCUAGAGAGCCUUUUAACUGCAAUUUCUUUUCCAUCUGCCAAUUUGCCCUAAAAGAAGGAAUUAAAAAGCACCAUAAAAGAACUAAUUAUGUGAAGUUGAAGAAGUGCAUUGUAUACUAAAAAGUAUAAUACUCCAUCACCAUAGUUACCUUGUACACAGGGCCAAAUCCACCUUCUCCAACUUUAUUUUCAUCACAAAAUUGUUUUGUUGCUGUUUGUAAUAUAUCUAACUGAAUCGAAGGGAACUCCAUGGAUCUCACCCCACUCUCACCUUGAAAAUUUUCAAUUGAGUAGCCGUCGCCAACCCUUUCUUCUAAUUCAAGUAACUGAACUUCUUGGCUGUUAUGAUCUGUACUCUCUUCAAGAGAAAACAAUUAAUUGGCAUAACAACAGAGUCAAGAAAAAAUGAGGUGGAAGUGUGAUCCAAUGCAUACCAUGAAAAUUUCUCCUUCUCCAACGGAAAAUACCUCCACAACAGAACAGAGUGACGCCAAAAAUCGCGGAUAAAUUUGCAACAAUAGGAAUCCACUUUGGUUCAAUAGGAAUCCACUUUGGUUCGCCUUGUUUGCCACCUUCUAAGUCUGUUACUCCAAAACAAAGUUAUCUUCCAGUUGAUUUUUAGUGGAAUAAAUUUCUAAUUUUUGUAUUCUUCUAGUUGUUUCUGUUUUGCAGAUAUUAAUUAAUUUGUAAUUAGUUUCUGUAGCAGGUAUUUUUCCUACUUUCUUUUUUGAUGGAUCAAAAUUUCAGUAAUUAAAAAUUAGGCAAGCUUAAUUCUCUAGCAUCUGAUGAUACUAACCGUUUGAGCCACGUGGUUUGUUUACUGAAGGAAGGGGUGCUUCUGAUUCAACUCCAGGACUCUUGAUUAUCGUAGUGUUUGUUGAUUCGUCUCGAGGUUUUCCAUAAAAUGGAUAUAUCUCAUACCUGAUGCUACAGCUUGGUAGGAAAACUCUCGCACCUUUUCUUCCAGUCGCUAAAGAUAGGAUUUUAGCUAUUGAGCUACGUAGACAAGAUUGACAAUCGGCAACUGACAAAUCAGGGGUGCAUUGAGCAAGUCCAUACAGCUUCGUGGAAUUUGAAACACUAACUUCUGUAGUUGCAUACAUGUAGUUAGAAACAUUUGAAAUCUUCGUGAUCAGAUUGGCGAAAGUCUCGAGCAGAUUAGUUUCAAAUUUGUCAAUGUCCGUUGCAUUUGCACGAUUAUACAUACCAAAAGAAGGUGAUAGCUCCAUGAUAGAGAAGAAAGAUCUAUUGGAAAAGCGCACCAGGCAUGCAUCAUAAUAUAUGAUCGCCUCUUUGUCACCAGCGCAAUCCUCUACGAUCUUAGCGGUUGCUAAGUCAAUGCAGCUUUCACAGAAAUUGGGUUGGACAUCACCUCUACAGAGGAAAAGGCCAUAAACCUUGUCUUGAUUUUCCCCAACCGUAUCGUUAAAGAAACCAUAGAUACUUCCUUGGCCAUAAAGCCGCUGGAUAAGAAGGUGGUAAAGGUUGUUCUCGAACCGAAGACUAGAAUUAAAUCUUUCUGAGCAUCUUGUAUAGAGAUAAGAGUGCUGCAUUUCGGACUUGUUUUGUGAGAUAACAAGGAGCGGAGAAGAAAGAAAGAGAAGCAGGCAAAAUGCGCCUGAAACAGAAAGAACAACAUAAUAGUGCAUCAUCUUCUUCCAAUGUUUUUCAAUAAUUCAGAAAUCUGAAGUUUUAAGGCCAUAAUUUAUACGGAAUGGGUUAUUAACUGAGAUUAAGAGGCCCUCCUCGACAAAUUGACAUUUGACUUCUAGAGUUCCUUCUGGCGACAAAAUUAUCUCCACUCGAUGGUCUUUUACCUCGUUUGGCAAACACGUUACACACUGUUUUCUCGUUAACGUGCAUUUUGCAUGUGAAUAAUAUUUUUGUUAGUAUUUUAAUAAAAUAAAUAUUAUUAAUUGUUUUGAUCACCAUGAAAAUUUCCGAUUAAUUAUUUAUGUUAUGUUGUUAACAAGUUUUUACUUUGCUAAGCUAAUUAUUUUUGUCUAAGUUUAUUAAUUUUUAUGGUUUACCACUUUGUUAAAGCUUAAUUUAUUACAAUAGAAUUUAAAAUUUGAUCAUAAGGAAAAGGUUAAUAUAAUCUUCGUACCAUAAAAUUUUUUUUCUUCUAUAAAAGAGAUAUAUGCUUUCAUUCUAUGAAUAUAACUAAGGUUACUAUAGAAUCAGCUUUAAGCAUAUAUUACGUAUUAAUUUAUUAUUAUAUAAUAUAAUAUAAUAAGAGUACUUUUGCUUACCAAUUAACGUGAUGGAGUGACAUAAUAUCAUUGAUAUUUCUUGAGGUGAUGUGAUUACUCUUUCGAGAAGUGAUGUAAUAUCCAAACAGAUGGAGAAUUAGCCGCCAAGUACAAUCACUUAGACGCGCCGUGCGAGACAUCAAAAAAUAUUUUUAUUUCUAGAUUUGUAAAUUCUCCCUUAAAAAUUAUAAAUAAUUUUUUACUGUUAAAUUUUGCUAACAAAAGUCUUCAAAAAACAUUUUAAAAUUAUUAUGUUAAAUAAUAUUUUAUUUCAAUAUAUUGAAAAUUAAUAUAUUAACUGUCAAUUAUUCAUUAAAUAAAGAUAUUAUUAUAAAUAUAAUAUUAAUUAAUCUUACAAAUUUCUUAAAAAUACUCGAGAUAACAAAACUUUCUAUUAUUUAUUAUAUCAUUUCUUAUUAUUAAUACCAAACACUUCCUUAGAAAAAGAAAACAUAGCAAACACUCCCUUGAAAAAGGAAAGCAUUUAAACUUCCUGGAAAACCAGUAGGCCAGUCACGACAUUGUAAUUUUCAUCUUAAAUUGGAUCAAUUGACAAUUUGUUGUGUGUACAGAGCAGAGUUUUCCGCAUGCACCCCACAACUAUGCUUUUCAGCUAAAGCACAAAAUCAAACUCUUAAGGGGCCCAUGGAUAUUUCUAUUAAGACCUGCAUCAAGACCAAUUGUAUGAUACAAAAUGGGAAAGGAAAUUGUGGCACUUUUAAAGGUUUUGCAGAGGAUAGAAAAUUAAAAAGAUAAAAAAAAUUGAGAGAGAAAAAAAAUCCAAAUUAAGAUGGAAAAACUAUGAUUUUUUCUUGGUGUGAUUUGGUAAGAAAAAUUAAAAAGUGGAUGGAAUUAAAAUAAUUUUAUUAGAAUCAGCUCUAAAAAUGAAAAUCUCGAAUUUAAACUUUAAUUAUAAUUAAAAUAAUUUUCUUUUACAUCAUUUAAUUAUUUGAUUGAGUUAAAAAAUAAUAUUAUUUCAUCAUAUAUAUUUUAAGUAAAAUAAAACAAUUCUAAAAGUAAAUAAAUAUUUUAUGGAUUUAUAAUAUUUGACUCCUUUUUAUUUUCUCUCGUUUAUUUUUUUAUUUCAAAUGUUUUAUUUAUGAAUAAAAAUAAAAAAUGGCAAUCUCUUUUAUUAUUAUUAUUUUUUUUUUUUUUUUAUGAUAUCAGCUCAACUGCAGCUUAAUUAACCUAAAGGUGAAGCUUAAAUAUUAUGAGUUAUAAAUCCUAACAGGCAGUUACUAUCGAGCAAUUUCGGGGAAGAGACUUUCAAGUGAAGGUCAUAUAUACUAUUACAGACUUUCUUAUUCAGAGUUUUCUGGUAAAACUAUGUAGAAAAUAUAAAUGCAACGAAUUAAUAGGUCUUACGUAUCAAUUAAUGUGUGACUUUUGCGGUUGAAGUCGAUUCUAACGCGCAGUUGAAUAUUAUUUUCCCAACAAGACGCAAAUGGAAAAUUCAAGGGAAAGAAAACGCAAGAGAAAAUCAUUGAUUCUACGUACAACUUCAGGCAAAUAAAGAAAUGGGCGGUAAACUUUAUCAACAAUUGGAGUUGUUCCAGGAAGGUACGUUUAGCCCUUUCACCACUCUAAAGCCGACGAUGCACUGGAUAUCUUGACCUGGCCAAAACAGAAAGUUCAAUGAUCAACGAACGGCACUGGAUAUCUUGUCUUGUCUGAAUUUGUCCAUAAAUAUUAGAAGUACUAAUAAUGCUAAAAUAACAAAAAAAAGUCUCUUAAAUUUCAUAACUUUAAUUAAAUAAAAUUUUAUAUUUUUAUUAUUUAAUUUCCACUCAUAUAAUCUUUUAACAUUUAAUUUGUAUGUAAAUAACUUAUUAAACUUUUAAUUUAUACAUAAAUAAUUCCUUAAUAUAAAUCAUUCUUUUAUUUUAAAUGAAAACUUAUUUACAUACAAAUCAAAUUCUAAGAAUUUAUUUGGAUAAAAUAAAAAUAAAAGAGUUUAUUUAAAAAUAAUGAAAUAAUUCAAAGAUUUUUUUUAAUAUUUUGGCUUAAUAAUAAUUAUGUCUUGCAUACGUACUUGUGAUACAAUUAUUAAAACCUGGUAAACUGAAAUAGGUGUCGAGCAUUUAUGAAUUAAAAGGGUGUAAAUGUUAGAUGGCCCCUUAACAGAACAAUCUCAUCAAUAGUCUUGUUACAUUUGAUUUAAACAAAAAGGAAUAGAAAUUUUGAACAUUGAACUUUUAUCCUAUCAAGAAGAAUUUACAGUAGGUAGAUUAAAUUCAUCAAUUUUUUUACUCGGCUAAAUAUAUUCAGCGGGCUGAGAUAUUAGAUAUUGUCUUGUGAUUUAUUGAUGAAUCUGUUGCAGAAAGACUGGUCAACAGGAAUUAAUAACUCUGCCAACAGGAAAAUGCGGGUCUUUUUGGUUCAGGAAGAGCAAAUAAGGUUCCACUAGUUCCAGUUCUUUUCCUUCCUUCUUUACAUGGUCGCCAGGCCUGCCAAUGAAUUCACAUAUAUCAAAUUUUAGACAGAAAUAUUGCACUGAUGGGAAGGACACUUCAAUUUUGAUGACUAAUUACAGGUAUACCCACAUAUGCAAGAUGUGUCUGGGCAUGUUCCGUUUGGUAAAAACCACUAUUUUUUUUUCCGGGCAAUUUCAAUCUUGACAAUGAUAGAGAUGUUUUAAUUCCUUGAGUUGGAGUCCCCAUGAAAUUUUUACUUCCAGCUGAUUUUUACAUUUGAAUUGUAGACAUCUACAAACUCGUAAUAGGAUGCUUCGGGCUCAAAAUUAGCCAUAUCAAAAUCGAGAUCAAACCCCAUAGGGUUAUGACUUUUCUCAUUACAUAUUUACAUUUAGAUUUCUUUGUUCCUCUGUCGAAUUUGUCCCUAGCAUCUCAUUCAUCUAAAGGAGGUUUUUUUUUUUUUUUUUCAAUAGUAGUAUGUAAUAAUUUUUAUGUUUUAUUUUUCAAAGUUCUUUAAUCUUUUGGUCUAAUAAGUAUAGUUUAAUUUUAAUAUUAAAUGAUUGAAUUAAUUCUUUGAAUAAAAAUAGAUGCACUUUUGAAAAAAAAUCAAAUACAUCUAUAGCCAUUUUUUUUUUCUUUUGUAUAUUGAUAUAUGAAGAUAUCUCCCAUUGUUUUGUUGAAAAGGUUUAAGUACACGUUAUGGUGUCAUUCAGCCAAAAAGGCUUAAUUAAUAUGCAAAUAAUGGAUAAUAAGUUUUAUUAUUGAUGGAAUUAAUUACAAGUAUAAUUAAUUUUAAUAGUAAAAUGAUUGAAUUAAUUCUUUGAUAUAAAUAUAGAUACACUUUCGAAAAAAUAAUCAAAUCCGCAUAGCCAAUUUUUUUUUUUCAUGCAAUAGAAUAUGUGUGAGAUAUCUCCCAUGUUUCUGUCUGAAUAAGGUUUAAUACAUUUUAUGGUGUCAUUCUACCAAAAAGGCUUAAUAAGUGUCCAGAAGCUAGCAUCCACUAUAGGAGAUUAGGUCUUUAGUAAGUUUUUUUUUUUUUUUUUUUCAUGUUUAGCAACGUUUAUAAACUCCUUUAUAUGAUUUGCAACAUUUGUAAAAAACGUCGUUAAAAGUGUCAGUUAUACUUACGUCGGAAAAAAUAAUGACAUUUUAUAAAUUUCACGAUGUUUUUGUACUAAAAUGCCUCUAAAUUUACUAAUUUUAUGGCAUUUCUAUCUAGAAAUAUCACUAAUUUAGUAACAUUUUUUGAGAAACGUCGUUAAGUUUAGCGAUAUUUUUAGUAAAAAUGCUGCUAAAUUUAAUAGUUUUUUUGCAUACAAAUGCCGCUAAAUGAGAUAAUUUACUUUUUUUUAAAGAUUUACUGUUAUAAUUAAAUAAAAAAUAGAUAAAUAUUUUUAAAAUCAUAAAAACAAAUUUAAAUUCAUAAACUAAAUAUUAUAAAUAUCUAAAUAUUUAAAUAUAUAAUUUGUUUCAGUAUGCAUGUAACACAAAGUUUAAUAAGAAAAUUACAACAUUAAUUUUUCAAAUAUUCGAUUAUAUAUAUUUUGUGUUUUCAGAGAACUAGAAGUUAAAUUGGUGUAACAUGUUUGCUCUAGGUGUUGAGUCUCCUUUUAUAAGGAACCCAAAAUUCUAGCCAUCAAAGCCAGCUAACUUCAGGUAAAAACAACAGUACCACACCAAAUUUGAACCAUAAAAUAUAGAUACUUUCAAUUUAUUAAAUGUAACUUAUUGCUUUCAAUUUGUUCUUUAUACCAAUUUCAGCCUAGAGAAAUCUUAAAAAAGAGACAAACUACAGCUAAGAUUUGAGUGUACCUAAAUAAAUUUACUGUCAAGGAAAAUAAUGAUAACUCUACCCAAUUGAUCUUUGUUGACUGCAAACUACAAACGAUUUUACCAACAAACCAAGCUUUGCCUCAAGCUCUGCUAGUUCCUUAAGCUUUGCAAAUUACAAAUGAUUUUAGCUAUGCUUGUUGAGAGGAAAUUUUCAUGAAGAGGAAAUUCAUGAAAAACAAGAAGACCAAGGUUGUAAAUGGAGAGCAAAUCCACAAAAAAAAAAAAAGGGAUAGGCUGAAAAUGAAAGGAAUCAACUAAACAAAUGUAAAACGAUAGGAAAUGGCAGAAACAACAUAAAGGUUUAAGAAUUUGGGGAAAUUUUUAGUGGUGUUUCCUUUUUAAAAACACCACUAAAUACCUUAUUUAACGGCAUUUUCUUUUAAAAUCGCCAUUAAAAUACAUUUAAAAUAGAGAGUUUUAUGUUACUGAAAACAUUUUUUUGGAUUAUUCAAGAAUUUUUUGACAAAAAAUGCCUUGAAUAAUCUCUUAUAAAAAUUGAAUGGGGUUAUUCAAGGCAUUUCUAGCAAAAAACGUGUUGAAAAAUCCCCUCUAAUUUUUUAUUAGGGAUUAUUCAAGGUGCUUUUGAAUAAUUUUUAUAAGGGGAUUAUUCAAGACGUUUUUAGCGUUUUUGGCCAAUUUUUAUGAAGAGAUUAUUCAAAGCAUUUUUAGCCAAAAACGCCUUGAAUAAUCUCCUCAUAAAAAUUGAAGGGAAUUAUUCAAGGCAUUUUUGGAAUAAUCUAAAAAAAAUGAUAAGGGAUUAUUCAAGACAUUUUUGACAAAAAAUGCCUUAAAUAAUCCUUUCAUAAAAAUUGAAGAGGAUUAUUGAAGACAUUUUUAGUCAAAAACACUUUAAAUAAUCCCCUCAUAAAUAUUGAAAUGGAUUAUUCAAGGCAUUUUUAGCCAGAAAUACCUUGAACCAUUCAAUUUUUUAAGGGAUUAUUCAAGAUAUUUCUGAUUAAAAAUGUCUUUAAAACACCUUCAAUAAUCCAAAAAAAAGGUAGAGAAUUAUUUAAGGCAUUUCUGGUCAAAAAAACAUAUUAAAUAAUCCCUUCAUAAAAAUUGAAGGGGAUUAUUAAAAGUAUUUUUUGUCAGAAAUACCUUAAAUAACCUCAUUCAAUUUUUUUGUAAAGGAUAAUUCAAAGCUUUUUUUGAGCAAAAAUGUCUUAAAUAAUCCUCAAUAAAAAAUUACUGUGGAUUAUUCAAAACAUUUUUAACCAGAAAUACUUUGAAUAAUCUCAUUUAAUUUUUUGUAAGAGAUUAUUUAAGGCGUUUUUCAUACCAAACGCCAUAUAUAAACCAAAUUUAACGGCGUUUCCUUUUUAAAAUGCCACUAAAAUAUAUUUAAAAUAGAGAGUUUUAUGUUAAUAAAAAUAAUUUUUUUUGAAUUAUUCAAGUUGUUUUUUUGUCAUAAAUACCUUAAAUAAUCACUUACAAAAGAUUGAAAGAGGUUAUUCAAGGUGUUUCUAGUAAAAAACAACUAGAAUAAUUCCUUUCAAUUUUUAUGAUGGGAUUAUUCAAGGCAUUUUUGGUCAAAAACAAAAACACCUUGAAUAAUUCCUUCUAAUUUUUGUUAUUGAUGAUUAUUCAAGGUAUUUUUUUAUAAAAAAACACAUUGAAUAAUCCUUUGCUAAAAAUACUAGAGCAGUUUAAUCGGUUAGAGUAUAUAGCUAUUAAUUAUAAAGUCAUAGAUUCGAUCUCUUCUUUUAGAAAACACUUGUUAAAUCCUCAAAACGUUAGAAGGACUUAUCAAAGCCCAUUGCAUUUGUAGUAUUAUACAUAUAAAUAGAGGGUGAUAGCUCAAUGAUAGAGAAGAAAGAUCUAUAAGAAUAACGCACUAGUUGUUCAACUCUACAGAGGAAAAGGCCAUAAAUCUUAUCUGGAUUUUCCCUUUCAAUAUCCUUAAAGAAACCAUAAAUAAUUCCUUGACAAUAAAGACGUCGGAUGAGAAGGUGGUUAAGGUUGAUCUCGAAUUGGCUGUAACUGAAAGGCCAAAAGGCCUUAAUCCAAUCACACCAACGGAAGCAAAAUCAAACAAUCAAUUAAUCACACAAGAAAUAAUAAUUUAACGUGAUUUGGUCAAAUCAACUUACGUCCAGGAUGAGAAACAAAAUCUACUAAUUGUAAAAAAUUAUAAACAUAUUUCAAAAUAUAUCAACCACUCAACAAUCAAUACUCAUAGAUCCUCUCAAUCUCUUGUAAUCUUAUGGAGUAUUAUCAACCUAAAUAAACAUAUACUCAUGUGCAACUUUGCAACACAACCAAACACAUACCCAUAUGCACUCAUACAUCAUACCUGUGUGGACCCUCUCAGUCUACUCUAGUCCAAUCACAAACAAACAUACACACCCAUAAGACGUAAAUCUUAAGUAAUCUUAUGGGGUGUCUACCCAUAAAAUCUUACAACUCUCAUAUAUAUUUUUCUUAUAUCUAACCCUAUAGAGACUUCACCUAUUUAUAGGCAUACAAACUUGCCUAUUAAGAAUCUCUUUCAUUUUAAAAUUUUUUUCUUCAAAUCAAACUUGCUUAUUAAAAAUCUCAUUUCUCUUAGAAUUCUUUUUAUGCAAGUCUUUUUGUCCAUCAAGUAAUAUCUAACAAAUCCUAAAUAAAUCUCUUAUAGGAUUUAAGUUACUAUUCCUAACAAUCUCUAUCUUGACUCAAAUUUCAUCAAAUCAUCUGUCUUCAUGCUAGACAUGCUUGACUCCACCUAGAAUGUAAGUCUCAUAAUCAUCUUCUCUUGUGUGUUUUUACGCUUCACACAAAUCGAUCCUCAAAACAUGAACUCGAACUUUUUCCUUGAAUCAAGCUCUUCUAAGCUUGCCUCUUUUCAUGUCUCGAACCCUGCUAUUUCUACGUCUCAAACCUUUAGCCUGAUACCACUUGUUGGGCCAAAAGGCCUUAAUCCAAUCACACUAGUGAAAGUAAAAUCAAAUAAUCAAUCAAUCACACAAGAGAUAAUAAUUUAACGUAGUUCAGUCCAAUCGACUUACAUCCACGAAUGAGAAAUAAGAUUUACUCGUUGUAAAGAAUUAUAAACCUACAUUAAAAUAUAUCAAUUACUCAACAAUCAAUACCCAUAGACCCUCUUAAUCUCCUAUAAUCUUAUGAAGUAUUCUCAACCUAAACAAACGCAUAUCCAUGUUCACCCUUUCAACAUAACUAAACACAUACCCAUAUGCACUCAUACAUAAUACCUGUGUGGACCCUAUCAGUUUCUUCUAGUCUAUUCGUAAACAAAUAUAUACGUCUAUAAGACGUAAAUUUUCAGUAGUCUUAUGGGAUGUCUACCUGUAAAAUCCUACAACUCUCUUACAUCUUUUUCUCAUACCUAACUCUAUAAAGACUUCAUCUAUUUAUAAGCAUACAAACUUGUUUAUUAAGAAUCCAUUUCUUCUUAUAAUUCUUUUUUUGUAAGUUAAAGUUACCUAUUAAAAAUUUUCUUUCUCUUAAAAUUCUUCUUAUGCAAGUCUUUUUGUUUAUCAAAUAAUAUCUAACAAAUCCUAAAUAAAUAUCUUAUGAGAUUUGAGUCACUAUUCAUAACAGUAACAACUAGAAUUUAAUUCUCUUGUGCAACUUGCAUAGAUAUAAGUCAAUUGCAUUUCAGACAUGUUUUGUGAGAUAACAAGGAAAGGAGAAGAAAGAAAAAAAAGCAAGUAAAAUGCUCCUAAAACAGAAAGAACAACAUAAUAGUGCUUCAUCUUCUUCCAAUGUUUUUCAAUAAUUCAUAAAUAUGAAGUUUUGGCCAAAAUUAAUUUUUGAUUAAUUAUUUAUGUUACAUCAUUACCAAACUUUUAGUUUGCUAAGCUAAUUAUUUUUAUCUAAGUUCGCUACUAUUUUUUAGGAUUUACCACUUUGUUAAAGCUUAAUUUAUUACAAUAGAAUAAUUGAAUAAAGGCUCUCAAUAAAUUAAUACUUUAUUUUGUGAAAAUGAGUAUAAUUUGAAAUUUGAUCAAAAGUAAAGGGUUAAUUAGUCUUCACCUUAUAAAAUAUUUUUAUUUUUUUAUAAAACACAUAUAUGCUUUCAUUCUAUGAUUAAUGUUACUAUAAAUCAGUUUUAUGCAUAUAUUAUGUAUUAAUUUAUUAUUAUAUAAUAAUACUGAUAUAAUUUUAAUUACUUAUAUUUAUAUAAUAACAAUACUUUUACUAAUUAAUUAAUGUUUUGGAGUGAUCCUCAAGCUUUUGAUUUAGUGAUUAAAAACAUUUAAAAAAAUAUUAAAAAUUUGAUUUUAAGUCAUAUUUUUUAAUUAUUAUUUAUACUAAGACUUUGUCUUCUUAAUGUAACCAAAAAAAAAAAAAAGUGCUGGAGUGAGAUAAUAAUAUCAUUUUUUGAGGUGACGUGAUUACCCCUUCUAGAAGUGAUGUAUUAUCAAAACUGCUGGAGAAUUAGACACGCCGUGUGUGAGACUUCAAUUAAAUAAUUUUAUUUCUAUAUUUGCAAAUUUUGCUUUGAAAAUUAUAAAUAAUUUUUUGCUAUUGAAUUUUGCUAAAAAAAGUCUUAAAAAAACAUUUUAAAAUUACUAUAUUAAAUAAUAUUUCUUUCAAUAAAGUAAAAAUUAAUAUGUUAAUUGUCAAUUAUUCAUUGAAUAAAAAUAUUAUUAUAAAUAUAAUAUUAAUUCAUCUUAAAAUUUUCUUAGAGAUGCUCGUUGACAAAACUUUUUAUUAUUAAUUAUAUCAACUUUUUAUUAUUAAUUAUAUCAUUUCCUAUCACUGGUAUCAACCACUCCCCUAGAAAAAGAAAGCACUUAAACUUCUUGGAAAAUCAGUAAGCCUGUCACGACAUUGCAAUUUUCAACUUAAAUUAGGAUCGAUGGGUAAAGUUUUUUGUAGAUUUAAUAAUAUGUAUAUUUAUAUAAUAAAAAAUAUUAAAAUUUAUAUAUUUGUAUUAUAUUUUAUAUAAAAAUUAUAUAUUAUAAUUGAUAUCAAUAUAAAAAUAAAAAAUAUAUUUUUUAUUUUAUUAAAUUUAUAUAUAUAAUUAUUAUUAAAAUUUAAAAUUAUAUUUUUUUAUUUUUUAUUUUUAUAUUAUAUUUAUAUCGUAUUAUUAUAUUAUAUUUUAAAUUAUCAAAUUUAAUUAUUUGGAUGCAUUCUAUGUGACAUUUGAGGUAAAAAUCAAUUCAACGUGCAGUUAAAAUAUUAUUUGCUAACAAGAAGAAGCAAAUGCACCCUCAAUGUGUGGCAUUUGAGGUAGAAGUCGAUCCAAGAAGCAGUUGAAUAUUAUUUGUUAACAUCAAGAAGCAAAUGGAAAAUUCAAGGGAAAGAGAAAGGGAGAGAAAAUCAUUGAAUCUACGUAUAACGUUAAACAAAUAAAGAAAUGGCCGAUAUAGGUUUUCCACAAGUGGAGUCGCUCCAGGAAAGUGCUUUUAGCCCUUUCACCACUGUAAAGCUGGACGAUGCGCUGGAUACCUUACCCUACCCAAAAUAGUAAGUUCUAUGAUAACGAACCGCACUGGAUAUCUUGUCUUGUCCGAAUUUCAUUGGGGUAGAUACCGUCGUUGUCAACUUGUCCAUAAAUAUUAGAAGUACUAAUAAUGCUAAAAUAACAAAAAAUAAAAAAUAACCCUUGAAUUUUAUAAUUUUUAUAAUUUUAUUAUAUUUAAAAAAUAUUUAAUAUUUAAUUUAUACUUAAACAAUUGCUUAACAUAAAUCAUUUUUUCAUUUGAAAUAAACACUUAUUUAGUUACAAAUUAAAGUAUAAAAAUUUAUUUAGAUAAAAGAAAAAUAUAAAAAUUUAUUUAAAAAUAGUGAAAUAAUUCAAAGUUUCUUUUUAAUAUUUUGACCUACUAAUAAUUAUGUCUUGCAUACGUUCAUGUGAGACAAUUAUUAAAACUUGCCAAACUGAAAUAGGUGUCGAGUUAAUGUAUUAGAAGGAUAUAAACGUUAGAUGGCCUGUUAACAGAAUAAUCUCAUUAAUAUUCUUGUUAUAUUUGAUAUGAACAAAAAGGAAUAGAAAAUUUUUAACAUUGAACCUAUUCCUAUCAAGAAGAAUUUACAGUAGCUAAAUUAAAUUCAUCAAUUUUUUUCUCGGUUAAAUAUAUUCAGGGGGCUGAUAUAUUAGAUAUUGUCAUCUGAUCAGGUAGCGCAUUGGAAAGGAAUUAGGAUCUCCUGACACAGGUAACAAAUUAUGGAGUUGGCUACAUUCAUGAUUUCAAGAAUAACAGUAAAUAUAUCAGUUAAUUGUUGUAUAAAUUUCUUAUAGAAAUGUAACUAUCAUCAGGUUGCUAGCAACUCUUUCUUCAACUUAACUGUUAUAAGUUGAUUUACAUACUUGUGCUGAUCCUGAUUUGCUUGAAAACAUCUACUUUUGUUUUAUCUAGGGGGGGAGGAAAUUAUGCUUCCCCAAAUCACUUGUUCAAGCCAAGAUAAUUCUACAACAAGCAUAUUUACGGGUUAAAUAUAGCUUCUUCAUUAGUAUAUAAAAUUGCAAGAGACAAUUGAUGAGCAACUUAUUUGAUUUAAUAAAACAUGAAGAUUACUGCAGAGUAUCAAGAUUUUGGGGCUAAAUAAAUUUUGUAUAUCCAGUUCAUACAUAAAGUGACUGGAUCAAGUUCACAAGUACCACUACUGAAUUAUACCAAAAAUUCACAACUUUGGCAGAAAAAUGACUUAUUCAACAUUGGCAGAUUGCUAUCUACGCUGAGGAAGCAUCUAUUAACUCACUUUACCGAGGAUCUAAUUCAGAAAUCGAUGCUUCAUUGAUAGACCAUGGCAUUGAUUGACUAGUGGAUUGAUCAGACUCCAGCCCCAUGUUUGGCAUACUUCCCUCUGUUCUGCUGUGAAGGAAAAAUGCCGGUUGGUUAGGCAAUGGUAGUGUGACGGAAAAACUGUUAAGCAUGAGAACAAUGGUAGCCAUCGUAGGCCUGUCAACCGGAUCGUCCUGAACGCAUAAUAACCCAAUUUGGAUGCAUCUAAUGACUUCAUUUCUAGAGUAAGUAUCCCUCAGAAUAGGAUCCAACAAUUCUAAUGGUGUCCCAUCCUUCCAAUGUUUCCAAUCCUGCAGUGGUUCAUCAAGUAAGAUUCAAAAAGUUACCUCACCUUAAAUUUUAAUUUCGUAUUUCGUAUAGGCUGAAUUAUACUCACGUAGCUAAUGAGGUCCUCAGCACCAUCUGUUUGAUAGAAAUUAGUGUUCCUUUGGCCACUUAUAAUUUCUAGAACUAAAACACCGAAACUAUAUGCAUCUGAUUUCACAGAAAACUGCCCUUGCAUUGCAUAUUCGGGAGACAUGUAGCCACUGAAGAACCAUUAGCAAUGUUAGUAUAAUGACAAGAACAAAUAUUUUUAGUUUGAUCUAAUAAUUUAUAUAUGUUAACAACAAUCAGGAUAGCUUGUUAUAAAUGAUUUAGCUGGAGGUGUUAAUAUGUCGCAAGGAUUCCUAAAUUCGAUUAGAACCAGGGUAGAAUCAAAAUGAACUUUUAUUUCUUUAAGUUGUUCAACAAUUAGGAUGCAACAACUCAUGGUUAAAUUGCCUAUGAAACUUAUGCUAAACAUGUUCAAAACUUACUAGAUACCAACAACUCUUCUGGUGGUUCCUUGAGUUUGAUCAACACCAAAAAUCCUUGCCAUGCCAAAAUCUGAAAUUUUUGGAUUCAUUUCACCAUCUAAUAAUAUAUUGCUGGCCUUGAGAUCACGGUGUAUAAUUCUAAGCCGAGAAUCCUCAUGCAGGUAAAGCAUUCCUCGAGCAAUCCCUCCUAUGAUCUUGUAACGUCUUGACCAAUCCAAUUGUCCUUGUUUUGCAGGAUCUACAAAAAUAAAUAAAUAAAUAAAUAAAUGAAUAAGCAGUUUUGUUCACACAGUAAAUCUUGGCAGUGUUUAAAAUCAAUUCAAAGACCCAACAAAAUUCUGGCAACAGCAUAUUACACGUACCAAAAAGAAAACAGUCAAGACUUUUAUUGGGCACAAAUUCAUAGAAGAGUAUCUUUUCUUCUCCUUCCAAGCAAAAUCCGAGUAGUCUCACUAGAUUUCUGUGUUGAAGCUUGGCAACCAAUACAGCCUCAUUUUUAAAUUCCUCCACCCCUUGCCCUGAACUUCUCGAUAACCUCUUAACAGCUAUUCCUUGCUCGUUAGGAAGGGUACCCUGAGAAUGUAAGAUACCCUUCAUUAGAAAAGCUUUCCGAGAGUUUGAGUUUGGACUCUGUAUGCAUGGAUAAAAUGGCUACAUGUAAUUUAAUACUAAUAAUACCUUGUAAACUUCACCAAAACCACCUUCUCCUAGCUUGUUCCUAUCUGAGAAGUUGUUUGUGGCAACUUGUAUCACGCUAAAAUCAUACUGCAGUGACUCUAUUGUGGUUAUAUCAUUUCCUGCUGUAAAAUCAAAAUUGCAAAUGUCAUAUUCUGUAAAAUAUUAUCAAAGAACAGGUAAGACCGAAGCAAUGAGAUUCUUUUGGCACAAAAUAAGUUGUGUUUUACCAUUUUCUCCUUCUAUAGGUUUGUACUUCCUUGCUCUCCUUUUUAAUAGACAACAACCCACGAAAAAAAGCAGAACAGAGGAAAUUGGAGCAACAAUGGCAACAAUUAUAUGCCACGACUUUUGGCUUUUUCCUGCAGAAGCAAUAAAGAAUUAAAGAUGUGUCACGAUAAUUUCUAAUACUUCUCACCAUAAAGGAUACUUAGAAGGUGGAGAGAAUACGAGGGAGGCUACAACCAUCAAAUAAAAUCAAAUUCAAAUUCAUUUGAUCGCUUUUAAUUGGAGAUGUCUCUGCAGCGCAAUAUCUCGGGUACCAGAACUUUCCAAAUGUCAAUUCCAUCAAGGAAAGGCAAAUUUUAGUGUUGGUAAUUUUUUUGAAGAAAACUGUAAGGCAUAUAAUCGUCCUAAUUAUAAUUAUUUAACUCAACUAACAAAAAUAAAUAAAAAGGCAAUAGUACGGAUGGUAUGACUGCACCUGGAGCUGCUGGAGAAGGAGUUAUCACAGACGGAGGUGACGGAACUGAAACUGCAGUUUGAUUAUAGAACGGGUAAACUUCAUAUCUAAUGUUGCAGCUAGGAUUCAGCACUCUUCCCCCUUGCUUUCCACUGCAACAAUUGGGCAGAGCCGCUAUAUUCCUCGCAGACAUGUAUUACAAUCCGAGCUUGACAGGUCAGGAGUACACUGCACAAGGCUGUAUAGUGUUUGAAACCCUGAAAUAUUCGCCUCUCUGGUCGCGAAGUUUUUUAAACCUAACGUAGCAUUUACAGCCAGGGUUGCUGCAUUAUUCAUCGUAUCAGCCAGUAUCUGAUCAAAGCGGUCUUGGUCCGUGACAUUUCCCGUAUUCCACAUAUAGAAUGCAGGAACAACAGUCAUAAAUGGAAAAGAUAGAUCGAUUCGAGUAAUGUAAAAGGCUAUUAUCAUACCAAAUCACAGCAAUUUUUUCAAUAGGACAACGUUGAGUGACGUCGUUGAUGGCGGUAGACACACAUUCUUCGCAGCUACUAUUUGAAACAUCACCCUUGCAGAGAAACAGUCCGUAGACCACGUCAGAGUUUCUGCCAGAGGUUGUGUUGUAGAAUCGAUAGCCACGGGUGGCGUUGGAGGAUAGAGAGGAGAGCAGGUGAUUGAGACCGGCUUGGUAAGUACCGUUUGUGGGAAAAGUGGUCGUGUUCGAACAGCUAUGGUAGAGGUAAGUUUGUUGCGCUUCAAUGGUAAAGCUAAGCAAGGAGAGGACCAACAGAGUUAUGAAGGACUUGUAGACAAGCAUUUUUUCUGUUUCUUUUUUCCUCGGACCAUAACAGAGAUGAUCUUCUGGGUUUUCUACCGGCACUGAAAGAACUGUACAUCAAGACGCAAACCUUGAAAAAGCAUGUGAAGCUAAAUUAAUAGGGUGUGUUAGUCAACCUUGUUGAAAGAUGCAAAGAUAGUUACACGACUUCGACAGAUGGGAUGCGAGUUAGAGAUAUCACUUUCACGUCGACCUACUCAUGGCCUCCGUUCGGCCCAAUUUUAGUAAGUCCAACAUUCAGCAUUUUAAAUAAGUUUAAGUUCAGUCUAAAAUUUGAGUUUUAUUUUUUAUUUAAAUUUAAUUUUAUAUGUAUUAAUAAAAUUUAAAUUUGUCCAAAACACUGAUAUUUAAAAUUAAAAAAAUUUUAAUUUUUUUAAUUAUUAAUUUAAUUAAUUUUAAUUGAAUUUACAAAUUAUUUUGAAUUUGAGUCUAAUUUAAUUUUAUUAAAUGUAAUUUAAAUUAAAUAAUUAUUGUGUAUAAAAUAAGAUUUUGUCAUAUUAUAAAUAAUAAAAUAAAUAUGCUUUGUUUAUUAUAAAAAAAUAAAACAAGUGAAAUUUGUUCCACUAUAAUAAAAAAUUUUUUUUUUUUAUUUUUUGAUUGGAUCGGGUUCAGCUCAACUUUAUUUUUGAGUCAAAUCUCAUUUAUUUGUAUAAACUCAAUAAAUUUAGUACUUUUGUUUAAACCUUUUAAAAUUUUGAAUAAAUUUUUGGAUUUCUGACGGGGUACCCGACCCAUAAACAGGACUAUUAUCAUGGUGUCUUAAAAUUGCAGGCCCACGCACUGAUUGGAAGUUAGUGCUCUUGAUUGUAACAGAUUUUUCUCAUUGCAUAUUUACAUUUACAUUUACAUUUUUUUGUUCCUCUGUCCAAUUUGUUUCUAGUUUGUUAUUCAUACAGGUGCACGAAUUAAUUUAAUUUAUUUAAAUAUUUAUAGAUAUAUAAAUUAAUAUUAUUUAAUUUAUAUUUUUAAAGUAUAUAUAAAUUACAUAUAACAAUUAAGUCCAACAUGAUUGUCGUUUUUAUUUAUAAAGAUUUGAAUUAUUAUCAUUUUUGAAUUAGAAAAUUAAAAGAAUUUAAUAAUAAUAAUAAUAAUUACUAUAUUCUUUUUUUAUAUGUUUAUUGGCAAAUUUUCAUUUAAUAUAUAAAUAACAUAAACAUGUUAAAUAAAAUUUUAAAAAAAUUUCAUUUGUCUAAAAGGAAUAAAAAAUAGUAUGUACAAUAUGACAUAAGUUAAUAAAACAGUUACUAUAUUUUAUUAUUAUCAUUCACCGGUCAUUAAUUUGUAUCAUUCAAUUCGUUUUAGAUUUUCAGUUGAUAUGUAAAAAAACACAAAAAAUAUGCAUCCUUUAUUUCUGAAUAUUAUAUAAAAACAUAAAUAUAGUAAUAGCAUGGAAAAUUAAGGAAAGCAAUAUUCAAACAUAUAUAUAUAUAUAUAUGGUAGCAAUAAUUAAUUAAUUUACUGCAAUAUCAUGUCCCUUAUUCUUCAAAACAGCCGAACAUGAUGUAUAGUUACGUUAGAAAUCACCAAAAAGCAUGAAAAUUUAGCUUGAGAAAUUGAAAACAUUUUAAAACUACUGAAGAGCAUGACAGAAAAUGGAAGACUAUUUAAAAUGAAAACAUUUAUUUGUAAAUGGAAGGUCCAUCCAAUUGGUUUGUUGAAUGUGAUGAGGGAUGAGUUUAUACAUGGGAUAAGGGAAUUUUAUUUGAAUUUAAAUUGGUUUUUUAUUUAAAUUUUAAAAUUUUUAGAUAAUUUAAUAAAUUUUGAAAUAUAUUUUUUUAAGAAAUAGUUUAAAAUUAGUAAAUAUGUGUCAUUAAAAAGAGUAUUUGUCAAAAAAAGAAUAUGUUUAUGUAAGCAUUCACGUAAAUAAAUUUUAUCUAAUAAUUAUGUAUGUUGCAAUAUAUAUAUAUAUAUAUAUAUAUGAUUUACAUUUACAUUUCUUUGUUCCUUUGUCCAAUUUAUCUCUAGCAUCCCAUUUAUCUAAAGGAGGUUUUUUUUUUUUUUUAAAUAGUAGUAUAUAGUAAUUUUAAUGAUUUAUUUUUCAAAGUUCUUUAAUCGUUUGGUCUAAUAAGUAUACUUUAACAGUAAAUUAUUUAAUUAAUUUUUUGAAUAAAAAUGGACACACUUUUGAAAAAUAAAAUCAAAUACAUCUAUAGUCAUUUUUUUCUCUUUUGUAUGUUGAUAUAUGAAGAUAUCUCCAAUUCUUUUGUUGAAAAAAUUAAGUACAUUUUAUGAUUGUCAUUAAGUCAAAAAAGGCUUAGCAAGUGUUGAGAAGCUAGCAUCCUUAGAAUAGUAAAAUAAAGGAAGAUCCAACCAUUAAUCAAUCACCGAGGCGAGAUAUUUGAAAUUGUAACCUCAUUAACAGAACAGACUCUAUCAUUUGAAGUGGAUUGAAUUGGUUCUGCAACAACACUUCCAACAGAAAAUGAAGGUUCUGCUGGUAUAGGAAAUGUUAUGGUUUCGCUUGCCAACAUGACAAUCACAGAUGACAUGGUAGGUCUACCUGCUGGGUCUUAUUGCACGCACAAUAGCCCGAUACGGAUGCAUUUAAGAACCUGAGUGAGAACACCCUAUUGAACAAGGAACGGAUCUAUUAGCUCCAUUCCUUGACCUUUAGACCAUCGUUUUUGUUUGGAAUAUGUGGGGUUUAACCCCAUGUAAUUAGUUUUGGCCAAUUAAAAGGCCUAAAGCCCUUUUUGUUUUGACCUAAAAGAGCUCUACUUAAUAAAAACAAGAUGGAGGCUAUGUUAAAAGGUGAGAAACAAAGGGUGGAGCUAACAUCGAGGGAAAAAAAAAGCCAAAAAAAAUAGAGAGAAAAAAAAAGUUGAUUGAAUAUAAGUUGAUUUGUGAUUUGAUUGAGCUAAAAUUUUAUUAAUAGGUUUAUGAUUCAGAGUUUUACAUUUUGAAUGGUAAAAAUCAAGUUUGAAGCUCUAUAGAAACAAAUCUAAGGUAUAUUUGUUGAGUCAUUUAUUUUAUGAAAUUUCUCUAAUCGUCUCUCUAGUUGUUAAUUAGCUCUAGUUUUAGUUAGAAAAAAACUUUAUAUAUCUAUUAUUUGAUAGUGAAAAUUUUUCUGUGGUCCAUGAUUUAUGCUUUAUUUUUUUUGCAUUGCUUAUUAUUGGUUAUUGAUUGUUUUCUAUUACUGUGAGAUUAUUAUGAUAUAUUGCUUCUACGUUGUUGUGUUUAUUGCUUCGGGCCCAACAAGUGAUAUCAAAACGAGUGGUAUUUUGAGACAUCAAUGUAGAAGUAACCUAGGAUAAAAAUAAAUUUUGUUUGAGAUCAUAGAAUGUGAUACAGGUUUCAUGAUAAAAUUGAUAAUAUCAAAUUAUUCAAUUUGGAAGCCUAUGAUGAAGGAUCAUUUAUACUACAAAGAUUUAUAUUUGUCGGUAUUGGAUGAUUCGACUAAAUUAAUAGAUACGAAAAUGAAAGUUGAAAGAAGUUAAACAAAAAGAUAUUGGCUAUAAUUAGAAAAUUGAUUAAUAUCAACGUGUUCCAUCAUGUAGUGUGGGAGAUAAAUGCCUUUGCUAUUAAUGUCUUUGAUAAAGAGGGAUAUGAUAGUCAAUAAAAUAAUUGACAAUGAAAGCUUCUUAAAGGAUUUAUGGUAGUUACUAAGAGAAAACUAUGCUACACAAUGUAUAAGAUAUGGAUGCAAUUACACGGUAACCAAAUAAAUGCCGUUGAAGAUGAUGCUUCAAUAAAUCUGUGGCACAAGAUGUUGACACAAAUGAGUAAAAAGAGAUUACAGGUUUUGGCAAGGUAGUCUCUCAUUACCUUGAUCAAAUGGAUUUCUCUUGAUUCAUGUGAUCAUUGUUUGUUUGACAACAAUCGUAGAGUUUCUUUUCAUAAGAGUUUUUUAAGGAAAGAAAACAUAUUGAAAAUGAUUUAUUCUAACGUAUGUGAUCCCAUUAAGGUUGAGUCAUUAAAUGGUAGUAAGUAUUUUUUUACUUUUAUUGAUGAUGCUUAACGUAAGACUUAGGUGUAUAUAUUAAAAAUAAAAGUAAAAUAUUGUAGUAUUUUCAAAACUUUUAUGCUAUGGAAGAAAGGAUGACAGGGUUGCCCUUGAAGUGUAUUCGAACUAAUAAUGGUGGGAAUACACAUCCAAAUACUUUAAAGAGUAAUGUUCAAAAUAUAGGAUCAAACAUGAGAUGAGAAAACCUAAAACACCACAACAAAAUGGUGUAACUGAAAGGAUGAACUAUACCAUUAUAAAAAAAGUCAGAUGUAUAUUGAAGAUAGCAAAAUUACCAAAACCAUUUUAGGGUGAAGCCAUCAACAUAACUUGUUGUUUGCCUAACAUAUCACCAUCACUUUUUUUAGGCUUUGACCUUCCAAAAAGAUUAUGGACAAGAAAAGAUGCUUCAUACUCUCACUUGAAAGUUUUCGAGUAUAAAACAUUCAUGCAUGUACUGAAAGAACAAAGGUCAAAGCUUGACAGUAAAGUUACAUAGUGUGUAUUUGUAGGAUAUGGUGAUGUAAAAUUUAGCUACAGUGUAUAGGAUCCAGUGAAGAGAAAGAUAGUCAAAAGCAAAAAUGUGAUCUUUUAUGAAAAAAAAUCAUAGUAGAGAUGUGGUCUUCCAUGUAAAAAAAAAAUUUGGAGAACAAUGAGAAGAUUACAUGGGUUAUUAUUGGGUGUGAUGUUUCAACACUGAUAGAAAUUCCAUAAGAAAGAGUCACAGAUGAUGAAAAUGAGCAAGAAAUAGAAUUUAAAGAUAUGAAUGAGCCAGCCACAGUUAAUAAUGAGUCAAAUGCAAUCAAUUUUGAACAGGGAGAGCAAUCAUUUCUACCUAAGAGUGUUAAGUAAGAUGAGCACUCCUCUCAACCAAAGACAGUGAAGCAAGGAAAGCUACAAUCGACAUCAAGUGGUGUAAAGUUUUAGCCUAAGAGAUCUACCAGAGAACACAUGCCAUCCACCAAGUAUCCAAGUUCAGAUUUUAUUUUAGUUAUUAGUGAAAGAGAGCUAAAAAGCUUUCAAGAUGUAUAAACUACUCCGAAUAGAGAGUACUGAUUAAAAGCAAUGAAUGAAAAAAUGGUACAUAUGAUUUUGUUAAACUUUUGAAAAAGAAGAGGCCAUUGAAAAAUAAAUUAGUGUUCAAGCUAAAAAUGAAAGAUGAUAAACUAGUGAGCUACAAAGCUCGAUUGGUCGUAAAGGGUUUUUCUCAUAAACUUGACAUCGAUUUUGAUGAAAUCUUUUCUCUAAUUAUAAAGAUGAGUUCCAUUUGAGUAGUAUUGGAACUAGCAGCUAGUUUGAAUCUUGAUCUUGAGCAACUUAAUGUUAAGACUGCAUUCUUGCAUAGUGACUUGUAGAAGGACAUUUAUACAAAUCAACUUAAAGAUUUUGAAGUGAAAAAAAAAAAGAGUAUUUAGUUUGCAAACUAAAGAAAAACUUAUAUGGCUUGAAACAAGCUCCACGAAAGUAGUAUAAAAAGUUUAAUUUUUUUAUAGUAAGCCGCAGUUAUAAAAGAAUAGCAGCAGAUCUUUGUAUGUAUGUAAGAAAAUUAUUUGAUGGUAACUUUAUUAUUUUCUUAUUAUAUGUUGAUAUUGUGUUAAUUAUGAGACAAGAUGUUGGUAUGGUUUGUAGGUUGAAAGAAUAAUUAUUUAAGUCUUUUAACAUGACAAAUUUAGAUCCAACAAAGUAGAUUUUUAGUAUGAAUAUUAUUCAUGAUAGAAGAGCUGAAAAGCUGUGGUUGUUAUAGGAAAAGUAUGUUGAAUAGGUACUUUGUAGAUUCAACAUGUAACAUGCUAAAUCAAUUAGCAAUUGACUUGCCAACUAUUUUCAGUUGAAUAAGAAAUCUUGUCUGAUAACUAAAGAAGAACAACUAGCUAUGUCUAAAUUCCUUAUUCUUCUGCAGUCGAUUUUUUAAUGUAUCUUAUGAUUUGUACAUGACUUGAUAUUGCUUAUGCAAUUGGUAUAUUGAGUAGAUUUCUUUUCAAUCCGAGAAAAGUUCACUGGGAAGUAGUGAAAUGAAUUUUCAAGUAUUUAAAGGGUAUUUCAAAAAUGUGCUUGAAUUAUAGAGUUUCACAACUAGUUCUAGAAAGAUUUAUUGAUACUGACAUCGUAGGUGAUCUUAAUGGUAGAAAAUCUAUUGUAGGAUAUUUGUUUGCUUUUGCAAGAAGAGCUAUGUCUUGGCAGUCCAAGUUACAGAAGUGUGUUACUUUGUCAACUAUAAAAAUUAAGUAUAUUGCAGCAAUUAAAGCAGGUAAAGAAAUACUUCGAAUGAAAUAUUUUCUUCUUGAAUUAGAGUUAAAUUAGAAAGAGUAAAUGAUAUUUUGUGAUAGUCAGAGUACUUUAAAUUUGAGUAAAAGUACCAUGUACAAUGAUAAAACAAAAUAUAUUAAUGUUAUAUAUCAUUGGUUAUGUUCGGUGAUUAAGGAAUAGCAGAUGCUAUUGAAUAAAAUCCAUAUUAAUAAGAAUGUAGUAGAUAUGUUGACUAAAACAUUUCUUAGAGGGAAAUUUAAACUCUUCAAUAACUUGGUCGGAAUGGAUUUCUUAGCCAAGUUAAGUUCUAAAUGAAACUAUUAUAGUGAUGAAUUUACACCUAAUGGGGCUGAACGGGGAGAUUGUUAGAAAUAUGUAGGGUCUAGCCACAUGUUUUUGGUUUUGACCAAUUAAAAGGCUUAAAGCCUUUUUUGUCUUUGGCUUAAAAGAGCCUUAGUUAAUAAAAAGAAUAGGGGGCUAUGUUAAAAGGUGAGAAAUAGAGGGUGGCGCUAAAACCAAAGGAAAAAGAAAGCCAAGAAAAAUAGAAAGAAAAAGAAGAAAGGAGAGUUAAUUGAACGAAAAUUGACCCGUGAUCCAAUUAAGCUAAAAUUUUAUCAACAUGUUUAUAAUUCAGAGUUUUACAUUCUGAACGAUAAAUAUCUGGUUUGAAACUCUCUAAGAACAAAUCUAAGGUGUAUUUGUUGAGUCACUUAUUUAGUGAGAUUUCUCUAAUUGUCUCUCUAGUUGUUGAUUAGCUUUAGUUUUAAUUAAAAAAGAACUUUGUAUAUCUAUUAUUUGAUAGUGAAUAUUUUUUUAGUGGUCCGUGAUUUUUUUUUCUUACAUUAGAAGGUUUUUCACGUAAAUUUUAAUGUACUUUAUUUUUCCUGUAUUGUUGAUUAUUGGUUAUUAUUUAUUGUUGUGAAUUUAUUACAAUAUGUUACUUUUACAUUAUUGUAUUUGUUGCUUCAAGCUCAAUAGUUUCCAUGCCUGUAAUGUUAAUAUUAGAAUGGUACAGCACUACAGCUAUCUAUUUUUUGAAGACAAAGAUAGGAUAAAAACGUACAAAGGUUAGGAGGCUUUCACCAUGCUCCGAAAGAUGAAAGCCAUUGUUCCUUUUGCCGCUUAUUAUCUCCAGUAAGAGGGCUCCGAAACUGAAAACAUCGGAUUUGACUAAAAAAGUCCUUCCAUAGCAUACUCUAGUGCCAUGUAUCCACUAUUUCAGUUCACAGGAAUAGAUAAAAUCAGGUUAGAUUAUGGAAAUCUCAGAACAAAGAAUCGUUAAGUUUGAACAUUGUGCAGUCGUAAAAUUGAAGAAUGAUUACAAAUUUUAGAUUCUAAAGGGCAGCCAUGUUCCUCUGCAAAAUAAACCUCAGCAAAGACUGUGAUCAGAUGUAUAUUGCUUUUCCAUUUUACGAGUUCGAUGAUGAUUCUUUCUUUUCAAUAAAAUUUUAUUUGACACAGAUGCAAUGUUAAAGAUCAAAAGAAAACUACUGAAGAACCUAGAUUGAUAAAAAAUAAAAGAACUGUGAGUCUAGAAGUGCAUGGGAUAGUGGACUUACUAUGUUCCAACCACUCUAUUUGUAUUUGCUUCAUUUUUAUUUCCACCAAAAAUUCUUGCCAUUCCAAAAUCUGAUAUCUUUGGGUUCAUCUCGUGAUCUAGCGAAACAUUGCUAGUUUUAAGAUCCCUAUGAAUAAUUCUAAGACGAAAAUCCUCGUGUAAAUACAGGAUGCCUCGGGCAAUGCCAUUAAUAAUGCUAAGACGCUUCUGCCAAUCCAGUUGCACACCAAUGCUUGAAUCUGGAAAAGAACCCCCCAAAAGAAUAAUAGUAGUUAGUUGAUUUUUUACCAUAUUUCAUGACGAAUCCUGUUAAUAAAUAGAAUGACUAAAGCAGAAACAAGAAUUUUUUGUUUGAGGAUCAAACCAAAGAGGAACACAUCAAGGCUUUUAUUGGGCAUGUAUUCAUAGACAAGCAGUUUUUCGUUUUGCUCCAAGCAGCAGCGCAGAAGUCUCACAAGAUUUCUAUGUUGUAGUCCGGCAAUUAACAUGACUUCAUUCUUGAACUCAAGUAAACCUUGCCCAGAAGUUCUAGAGAGCCUUUUAACUGCAAUUUCUUUACCAUCUGCCAAUUUGCCCUAAAAGAAGGAAUGAAAAAGCGUCAUAGAAGAACUAAUUAUGCGAAGUUGAAGGGGUCCAUCGUAUACUAAAAGUAUAAUGCACCAUCACCAUAGUCACCUUGUAUACAGGGCCAAUCCACCUUCUCCAAGUUUAUUUUCAUCACAAAAUUGUUUUGUUUCUGUUCGUAAAACAUCCAACUGAAUCGAAGGGAACUCCUUAGAUCUCACCCCACUCUCACCUUGAAAAUUUUCAUUUGAGUAAUCAUCGCUAACUCCUCAUCCUAAUUCAAGUAACUGAACUUCUUGGCUGUUAAGAUCUAUAUUCUCUUCAAUAGAAAACAAUUAAUUGGCAUAACAAUUGAGUCAAGAAAAAAUAAAGUGGAAGUAAGAUCCAAUGCAUACCUUGAAAAUUUAUCCUUCUCUAAAGGAAAAUACCUCCAGAACAGAACAGAGUGACGCCAAAAAUCGCGGAUAAACUUGCAACAAUAGGAAUCCACUUUGAUUCGCCUUGUUUGCCACCUGCUAAGUCUGUUACUACAAAAGAAAGUGAUCUUUCAGUUGAUUUUUAGUGGAAUAAAUUUCUUCUUGCUGUUUCUGUUUUGCAGAUAUUAAUUACUUUGUUAUUAGUUUCUGUGGCAGUUAUUUUUCCUUCUUUCUUUUUUGAUGGAUGAAAAUUUCAGUAUUUAAAAAUUAGACAAGCUAAAUUCUCCAGCAUCUGAUGAUACUAACCGUUUGAGCCACUUGUUUUGUUUACUGAAGGAAGGGGUGCUUCUGAUUCAAUUCCAGGAUUCUUGGUUAUCGUAGUGUUUGGUGAUUGGUCUCGAGGUUUUCCAUAAAAUGGAUGUGUCUCACUCUCAUACCUGAUGUUACAGCUUGGUCGUAAAACUCUCGCACCUUGUUCUCCAGUCGCGAAAGAUGGGAUUACAGCAAUUGAUCUACGUAGACAAAUAUAUAAACUUGCUUAUCAGAAAUUCUUAUGAAUAUUUACCCUAUAAUCCUAUAAUUCUCUAACAUAUUUUUUUAUAUCUAAAGAUUUUAUUAUUUAUAAAUAUACAAAUUUAUCUAUCAAAAAUUCUUUUUCUCUUAUAUUUUUUUCUCUUGCAAGUUUUUUAUCUAUUACACAAUAUUUAAUCAAUUUUAAACAAAAUUUUUAUGAACUUUAAAUCACUAUUCUUAACACUAUUUCCUAUAUCAACUUGUCAACGAACAUUAGAAGUAUUAAUAAUUAAUUAUGUCUUGCAUGCAUAGUAGAGACAAAAUUUGUUAAAACUGAGGUAAACGAAAAUAAGUGUCAAGCAUUAAUGUAUUAAAAGGGUGUAAACGUUGGAUGUCCCGUUAACAGAACAAUCUCAUACAUAUUAUUGUUACAUUUUAUUUGAAUAAAAAUGGAAAAGAAAUUUUGAACAAUGCUCCUAUCAUGAGUCGAUUGUUUGCAAAAUCAAGAUAGUGUUAACAUGCUUAAAACCUUCACGAUUUAUAAACUGAUAGAUAAACGUUCCAAACACAAAGCUGCAAAAAUUUCUUAAAAAUUAUUAAAAUCCAUGCUUGAUGCAAACUUAACUGAAUAAAAUUAUAAGAAAAGCCACAGCAAUGCAGCGUCUGCAUCUCCCGGUCCUUGUUGAAUCUAGAUAAAAAAAACACUAAAGAUUGAGAUGUGACCAUUUCUAGAAGUAAAUGAGCACGGCAUCUGGCCAAAAACAGAAGGGAGAUUAAUGCGAGGCUAGAACUAGUCCAUGGCAACAUGGGAAAAUUCCUUGGUUUGGUGGUUAAACUCUGACUUUGACAAGUCAAAAGUAUGGUAGUUAAUUCGAAAGCUAAGUCCCUUGGUGUGUCAACAUUUUCAUGUAGAAACAUCAUCGAAGGUGUCAUCUGUUCUCUGCCUAUUUCUGUUCUUUAGGAACCAGGGCAAAAUUCUGCCGCUGACUUGGACAUCUUUAUUAGAGAACUGAGGAUUGCUGCUAGUUUAAAAUAUAAUGUAUCUCAUAUUACAUAAAAAAAAAUUAAUUAUUGAAUAAAAUUAAUUUUUAUAUUAAUUUUAUUUAUAUUUUAAAUAAUUAUAUUUGAAUAAAAAUAAUUAUUAUAUAAUAAAUUAUCAUAACUAUUUAAAUAUAAAUAUAUUAUUGUUUAUAAAAAUUAUGAUUAUAUAAAAGGUGACAACCAUUUGAAAAGAAAUUUAUAACUGUUCAUUUAUUAUAAAUAGAUCUUUCAGGGUAAUCAUUUUUAUUAUUUCUGAUUGAAAAGUUUGAAACUUUGUUAUAUCCUAAAAGUAUAAUUAUUUAAAAAAAAAUGUUUUGCACAUCUCAAAGUUAAAAUUAAUUUUCUAUUAUUUCUCUUUUUUUAUUUAUUUUUUCUAAUAAUUUAAAGAUAAUUAUGAAUAAUUUUUUAUAUUUCGUAUUUAUGGAGAUGCAAGAGAAAGAAAUUUAUAAAUGUUUUGGUGAAAUCCAAAUUCUUGAAAUAAUUAUAGAUAAAGAGAAAAAAAUUCUCUACCAUGAUGUCAGAUAAGUUUUUUUUUUUAAUUUUUAUUCAAAAUUAGUAUAUUAUUAAUUCAUUGUUUGAUUCUGGUGCAUAAAUCCAAUUUCAUUAUUGUUUUUCAUAUUACUUGGGUUUUUGGAAUUUAUUAAUUGUGCAUUUCAAAAGUUUCACUGAAAUGGAGUUUUUAAAAUUGUAUGCAUGAAAAUUGUCAUUGCUUUUGGAUUGGAUAAUAAGCCAAGUGCAAGUUUAUACAUGAAGUUAUAAUGUGAUUAACUGAAAUUGGCUAAGAUAGUAAGCCGAAAUGGGCUCUAUAUAUAUGAUUAAAAAUGGAUUUAGACAUAAUAAAUGAUCUCUUUUGUUCAAUACUAAUGAGAAUUUGGAAAAGAAAAUGAGUUUUAAGGAAACUGAGAUAAUUGAUUGGGAUCUUUGUUCACAAUAAAAGUUAAUAGAAGUGAGCUAGAAAUGGAGUGUCCCAAUAAAUUUAUUUUUAAUUAUUUGUGGUUAAUUAAUACAUAUAUUAAUUAAAUGCUUGUUUAUUACUUUUUUUAUGCUUAUAUCGUUUAUUCAUGCUCGUAUUAACAUGCUUGGAUUUAAAUGGAACGUUUAUAUAACGGAGUUAAAUGGAACGUUUUUUUUUUUGUUUUUUUUUUUCUUAAAAUUUUGAUCAAAGCUCCUGUAAGUAGAGGCUCAAUGACUUUUAGAAAAAUAAAUGGCUCCAAAGGCUCAAUGACUUUAGAAAAAUAAGUGGCUCCUUUAAUCGGAGGCUUCAAUGACUUUUUUUUUUAAAAAAAAUAAAUGGCUCAUUUAAUCAGAGGCUCAACGACUUUGAAAAAGUAAAUGCUCAUUGACAAUCAUGUCUAAAGGAAUUGAAAAUCUUGUUUGAAAGAAUUUCAGGAGAUUAUGCCCAAAGAUCUUAUAAAUCAACCCUGAUACCAAGAGACAUCCUAUUUCAAGGAUUAGGAACUUACCUAACAAGUUUCUUCUCAAAUUUGAAAAUGUCUUCACAUCUGUCUUUUUUAUGUGGGAUUUUAGAAUACCCUUGCUUCUUGAAUUUAUGUAGAAUAUGCUAUGCAAUGCAUAUGAAAUUCAAUGCAUGUUAUGCAAAUGUUGGCUAAUUAACUUCUAUUCAAUUGUGGUACUCAAGUUUCUCAAACCCUUUUUUUAGGCCUCGAACCCUUGAUUCUUCAAAGACCCAAUUACACUGCUUUUCUAAGAUCGAGCCAGUAUAGCUCUCAAUCAUCUCUUCCACUCACAUUCUUUCUAUAAAAAAUCUCUUUACAAAUUCAAUGUCCUUAUUAGGAACUGAACAUCUCAAUCGUGUCUUUAUCACUCUUGACUUAUUCAAUGUAAUGUAAAAAUCUUUCAUGCCAUUAUUCAUUCAUCAAUCAUUAUUUCAAACUCAAAAAGUAAGAAUGCAUUUGCAUAUUUCUUCCAUUGUAGGGUAUUAAGUAGAAAAGAAUAAAAAUGGUUAAGAAACAGUAAAAAAAAAAAAAAGACACAAAGAGUGAAAUAUAAUGUCUUUUAUUAGCAAAAAUGUUGGCUAAUUUUGGCCAAGGGAGAAUUACAAGGAUAAGAAUGGGGAUAAAACCCAAAAUGAACAAUCAGAUAAUCAUGAUAACACAUCUCAAAGUUUUUUUUGAAAAUCCAACCCUCUGAUGUAUUAAACAACUUAGAGCUCUUCCGAAUUUGCUAGUUCUCCAUGCCAGCGAAUUUUCAAAUUCGAUGCCGUAUUCUCUUUAUCUAAGCUGUCUUUUCAGGUUUUCAACUUAGACAAACCCCCUAUGACUCACACCGCCCUUUUAGGGUUUUCAUCUUGAAUCUUUCUUUUUCAUUCACUUUUUUUCUUUUUUCCUUUUUUUUUUUUUUCAUUUUUUUUCAUUUUUUUCAUUUUUUCAUUUUUUUCUUCAAGCAUAGUAUUUUUUCACAGCAUCAGAAUUUAUAAGAUGGGAUAAAUUAUUUCCAUCCAUCUCAGUCAGUAUCAAUGCUCCACUUAAGAAAGCCCGUUUCAUUACAUACCGCCCUUCCCAAUUCGGAGUCCAUUUUUCUCUACUAUCGUGCUGGAUUGGAAGGAUUCUCUUCAAGACCAACUCUCAUUCUUAAAAGCAACGGGGUCGAAUCUUCUUAUCAUGAGCCCUCAUCAUUUUUCUUUGAUAUAGCUGACCAUGACAUAGUGCAGUCAAUCUCUUUUUCUUCUAUGAAAUUUAACUGUUCAUAGCGUUCUCGAAUCCAUUCAGCUUCUUCCAACUUAACUUCUUUUAGAACCCUCAAAAAGGGGAUCUCUACUUUCACUGGUAGUACAACUUCCAUCUCAUAAAUCAAAUAAAAUGGGAUUGGCCCAGUAGAGGUGCGAACUAAUGUUCGAUAUGCAUAUAGUGCAAAUGGUAACUUCUCAUGCCAAUCUUUAUAAGUCUCAGUCAUCUUUUUCAGAAUCUUUUUUAUGUUCUUAUUGGCUGCCUUAAUUGCCCCAGUCAUUUUCAAACGGUAUGGUGCCGAGUUAUGAUGCUUGAUCUUGUAUUGAGCACAUAUUUCUUGCAUCAUCUUACUAUUUAGAUUCUUGAUAUUGUCUGAAAUAAUUCUCUUCAAAAGUUUAUAUCUACAGAUGAUCUCUCUUUUUAUGAAUUUACAAACCAUAGAUCGUGUCACACUUACAUAUGAUGCUACCUCUACCCAUUUUGUGAAGUAAUCUAUCAUCACAAAAAUAAAUAUGUGCUCAUUAGAAGCCUUUGGGGUGAUUGGACCAAUGACAUCUAUGCCUCACAUUGAGAAUGGCCAUGAUAGUGCCAUAACAUGUAAAGCAGAUGGCGGGACAUAGAUCUUUUCAGCAUAUAUCUGGCAUUUAUGGUAUUUAUGAGCAUAGUCAAUGCAAUCAUUUUCCAUCAUCAAUCAGUAAUAUCCUACUCUCAUGAUCUGUCUCGCCAUCAUAUGUCCACUAGUAUGUGCACCACAUAUUCCAUUAUGCACCUCUUCAAUAAUGUUUUUCGCUUCAGUCUUACUUAUACACCUCAAUAAUACUUGAUCCCGACUUUUUUUGUACAUAAUAUCCUCAUCUAGAAAAAAGCUCAUAGCCAAUCUUCGGAUGACCCUUUUAUCAUUUUUUGUUGCUUGAACUGGGUACUGCGGAUCCUUAUAUACUAUAAGAUGUCAUAAUACCAAGGCUUUCCAUCUUCUUCUUCUUCUACAUUAGAGCAAUAAGCUGGUAUACCCUUAACAUCUAGCUUGAUAGGCUGAAUGUCAGUACUGUCAUUAAUUCAAAUCAUUGUAGCCAGAGUAGCUAAUGCAUCAGCAAUCAAAUUCUCUUCUCGAGGUAAGUGGUCAAACUGGAUAUCUUCAAAUUAUUUCAUCAACUCUAGAAUAUACUUAUGAUAUGGAACGAGUUUUGAAUCUCUCGUCUCUCAUUCUCCUUUCAAUUGAUAUAUAACUAGAGCUGAGUCCCUGAACACUUUUAAUGCUCUCACUCCUCUAUCUAUAGCAGCCUGUAAGCCCAUGACAUAUGUCUCAUAUUCAGCGAUGUUAUUUGUCCAAUUAAAAUUUAACCUUGCUGUUACAGGGCAGUGUUGUUUUUUUGGAAAAAUCAAAAUUGCCCCAAUUUCAUGCCCCAAGGCAUUGGCAGCUCCAUUAAAGUACAUUCUCCAACAUUUUUCUCCAUGCUCCCUUUCCUUUAGUUGGAAAAUAGUCAUUAGGUCUUCAUCAAGGAAUUCUAACUUCAUUGGCUCAUACUUUUCAGUAACACGAUCUGCAAGAAAUUUUGCUAUAGUGCUCCAUUUUAUUACUUUUUGACUCACGUAUAUAAUAUCAUAUUUCGAGAGCAUUACUUGCCAUCUAGCAAUUCUUUCAGACAAAAAAGGCUUCUCAAAGAUAUAUUUAAUUGGAUCCAGUUUUACUAUGAGUCAUGUAGUAUGAUAGAGCAUAUACUGUCUGAGUCUUUUGGCAGUCCACGCUAAUGCACAACACAUUUUCUCCAAUGAGGAAUACUUGGAUUCAUAUUCUGUGAACUUUUUACUCAGAUAGUAAAUAGCUAUCUCCUUUCGACUAGACUCGUCUUGCUAUCCCAACACAUCCCAUUGAAUUUUCACAUACAGUUAAGUAUAAAAUUAAAGGUUUCCCUGGAACAGAUGGCACUAACAUUGGAGGGUUCGAUAAGUAUUGUUUAAUUUUAUCAAACGCCUCUUGAUAUUUCUCAUUUCAUUUUUCAGAAUUAUUUUUACGGAGAAGCUUAAAUACGAGAUCACAUUUGUAAGUAAGCUGAAAGAUAAAUCGAGAAAUGUAGUUCAAUCUCUCAAAAAAACCUUAAACUUUUUUUGGUGUGUUGAGAGGUGAUAAAUUUUGAAUGACCCGUAUCUUAUCUGGAUCGACUUCAAUUCCUCUUUCACUAACCACAAAGCCCAGUAACUUCCCUGACUUUACCCUAAAAGUGCACUUGACUGGGUUUAAUUUAAGUCAGAAUCUUCUCAACCUCUCAAAUAACUUUCUGAGGCUGGUGACAUGAUCUUCAUCCUCACAAGACUUUGCAAUCAUAUCAUUUACAUACACCUCAAUCUCUUCGUGUAUCAUGUCAUGGAAGAGUGUUACCAUGGCCCUUUGAUAUGUUACCCCAACAUUCUUUAACCCAAAAGGCAUGACUUUGUAACAAAAGGUUCUCUAUAUAGUCACAAAAGUAAUCUUUUCCAUAUCAUCUACAGCUAUUUUUAUCUGAUUAUACCCUGAGAAAUCAUCCAUAAAAGAGAAAAUCGAAUGCUUAGCCGUGUUAUCCAUCAACGUGUCGAUAUGAGGUAAAGAAAAGUUAUUCUUUAGACUAGCCUUAUUCAAGUCCCGAUAGUCUACACACAUUCGUACCUUUCUAUCUUUCUUAGAAACUGGUACUAUAUUGGCUACCCACUCUGGAUACUUAACCACUUGUAGAAAACCUGCAUCAAAUUAUUUUUUUACCUCUUUUUUGAUCUUUAGUAGCAUUUCAAGCUUUAUUCGUCUUAGUUUCUGUUGAACUAGCUUACAUUCUAGCUUUAGGGGUAAUCUGUGCUCCACUACCUCCGUGCUCAACCCUGACAUAUCCUGGUAAGACCAAGUAAAUACAUCUAUUAAUUCUUGAAGUAGGUCUGCCAAUCGUUGUCUAUCUCCUGAUGAAAGUGAAGUGCCCAUUCUGACAUCUUUCUUAUUCUCUUCACCUCUCAAAUUCAUUAAGUCAACUAUAUCCUGAUGAGGCUCAAUUGGUUUAUUUUCUUGUUCAAUCAAUCUCAUUAGGUCUGGAGGCAUAACAUAUUGCUCAGAAUUCUCUUCAUUGUCAAGUUCAUCAAUGUUAAUUAAAUUCUCAAAACUAACCUUUUAAUCGUUAUCAUGAUUAUCUUCAUGUUCAUUUAAAGACCUGAAAUUGGAUGAAAUGGGAUAUGUUGGUAAGAUGUGCUUGGAAAGAUGAAAAUAAUAAAGACACAAGAAGAAAUGAAUGAAAAUGCAUCUUUUUUAUUUUUUAUUAAAAAUAAUAAAAGAUAAAUGGCCCAAACAAGAAAGAUCACCCCAAUGCCUUGGACGAUAGCUAUUGGGAUGUUACGAUUACAUUGUAUUAGUCUAAAAAGUCACAGACAUCUCGAUGGCACUUCAAUUAUUCAGCUCAUAAUCUGGUAGACAAAGGUGAACCCACUCCUUUUGAUUAAGCCUCACUUCUCUUCAACAACAUUAAUGGUUAACUGGGCAAAAGUGUUUUCCACAUUUUUUUCUAUAUUUGGGUACAUGAAUCCUCCAGGUAUAAAAGUCUCAUACAGGUGUGGGAUAACCAUUAGUCUUGCUGUCUUUCCUUUCGACCUUCUUUUGACCUCUCAUUCUACCAUCUCAUAGCCUAAGCCUAAUCUAUCGCUAUUGUUUAUCACCAUCGGGGGUUUUUUUAUUCCUUGCAGGUUCUUACCCAGCCCCAGUCUUAGAUACCAACCCUUAUUGAUGACUUGGCCCAUCACUAUCCUUGAAAAGAGUUAAUUUUUAAAUCCUUCACCUAUAUAAUUAACCAAUUCAAAAGAUCGAUAAGAGCAUUUUAAUGCUUUUUCGACGGCCUCUACAUAUGGAGUAUUCAAUGGUUAGGUCACUAGCAUGUCUUCCUCCCCAACUACCAUUACUAAUUGACCUUCUACAUUAAACUUGAUCUUUUAGUGCAAAGUAGAGAGCACAGCUCCUGCUAUACGAAUUCAUGGCCUUCCUAACAUACAGCUAUAGGAUGGAGAGAUAUCCAUCACUUGAAACUUCACAUUGAAAGUACAUGGCCCAAUUUGUAAAGGCGUCUCGAUAUCCCCCAAGAUUUCUCUUCUGGUCUCAUCAAAAGCUCUUACAAUCAUCUGACUAUCUUUCAUAUGAGAGUAGUCAAUGGGUAACCUUGCCAAAGUUGACAUAGGCAUGAUAUUGAUAGCAAAACCAUUAUCGAUAAGGACCUUGGCUAUGAUAUGGCUCUUGCACUUGAUUGUGAUAUAUAGAGCCUUGGCAUUUCUUUUUUCCUUCAAAGGAAUCUUAUCAUCGCUGAACGAAAUUUGAUUCGAUAUGACUAAAUUUUUAGCCAGGUGGUUUACAUAUUUAACAGAUACAUUAUGUGCCACGUAUGCCUGAUUCAACACUUUCAGUAAGGUAUUUCGGUGUGACUCUGAGUUUAACAGCAGUGAUAGUAAUGAUAUUCGAACUGACAUUUUAUUCAACUAUUCAACAACUGAGUAUUCACUAUGUUUUACCAGCUUCAGAAAUUCACAAACUUCUCUUUUCGAUAUUGACUUCGAGCAAUCUUCUUCAGGUUUUAUUUCAAGAUUAUUUAAUCUUUCUUCUUCCUUGGCCUUCUCUCUUCUAGCCUUCUUUAGUAUUUCUGAAGUGUAGCACCUUUCACUUCGGGUAAUACCUCUUACACCAAUUAUGUUGAAAGCAUUAGGUUUGGAGACAUCAUCUUUUUACCCCUGAAUUACAGUAUCACAACCAUAUUUUCAGGGUAUAAAUUUAUCGUCCUUGUAUGGAAAGAAAGUCAAAACUUUAAAAGUUACUAGCCUAGGAAUGAGUUUGUCUAUGUAGACUUUGGCUUGUUUUCACAAUGGAUUGUUACCGAUUUUGGAAAUAGCUUUACAGGCUUAUCAGUCAUGGACACCUCCACACUUUUUAAGUCUUCUCUUCUUUCAUAGACUUUCAUUUGAUAUAAAUCCAAGAGUUUUUGUAUCUCUUGGUGAAACUGCUCACAGGUUUCAAUAGAAUGGCCUAUUACCCCACUAUGAUUAGUCAAUGCAAUCAUUCUCUAUCAUUAACUAGUAAUAUCUUGCUCUCAUGAUCUGUCUCACCAUCAUAUGUCCACUAGUAUGUGCCUCACAUAUUUUAUCAUGCACUCCUUCAAUGAUUUUCCUCACUUCAGUCUUACUUACGCACCUCAAUAAUACUUGAUCCUGGCUUUUUUUGUACAGAACAUCUCCAUCUAGGAAAAAGCUCAUAGUCAAUCUUCGGAUGACCCUUUUAUCAUGUUUUAUUGCUUGAACUAGAUACUGCUGAUCCUUAAUAUACUGUAAGAUGUCAUAAUACCAGGGCUUUCCAUCUCUUUCUUCUUUUACAUUAGAGCAAUAAAUUGGUAUACCCUUAACAUCUAGCUUGAUGGGCUGAAUGUCAAUAUUGUCAUUAAUUCGAAUCAUUGCAGCCAGAGUAGCCAAUGCAUCAGCAAUCAAAUUCUUUUCUCGAGGUAAGUAGUCAAACUGAAUAUCUUCAAAUUAUUUCAUUAACUCUAGAAUAUACUUAUGAUAUGAAACGAGUUUUGAAUCUCUCAUCUUUUAUUCUCCUUUCAAUUGAUAUAUAAUUAGAGCUAAGUCUCCGAACACUUUUAAUGCUCUCACUCCUCUAUCUAUAGCAGCUUGCAAGCCCAUGACACAUGCCUCAUAUUCAGCGAUGUUAUUUGUGUAAUUGAAAUUUAACCUUGCUGUUAUAAGGCAGUAUUGUUCUUGAAUUACCCCAAUUCCAUGCCCCAAGACAUUGGUAGCUCUAUCAAAGUACAUUCUCCAACAUUUUUCUCCAUGCUCCUUUUCUUCCAGUUGAGAAAUAGUCAUUAGGUCUUCAUCAGGGAAUUCCAACUUCAUUGGCUCAUACUUUUCAGUAGCACGAUCUGCAAAAAAUUUCGCUAUAGCAUCCCCUUUUAUUAGUUUUUGGCUCACGUAUAUAAUAUUAUAUUUCGAGAACAUUACUUGCCAUCUAGCAAUUCUUUCAAACAAAGAAAGCUUCUCGAAGAUAUACUUAAUUGGAUCCAAUUUUGCUAUGAGCCAUGUAGUAUGAUAGAGCAUAUACUAUCUAAGUCUUUUGGCAUGCACAACACAUUUUCUCCAAUGAAAAAUACUUGGAUUCAUAUUCUGUGAACUUUUUACUCAGAUAGUAAAUAGCUUUCUCCUUUCGGCUAUACUCGUCUUGCUGUCUAGCACACAUCCCAUUAAAUUUUCACAUACAAUUAAGUAUAAAAUUAGAGGUUUCCCUGGAACAGGUGGCACCAACACUGAAGAGUUUGACAAGUAUUGCUUAAUUUUAUCAAAUGCCUCUUGACAUUUCUCAUUCUAUUUUUCAAGAUUAUUUUUACGGAGAAGCUUAAAUAUGAGAUCACAUUUGUAAGUAAGUUGAAAGAUAAAUUGAGAAAUGUAGUUCAAUCUCUUUAGAAAACCUCAAAUUUUCUUUGGUGUGCUGAGAGGUGACAAAUUCUGAAUGGCCCGUAUCUUAUCUGGAUUGACUUCAAUUCCUCUUUCACUGACCACAAAGCCCAGUAACUUCUCUGACUUUACCCCAAAGGUGCACUUGGCUGGAUUUAAUUUAAGUUGAAAUCUUUUCAACCUCUUAAAUAACUUUCUGAGGUUGGUGGCAUGAUCUUCAUCCUCACAAGACUUUAUAAUCAUAUCAUCUACAUACACCUCAAUCUCUUUGUGCAUCAUGUCAUAGAAGAAUGUUACUAUGGCCAUUUAAUAUGUUGCCCCAGCAUUCUUUAACCCUAAAGGUAUGACCUUGUAACAAAAAAUUCCCCACAUAGUCACGAAAGUAAUCUUUUCCAUAUCAUCUGCAGCCAUUUUCAUCUGAUUAUAUCCUGAGAAACCAUCCAUAAAAGAAAAAACUGAAUGCUUAGCCAUGUUAUCCACCAGUGUGUCGAUAUGAGGCAAAAAAAAGUUAUCCUUUGGACUAGUCUUAUUCAAGUCUCGAUAGUCUACAAUAUUCGUACCUUUUUAUCUUUUUUAAAAAAUGGUACUAUAUUGGCUACCCACUCUGGAUACUUAGCCACUUGUAGAAAACCUGCAUCAAAUUUUUUUUUACCUUUUUUUUUAUUUUUAGUAGCAUUUCAGGCUUCAUUCGUCUUAAUUUCUAUUGAACUGGCUUACAUUCUAGCUUUAGGGGUAAUCUGUGCUCCACUACCUCCGUGCUCAACCCUGGUAUAUCUUGAUAAGACUAAGUAAAUACAUCUACGAAUUCUCGAAGUAGGUCUGCCAAUCGUUGUUUAUCUCCUAAUGAAAGUGAAGUACCUAUUCUGACAUCUUUUUUAUUCUCUUCAUCUCUCAAAUUCACUAAGUCAACUAUCUCCUGAUAAGGCUCAAUUGGUUUAUUUUCUUGUUCAAUCAAUCUCAUUAGGUCUGGAGGCAUAACAUAUUCCUCAAAAUUUUUUUCAUUGUCAAGUUCGUCAGUGUUAAUUGAAUUCUCAAAGCUAACCUCUUUAUUGUUAUCAUGAUUAUCUUCAUGUUCAUUUAAAGACCUGAAAUUGGAUGAAAUGGGAUAUGUUGGCAAGAUGUGCUUGAAAAGAUAGAAAUAAUGAAAACACAAGAAAAAAUGAAUGAAAAUACAUUCUUCUUAUUUUUAUUAAAAAUAAUAAAAGAUAAAUGGCUCAAACAAGAAAGAUCACCCCAAUGCCUUGGGCGAUAGCUAUUGGGAUGUUACGAUUAUAUUGUAUUAGUCUCAAAAGUCACAGGCAUCUCGAUGGCACUCUAAUUAUUCAGCUCAUAAUCUGAUGGACAAAGGUGAACCCACUCCUUUUGAUUAAACCUCACUUCGUCUUCAACAGCAUUAACGGUUAACUGGGCAAAAACGUUUUUCACACUUUUUCUUGUAUCUGGGUAUAUGAAUCCUCCAGGUCUGAAAGUCUCAUACAGGUGUAGGAUAACCAUUAGUCUUACUGUCUUUCCUGUCGGCCUUCUUUUGACCUUCCAUUCUGCCAUAUCAUAGCCUAAGCCUAAUCUGUCGCUAUUGUCUAUCACCGUCGGGGGUUCCUUUAUUCCCUACAGGUUUUUACCCAGCCUCAGUCCUGGAUACCAACCCUUAUUGAUGACUUGGCUCAUCACUAUCCUUAAAAAAGGCUAAUUUUUAAUUCUUUCACCUACAGAAUUAACCAAUUCAAAAGAUUGAUAGGAGCAUUUUAAUGCUUCUUCGGUAGCUUUUACAUAUGGAGUAUUCAAUGGUUGGGUCACUAGCAUGUCUUUCUUCCCAACUACCACUACUAAUUGACCUUUUACAUUAAACUUAAUCUUUUGGUACAAAGUAGAGGACACAGCUCCUGUCAUGUGAAUCCAUGGCCUUCCUAACAGACAGCUGUAGGAUGGAGAGAUAUCCAUCACUUGAAACUUCACAUUGAAAAUACAUGGUCCAAUUUGUAAGGACAUCUCGAUAUCCUACAAGACUUCUUUUUUGAUCCCAUCAAAGGCUCUCACAAUCAUCUGACUGUCUUUCAUAUGAGAGUAGUCAAUAGGUAGCCUUGCCAAAGUUGACAUAAGCAUGACAUUGAUAGUAGAGCCAUUAUCGAUAAGAACUUCAGCUAUGAUAUGGCUCUUGCACUUGACUGUGAUAUGCAGAGCCUUGGUAUUUUUUUUUCCUUCAAAAGAAUCUUAUCAUCGCUAAAUGAAAUGUUAUUCGGCAUGACUAGAUUUUCAACCAGGUGGUUCACAUACUCAACAGAUACAUUAUGUGCCAUGUAUACCUGAUUCAAUACUUUCAAUAGGGUAUUUCGAUGUGACUCUGAGUUUAACAGAUGAUAGUUGAGUUGGCAUUUUAUUCAACUGUUCAACAACUAAGUAUUCACUAUGUUUUACCAGCUUCAAGAAUUUACAAACCUCUCUUUUUGAUACUGGCUUCGAUCAAUCUUUUUCAGGUUCUAUUUCAGAAUUAUUUCAUAUUUCUCCUUCCUUGGCCUUCUCUCUUCUAGCCUUCUCUAGCAUUUUUUAAAUGUAGCACCUUUCACUUCGGGUAAUACCUUCUACACCAGUUAUGUUAGAAGCAUCAGUUUUAGAGACAUCCUCUUCUUGCCCCUGAACUACAGUAUCACAGCCAUAUUUUUAGGGUAUAGCUUUGUCAUCCUUGUAUGGAAAAAGAGUUAAAACUUUAAAAAUUAUCAGCCUAGGAAUGAGUUUGUCUAUAAUAGACUUUGGCUUGUUCCCAUAAUGGAUUGUCACUGACUUUAGAAAUAGCUUUACAGGCUUAUCAGUUAUGGAUACUUUCACAUUUUUUAAGUCUUCUCUUCUUUCAUAGACUUCUAUUUGAUAUGAAUCCAAGAGUUUUUACACCUCUUGGUGAAACUGCUCACAGGUUUCAAUAGAAUGGCCUAUUAUCCCACUAUGAUAUUUACAACUAGUGUCGACUACAUAUACUCCAUGAUAAUUAUGCAGACUCACCAAUUGUAUCAUGUCAGCUUUUCACAAAAUAUCAAACAACUGAUUAAGAGGUGUCUUAAUAUCUACCAUUUUUUUCUUCACAUAACGCUCUUGUUCUUUACUUAUAGCAUUCACAUUAUGAUUCGGUAAAGGAUUGCCAUUAACAUUCGGUGCAGUUACCCCUCCUAUAUCAAAGCAAAUCAUUUUGUCUUUGAUCAACCGUUACACUUUACAUUUCAGGGCAGUGUAAUUUUUGAUGGAGUGACCAACGAUCCCAUAAUGGUAGUCACAAUGGGCUGUGGGAUCAUACCACUUAGGAUAAGGUGACUUAAGGGAUUCCAAUUUACUAGAAGUAAUUAAAUGACUAUUGUAAAGCUCCUUAUAUAAUUCUGUAUAAGUCAUUGGAAUUGGGUCAAACACAGGUUUCUCACGGGUAGUUCGUUGCUCCCGUGAACCACCCAUGGGGUUAGUUGGGUGAGUUUGAGGUUUUGGGGUAGGUUGAUUGUUAGGACUGUAUGUGGUAUUUUGAGGCCUAUGAGGGGUUUGAUAUGUUUGGGGUUAAGGUGACUAUACAAAUGGUUGAUAUAGGAAAGAGAAGUGUUAUUUAUAGUAAGGUAAUAUGAUAGGUACCCUGGUGGUGAGUAGGGUUGAUAGCCCCCAAAUUGCUGUCUAUCAAAGCUCACAACCUGAGCUUCAGUUUCUUUCUUCGAGACUUUUUUGCUAGAUGCUUCAUUUCUUUUCAGCUUACCAUUCUUGAUGACACUCUCAAUAAUUUCUCCUAAGAUUACCAUAUCAACAAAGUUUUAUGUUACAUUCCCUAUCAUAUUUUCAUAAUAAGGAGGUUUCAAAGUGCUAACAAACAGCACUGUGGUCUUUUUCUCAGUCAGUGAAGGUUGUACCUGAAAAGCUAUAUCCUUUCAUCUCUGGGCGUACUCUUUAAAAGACUCAUUUACCUUUUUUUUCAGGUUCUAUAAAGACAAACGAUCAGGAGCCAAAUUGAUAAUAUGUCGAUAUUGACUGAUGAAGUCAUGAGCCAUAUUACUUCAAGAGCGAAUGCGGGUCCUGUCCAGCUGAACAUACCAUCUGGCAGCAGAACCAGUAAGGCUAUCUUGGAAAACAUGCAUCAAGAGUUUUUCAUCAUGAGCAUGAGCUGCCAUCUUCCUACAAUACAUGGUGAUGUGAGUUUUGGGGCACUCAUACCAUCAUAUUUUUUAAAUUCUGGUACUUUGAACUUAUGAGGAAUGACCACAUCAGGGACUAAGCAAAGCCCAGCAGCAUCAACUGAACCAUAAAAAUCAAAACCUUCUACAGCCUGUAGCCUUUGUUCUAGCAUACUAAUCUUGAAGCUUUCUUGAGUUUUCACUCUUAUCUUUUUUUUCUCCUUCUCUUUGAAAUCAUCUAGAUCAGGAAUUGGUUCUACUACCUUUUCAGUAAAGACAGGAUUUACAUAGCUAUUAUAAUGCCCUGGGUUAGAAGCUAACGGUAUUCCAGGAUAUGUUGGAUAUGUGAAGUGUUACGGUGGAACCUCUUGAGCAGACUGGGCUUGAGAGGGGCCAAAACUUAGAGGAUACAAAAGGUCAGCCACUUCUUACAAUAGGGGAACUUGUUGGCUUGUAUUUUUUUCAACUUUUUUUCCCUUAUUUAGCUUAUUGAGAGCAUCCAGAAUCUCGCUCAACUUACUUUCAAUCUUUUCCUAUGCUUUUUCUAUCUUUUCAAAUUAUGAGAAUUUUUUUGCUCCAUUUGUCUGGCUCUGGAUCUUGUGUUGUAUCGAUGGACAAGGUUCUCGCUAGAUGGAGCUAUCUUUGAACCUUGAGUACCAUGUCUUAGAAUUAGUAAAUUUGUAUGACUAUCAUAUGGUUACUUUAUGAGAAUGCAAUGAAUGAAAAAUACAUGUAUGCAAAGAACAUUUGCCUUAAAAGCGGUAUUCAACUAAAAGUUUUCAUUUAUUUCAAAAACUUUUUAUCUACAAUGAGUUUAUCAUCCUAGAAUUAUAAUCAUAAAAUUAUUUGAUCUGUUCAUAUUGAGCCUUGACUUCCUUAAUGAAGUUCAACAGAUGCUGUCCAUGUUCUCUUACUAGGGUCACCACUUUUUUCAAUGCCUCUACCUCUUCCACCAUCUCUCUUGCCUUGCAUACCCCUUUAUGGAUUUGGAUCGUUAGGUGCUCAAUGUAUUUUUGUCUUCCUAAGUUCUCUCUUUUACCAUAUCAGACUUGGUAUGAUAAUUCUCUAUGCUCCCUAACCAAUGCAGUAAUGUGGUCUUCUUGUUCAUUCAACUUUUACCUUAGCCUACUCAGAUAACUAUUUAGCAUGUUACUCUCUAUCUGUACUUGGGUUCUUUCUUCUUUCAAUUUAGCUUACUCUUGCUUCAAUCUUGCAUUUUCUUCAGUCAGCUCGAUAAUGGUUAUUUCUUUGGCCCUUUCUCUCACAUAUAACCUUUUAUGCUCUUGGUGUAGCUUUGCUCAGUCUUCAAUAGCUGCAUCACGUUCUUUAGCAAUCUUGUGAACUUUAACUUCAUGACUUUUAACUCUAUUUUUUCAUUGGUCUUUUUCUUCUUGAAGCUUUCUGGAUUUCUUUCUUUAACUUACCCUUUUUCAGACUCAAAUUCUUUUGUUGCAAGCUCUAAUUCUGAUGGUGUCUCUUUGAGUUUAAUUUCUUUUUCUUCCCCAACCCGAUUCGAUUCUUUUAUUUAUUUCUUUUUUCUUACGAUACGACAAUUUUGAUUAUCAGAUUUUUUUAAUAAAGCAUCAGUCUACGUUUGAUAAUUUUGAGUCAAUUGAAGCAGAUACAAAAAGAAUUCAAAUACAAAUUACAGGGCGUAUCGACGAAAAAGAAAUUACGCGUGUCGAAUGGAUCCGGGAAGGUAGGGUUCCUUUACAAAUGAUUGGAGCAAAAAUUGAGUAUUGCUCCUAUAGAGUUCGAACUAUCUAUGGGGUAUUAGGAAUCAAAACCGCUCUUGCAAUUGGGUCGUUGCGAUUACGGGUUGGAUGUCUAAUUGUCCAGGCGGUAAUGAUAGUAUCUUGUACCUGAACCGGUAGUAAAGUUUUUAGUUUUAAAUUAUUCGAUAUGCACGUUAAUCAAUUUUUAAAUUAUGGAUAAAUACAAGCGAUCUUUUCGUAGGCGUUUGCCCUCGAUCCAAUCGGGGUAAGUUUUCAAGAAACUGCUCGAGUUUUAGCAAAAGCUGCUCUCCGAGGUCGUAUCGAUUGGUUGAAAGGCCUGAAAGAGAACGUCGUUCUAGGGUGUAUGAUACCCGCUGGUACCGGAUUCAAAAGAUUUUUUUUGUUGGUGGUUGAAAGAUUUCAUAAGUGAAUACCAUUUCUUGUCUUCUUUUUAUUCUCCAAACUAAGUACCAUGGAGUGACUUUAUCAGUAAAUGGUUCAAGACUCACUCUUCAAGGAUUUUUCUAUGCUUUAAUCAUCUCAUUCAUCCUCUGAAAUGCUUUAGGCUCAUUGUAAGAAAAAUCUAACUGAUGAAGCCCAUAAGUCAUAGGAAUGAAUUGUUCUCCCCCAAAUUUCCUUCUCACUAGGAGUGGUGAAUAAUUUGCCGUUCCCCAUAAACCCAGAAGUGGGACCACUAUACUAUCCCCAUAUUGAUACAACAUAAGCUCACGAUUCAUCUAUGGGGCCAACCAUUUCACCUUGGCGCUGGUCAACUUUUGUAGGAAAGUUAUCCAUUCCUUUUUAGACUUUCGUUUUGACCACCCACUUUCACAGAAUUCUUUGAUCGGAGCACAAUUACGGAUAUAAAGCUUCGAGAAAGCACCAUUUCCCCAUUCAAAAUGGCUUUUCAUCCAUAAGUACAAUAACUGUAUGCAACCUAUGAAGUGCCCUCCAUUCCGACGAUAAUAACUCAAAAAUCUGAUAGUCUCUGCUAAUAUUACCAUUGAAAGAUUACAACCAUUGAUCACACUCUCGAAGAAGUCAACCACCGCUAUCUUAAUAUAUCCCAAAACCUUUGAAAAGAUCACCAUUCCGUAUACGGUCAAGGCAAAUAUAUCUAACCCCCAUUCUUCAUUGGCAUGUUGCACCAGAAACUCACGAAAAAACUUCCAAGGUAGGUAAACCUAUUCUUAUUUCUUCUUUGUAUGAGAAUCCACAAUUUCCUUGUCUAUCCCCAUGAGUUGAGCCAGACCUUUACAAAAUCUUAACUUGUAUUUUUUGACAUAUAUUUUGUCAGGAGCCUUGAGGUGCAAACCUAACAAAAUCGAAUAUUCUUCGAUGGUGAGAGUCAUAUAAGCUUCGUUAAAGAUGAAACACUUGUAUGUAAGAUCCCAGAAUUGUACUGUAACUCUGAUUAGUUGAUCAUCAAUAACUACUGUUAGAAGGUGUGCUAUAUGACCAUGUCUCUAGCAAAACUGCUCUUGUCUUGACGGACUCAUCUUCCUCUAGAUAUCAACCAAAUCUUUUAGAUUAUUCUGUUUGAAGAGGAUAGAUAUUUUUUGAGACAGAGUAGAAUCAUACCCGAUUAGCAAGCAAUCUCCCAUCUUCAGUUGAAUCUUUUCUGACUGGGCCCUUACUUUUGUUGGGUGUCUCACAAGGUGCUAACACGGAUGAAGAACAAACUAGUCGUUCAGUGGAGUCCAUGAAAAAUUUUGUUGAAGACCGUCUUUCAAGCAAAUGUUCUUUAUGCAACUUUAUGAUAUGCGUAUGAACCAAUGCAAAAGAAUGAAAAAAAAGUUAGUAUGCCUAGAAAAAAAAAAUAAAAAAAUAACUAAGUAAAUUAAAACAUCACACAGAAAAAGAGGAAUGAACCCUAUACUUCUGGUCAAUUCUAAAAAGGAAGAAUGAUAGCUCUAUCUAUAGGUUAGGCACUCUUAAUGUUCUCUAUAUGUGGUUUAAGGUCAAAGUCUAAAGGUUUCCAAAUUGCUCCUUACAUCCUUGUCUAUCAUAGACUAGUAAAGCACCCUAAUCCUCACCCAUUACAGGCUACGAGCGAAAAAGGUUCAAUUUGAGUGGAAGUAUUUCGCUAACCACUACGGAGGCAUUAGACCUCACGAAAGCAAUAUGUAUUUUACUCCCUCCUAGAGGGACGGAGCUUGGGUAUAGAGCUCAUGUUAUGCACAUGUAUAUAAAUGACAUAAUUAACAAAGUAAAUAAACAUGAAUGAAUAAUAACAUAUAUACAAAAAGGUUCAAUUUUAUUAGGCUUUUGGAUAACACAAAUUAUUUGCUGGCCUGACUCUCAGAGUCUCCAGUGGAGCGUUAAGCUGUCAAAACGUCUAGAUUCAAGGAUUUAUUGCUAGACAUUGACUUAAGGAGUCACCACCAAUCUUUUUUUUUAUCUAGGUACGAUUGGCCACCUAAAGAAUCUGUCCUUUCAGGGAACGCCUAAGUUUAAGGGUCCCUAAAAGAAUAGGUUCAGGUCUACUAACCAGAAUAGGGUUUGGGAGUUCGGUUACGUGUGAAGAAGGUUAUAGCACCUUCACAACGCUCAUCAAAAGAUGGUACUAGCUUAAUUUUCUGUUAUCCAAUAACCUUAAAAAUUUACCAAGUGAUUAGCUGUUGAAAAUUGUUCUCAAUUAACUCUAAUACUUUUAGCAUAAAAUUGAAAAAAUCUCAUCUCAAGAGUAUGCAAGAAAACUACUGUUUCACUCGCAGAGGCUCCAUCGUCGGAUUAUUUAACAUUAAAAAAAAUAAAAAAGAAGAAAAAAAAAUGAUUGUUUUUGUGUAGGAAAAAUUGAUACUUUCAACUUUUUCUCAAAAAUUUAUUUUUGAAAACUUAUUUUUAAGGAAAAUUGAUACUUUCAACUUUUCCCUAAAAAUAUUUUUAUUUUUGGAAACUUUAAUUUCGAGAAAAAUUGAUACUUUCAACUUUUCUUCAAAAAUAUUUUUUGAAAAAAACUUUAAUUUCGAGGAAAAUUGAUACUUUCAACUUUUCCUCAAAAUUUUUUUUUUUGAAAAUUUAGUUUUAAGAAAAAUUGAUGCUUUCAACUUUUCCUCAAAAUCUUUUUUUUGAAAAUUUAUUUUUAAGAAAAAUUGAUACUUUCAACUUUUUUCCAAAAAUAUUUUUUGAAAAAUUUGAAUUUCGAAAAAAAUUGAUACUUUCAACUUUUCCUCAAAACCCUUUUUUUUUGAAGAUUUAUUCUUAAGAAAAAUUGAUACUUUCAACUUUUCCUCAAAAAUAAUUUUUUUGAAUUUUAUUUAAAAAAAAUAAAAUAAUAAAAAAUGAAAAAAAACGAAAAUAAAUAAAAAUAAAAAUAUUAAACAAUUUUGAUAUAAUAAUAAUAAAUAAAUAAAAAUAAAAAUAAAAAUAAAAAAUGAAAAAAAAAAACUUGGAAUGGCUCGGCUAACGGCUCGGCUCGACUCGGCUUAAGGAAGAAAAACGGCCAGGAGAAGCAGUUCAGGAGUGUCGGCUCGACUAACAGCUCGAAAAAACGGGUUGGAAGCGGGUCGAGGCUCGGGUUGGGUCGCCCGAUUUCAAAACACGUGGAUCUUAUUGGCACAGUAACGCCAAAACGACAUCAUUUUCAGUGGAUAUAAAAAGCUAAUUCAUUCAUUUUUUCAGCAGACUGAACCUUCCCUCUCUCUCUCUUCCUUCUUCUUCUCUCUUUUCUCUCUAAAAUACCCGAAUAACUUCGGUUGAAUAUUUACAGGAUUCUAGAAAUUUCGUCAGAAUCUGAGUUUUUUGCUGAAAGUUCACCGAAAAGUUAGUUGGCUUCUGGAAAUUCCUACCGAAAACUGGGCAGCUAGCCGAAAAAUUCAAACUUGGCCGGAAUAGAGUCGAAAAAUUCAACCUUCGUUGAAAAAUUCAACCGAAAUCUAAAAAUUUUUCAAAAAUUUUCAGAAAAAAAAAUUCACAAAAAUUCUCCAAAAAUUCCUACCGAUUCCUAGAGCUGUUCUAAACGUACCAAAACCUUUUUUACUUUUAAAUCUUCUCUGUAUCUGCCUUUUCUCUCAGCCAGUAACUCUUUCUCUAUGUUUUUUCCUUUGAUCCGAGGGUCUUUUUAUAAGAAUUGAUCAGAAGAGUUUCUGAUUAAUCUCAACUCCUCUUCGAAUUGAGAUUCAAUCAUUGAAUCCAAUAUGAACUCUGAUUGAAUCCCAAUUCAUAGUAGGAUUCCUCCAAAACCAAUCCAAUCUUCCACCGAAAAAAAUCAAAAAAAAAAUUAAAAAUAUUAAUAUAUAAUUAAAUGAAGAUAAUUAGAUAAAUAAAAAAAUUAACAGAUAAAUUACCAGUAAUAAUAGAUAAAUGAUAAUAAAUAUAUAAAAGAUAAAGAAAAGAAAAAAAGAAAAAAAUAUAUAUAUACAAAAAAUAUAAAAUAAAAAUAAAAUAUAAAAAUACAAAAAUAAUAAAAAAUAAAGUGAACCAACCUAUUUGGACCAGGCCCAAUUGAUCCGGACCUGGACCAAAUUAGGUGUCUACACACGUGCCUAAAAAGUCCAACCACAUUAUUAAUGUCACAUCACGUCGAUGUCAUAUUUAAAAGAAAUUUUCUAAAAAAUUAUAAAAUAUUUAAGCAAAUUUAAAUUUUUUAAAAAAAAUAGGAAAAGCACAAAAAGAUUCUAAAAAGUAUUAAAAAUUUUAAAACAUUAUAGAUUUUUUUAAAAAUAUUUUAAAAGUUCUCAAAACUUUGAAAAUUUUCUAAAAAGUUUUAAAACUUCAAAAAAAAUUUAAAAAAUUUAUAAAAAUUCUAAAUAAUUCUAAAAUAUUUUAAAAAAUUCUAAAAAAAAUUUAAAUUUUUUUUAAAUUUAUAAAAAAAUUAAUUAAAAAACACUAAAAAAAUUUUAACAAACUUCUAAAAUUUUUUAAAAUGAUUUUUAAUGUGCAAUUUUUUUAAUUUCUCAAAAUAUUCAAAAAAUUAUAAACAACAUUAAAAAAUUCUAAACAUUAUCGAAAAAUUAUAACAAAAUUUUUAAAAGUUUGAAAUUUAUAAAAAAUUAAAAAUAUGAAAUAUUUUAAUAAAUUAUAAACAUUAUCAUAAUGUGAAAAUUUUUUAAAAUUCUGAAAAUUUCUUAAAAAAUAAAAAAAUUCAAAAAAAGUUUAAAUUGAUAAAAAUUUAAUUUUCUUAAAGUUUAAAAAAUACUAAAACUUAAAAAACUAAAAAUAAGAAAAAAACCAAAAAAUUUUAAAAUCUUUUCAAAAAUUAAAUAACUUCAAAAUUUUCAAACAUUCUUUUAAAAUUCAAAAAUAUAUAAAAAAAUAAAAUUUAAAUUUAAAUAAAAAUCCAAAACAUAUAAAAAUUUUGAAAAAUUAAAAAAAUAUAUAAAAAGCUGAAAUUGUAAGAUUAAAAAAUAUGUAAAAAUUUUAGAACCUUUAAAUUUUUUUAUAUUCUUUUAAAAAAAAGUUUAUAUUCUUUUAAAAAAAAUUUUAGUUUUUCUUUUUUUUUAAAUUUAACAAAAAUUUAAAUUUUAUUAAAAUCAUCAUUUUUUCUUUUUAUAUUCUUUUUCUAUUUGAAUUUUUAAUUCUUUUGAAUUUUCAAAAUUUUUUAAUUUUAAAAUUUUCCAGAAUUUUUUAGAAAUUUUUAAUUUUUUUAAAUUUGUAAAAACUUUUAGAAUUUUUAAAAAAUUUAAAAAAUUUUAAUUUUCUAAAAAAUUUUUGAAAUUAUUUUAGAAUUUAUAGAACUUUUGAAAAAUUUUUAGAAUUUUUUAAAAAAUUUUCAUAAUUUUUUAGACUUUUUGAAAAUUUUAAUAAUUUUUUAAAAUUCUUUUUUAUUUUUAAAAAUUUUUUAGAUUUUUUAUUUCAAUUUUUUAAUUUUUUUUAAAUUUUCAAAAAAAAUUUAAAAAUUUUUUAAUAUUUUUAGAAUUUCUUAAACUUUUUUUUUUUUAGAUUUUUUGAAGUUUUCAAUUCUAUGAAUUUUUAGAAAAUUUUAAAAUAUUUUUAUAAUUGUUUUCGAAUUUUUUAGAAAUUUUCUUUUAAAUCUAAUGUGGGCAUAACAUGGGCAUGAUAGUGGCAUGAUAUGGUAAUAAUGAUUUGGCAUUUGGCUAGACUUUUGACACGUGUCAAUAUCUUAUUGGAUAUUCAUAUUAUGUUAGCAAAGUUAACUAUCUGCGUUAGUCAAAGUUACCAGUAUGAUAACGAUUUGAAAGCUCAGGUAACAAUAUGAUAGAAAAAUUUUUUAAGUUCCAAUGUGACCAAAAUUACAAAAUUCAGGGCCUAAAUACGUAUUUAACCCUAUACUUUAUAGUUUAGGUAAUAAGUAUAUGCAUUAUUAAUAUAAUGAUUAUGACUAUGUAUAUAUCCAAGGUAAAAUGCACUUAUAUUUAAUAUAUCCAUCAUGCAUAUUGCAUUUGUAAGAGAUCUCCGAAGGAGAUACUAUGGAAUUAUAAUAGAAAAACAUAUAAAAGGGUAAUGUUCAAUAGUGGUGCCAUAAAAAUCUUAGCAAUGUUAAGAAUAUAAGGCAUAUAUCCAUUUUUAUAUUUAUAUGUAUAUCACUAAAAAUGAAUAUUGAGUUUUUCAAGUCUUUUAAUUUAAUGAAUGAACAAAGACCAUUUAAUGAUGUUAAAUUCAUGGUUUCAUGGGUUAUCACAUUUCGUGGCUUGAAUACAUAUUUUGUGAAUUUUGCAUAUGGUAAUGACUUGAAACAUCCAUGAGCCUAGAAUUGGAUAUGGAGAACAUAUGCAUGGUUUACCAUAUAUUAAGAAAAUGAAAAUGGAUAACUGCUUGAAUGGAAACUCAAAUUAUCUUAUUAUUAGUAUAUAUGGCAUUUACAUGCAUAACAUUGAAAAUAAAAGUGGACAAGUCUUUAUGGUACACGAGUUUUUAUAAUUUCAGGGUAAGGGUAUUGAUGAGAGCUUAUAUAUACAACAUUAAUAUAUGGACUUGAUAAUGAUGAUAGCUUUCAAUAACCUCAAUCCUUGGAAUUGAUCACUAAAUGAGUUAUUCAUGGAGAAUUAGGUAUGACCCUUAAAUGAAUCGUGCUUUUGAUAAAUUUAAAAAUAUUUAUUUGUAUAUAAUACAUAAAUGGGUUUUCUUAGUGAUUUUUGCAUAAAAGUGAUAUUUGUUUAAUUUUAUUUGAUAAUAAUCAUGGCUUGUAUAAAUGAUUUAAAUCUUAUUAUUUUAUUAAAAGUUUUGAGAUAUAGUGAAAAUAUAAAAUUAUAUUCACUUUGAAAGUCAUGAGUGAUUCAAAUAUUUUAUGAAUAUAAAAAAAAAUAGCAAGAUGAAUGCUAUUUGAUCCAUUUGGGUGAUGGACAUGGUUUUGCUCAUGACAAAAUUAUGGUUAGUAGUGUUCAUGAUGAAAUAUAUUCAUAAGUUUUCAUGAGUUCGCAUAAAAGUCUAAAUAAAAAGAUUUUAAAAAACAUAAUUUUACUAAAAUAAAAAAAAUUAGAGUGAUUAUAUUUGACAUCAUUCUUAUUGAUAUAUACUUUUAUACUGAGUUUAAAUAAAAGUUUGAAAACUUUUAUAAGAAGAAAAUAUUAAGAUAUAGAAUAUUUGCUAGUUAUUUUUUACUAAAGGUAGAUUUCAAGGUCUCCUACUUAAAAAAAAAAAAUCACCUAAUAGUGAAAAGAUAAAUGUAAUGGUAACUUAAUUAAGUAUAUAUGAUAUCUUGAUAAUUAAAUAUGGCAUUCUUUAAUAAAAGAAUACAUAUUUUGCACAUGAUGGAGGUGAUAAGAAUCAAAAGAUAUAAAAUUCACCAUCAUAGUGUUGUAAGAUUUUAAAUAUAAUUUUAUGAGCAAAUUAAUCAAGCUAGUAAGUUUAGUACACUUAUUAAAAUAAAAUCAUAAAAAAGUUCAUAAAAAUUUUAAAAGGAUUAAAAUGACUUGGUUUAUUCACUGAGUUGAUCCAAUUAUAUUAGAAGUAUAAUUAUAUUAAAGAUGUAUAAAAGUGUAGAAAUAGAAUGGUUGAAAUUUAUGAAUAUAGAGUUGUUGCCAUAACCAAUAUCAUUUUAUUUUUUAAAAUGACAAGAACAAGGUAAUAAUAUCUAGAGCAAAUAAAUGAUAUGCAAAAUGAAAAGUUUGAACAUAUUAGUUUGAAGUAAUUAUAUUAGAGAUUCAAUCUCAAGUGGAAAUAAUUAUUAUAAAAAAAAAUUGAAUUCCAAAAUAUUUAGUUAGUAGCACUGCAAGUAUAAUAGAUUUAAACCCUAGUUAUUAGACACUAAUAAUAUGAACUCAACUUUGAAUUAGUAAUAUCUAAUUACAAAGUUUAAUAGGUAAAAAUAAAUUAUUGUUAUGUAUUUGUUAAGCACUAGUAAAAUUCAUUUAAAUUUUAGAAACUAAUGUGAUUCACUGCGUAUGAAUGAUGUGUUUUUAUAUUUUUAAUGGAGUUUAUUAUUUAAAUGUCUAAAGCAACUGGGAUAUAAUGAAAAUUCUACCUAUAUAAAUAUAAAAGUGGUGUUGCUUCGACAAAAAAAUUUAUGAUUUAUAAAUAUUUAUGAAUUUGAUAAGCGCAUGGAUAUAAUAGUCUAAAAUGGUUAUAAAUCUCUAACAGAAUAAUAAAUAAGUAUUAUGUGUGUUAUAUCUUUAAUUUUAAUACUAUGAGUUAAGGUUUAAUUAUUGAAUAAAAAGAUUUAAUCAUUGAUGAAUAAAAUUAAUUUUUGUACUAAUUUUAUUCAUAUAUUAAAAUAAUUAUAUUUGAAUAUAAAUAAUUAUUAUAUUAUAAAUGAUCAUAACUAUUUGAAUAUAAAUAAAUUAUUAUUUAUAAAAAUUAUGAUUAUAUAAAAAGUUAUAAUCGUUUGAAUAUAAAUUUAUAUAUAUUUAUUCAUUAUAAAUUAUUCUUUUUGUAUGAAUAUUUUUAUUAUUUUUGAUUAAAAAAUUUGAAAUUUUAUUAUAUCUUAAAGACAUAAUUACUUUAAAAAAUAUAUUUUUUAUAUCCCAAAAUUAAAAUUAUUUUAUUAUUAUUUUUUAUCUUAUUUAUUUUUUUUAACAAAAUUAUGAAAUAAUUAUUGAGAAUUUCACACGUUUUAGAAGACAAAUUUGAUUACAUGAUAGAAAAAGAGAUUGACUCAAAUGAAAAAAUUAUUUAUCUUGAAGUAAAAAAUUUGACUUUAAAUUCAAUUGAUAAUUUUUUAAAUUAUAGGGUAUAAUACAUUUUAUUUUAAAAAAUUUCAUAACUUAUUUAUCUUUAAAUUUUACGUAAAAAAAAUUUGAUUACGUUAUACCUUUCAAAAUAUUAAAAAAAAAAAAUUAAGUGAAUUGUUAAGCAGAGACAAGGCAGAGAGUAAAACUUGAUACUUUGUAAGAUUUAGUCAUAAUCAUACUAAUUCGGGUGAAUUUUUUUAAGAUAAAGUUGGCUUUUUUUUUUUUAGAAAAAAAAAAAAAAAGCGAAAGCAAAUAUCUUUCUCUGAAAUGGGGAAGUGGGAUCUGUGGACUGUCAAAUCAAUCAGGCAAUGACGGUGAUUGAUAAAGAUGCAAGAACUUUGCUAUGGUCUAAUCACCCUUCUCAGUCCCAAUCAAAAGCCAUAUUUAUUAAUUUAUAGUCUCUCGGAAAGUUAUUCUUGACUACAUCGAGAUGACACUGAAAAGUAAGGUGAUUGAAAAUUUGUUAACGACGGCGGAAGUGAAUGAAUGAUAUCUAACGGGCGGUUUUUAAUUCCUGGAAAGUUGAAUCAGUCUGGAAAUCAUUUAAUUAUUUUCUUACUAUUAGAAGGUGAAGGUAAAAAGAUCAUUAUAAAAAUAAUUGAAAUAAUAUGUAAAAAAUUCGUAAGAGAUUUCACAGAGAUUUGGUCAGCAUGUUUAAAAAGAUGUUAUCCGUAUUUUUUAUAUACGUGCUGUUACGAGGAAUAUUAUAAGAAUUAUUAAGAAAUUUUAAAUAAUUAUGUAUUUGACGUUUGUUUUUUUUUAAAUUAUUUAAUAAAAAAUUAAUAUAUCUAAUUUUAUAAGAAAGUGAUAUUCAUUAAAGUAAAAUUUAAAAAUUUAAAUUUUAUAUUUUAUAAUUAAAAAUUUUUAAUAUAAAAUGAUAAUAAAAUUUUAAAUUUAUCACUUUUAUAAUUAUAUGUCUAUUUAAUUUUAUCUUUUUUUUUUAAUUAUUGAUCAAAAUUUAUUACUUGUAUCUACUCGCAAUGGAAAAAGUUUCCCUUACACAAUUCAUAUUCCAUUGUGCCGAGACCUUUUUUUUUUUUUUGCCGUUUCAUUUGUCAAAUGAUCAGAUAGAAGAACAGUCGUAUUAUUAGAGAGAGAGAGAGAGAGAGAGAGAGAGAGAGAGAGAGAGAAAUGUGGUCUUACGAAGUGGGUACUCAGCUUCGCCAUAGUUUCUGCUACAUGUCAACUCAAUUCUCAGGAGGUAGUGCAUUGGAAAGGAAUUAUAGGAUCUCCACACACAGGUAACAAAUUAUGGAGUCGGCUACGUUCAUGAUUUCAAGAAUAACAGUAAAAAUAUCAAUUAAUUGUUGUAUAAAUUUCUUAUAAAAAUGUAUCUAUCAUCAGGCUGCUAGCUACUCUUUCUUCGACUUAACUGUUAUAGGUUGAUUUACAUACUUGUGCUAAUGAUGCUGAAUUGUUUGAAAACAUCUACUUUUGUUUUAUCUGGGGAAGAUUAUGCUUCCCAAAAUGACUUGUUCAAGCCAAGAUAAUUCCACAAUAAGCACAUUUACAGGUUAAAUAUAGCUUCUUCAUUAGUAUAUAAAAUUGAAAGAGACAAUUGAUAAGCAACUUAUUUGAUUUAAUAAAACAUGUAGAAUACUGCAGAGAAUCAAGAAUUUGGGGGGUAAAUAACUCUUGUAUGUCCAGUUUAUACAUAAGGUGACUGGAUCAAGUACACAAGUACCACUACUGAAUCAUACCAAAAAUUCACAAGAUUGGCUGAAAAAGGACUUAUUCAAAAUUGGCAGAUUGCUAUCUAUACUGAGGAAGCAUCUAUUAAAUUACUUUACCGAGAGUCUAAUUCAGUAAUCGAUGCUUCAUUGAUAGACCAUGGCAUUGAUUCAUUAGUAGAUUGAUCAGAUUCCAGCCCCCAUGCUUGGCAUACUUCCCUCUGUUCUGCUGUGAAGGAAAAAUGCCGGUUGGUUAGGCAACAGUAGUGGAACAGAGCAACUGUUAAGCAUGAGAACAAUGGUAGCCAUCGUAGGCCUGUCAACUCGAUUUUUCUGAACACAUACUAAUGAUUUUAUUUUGUUGGAUCUAAAUUAAUAAUCACAAUAAUACAGAAGUAAUAUAUCGUGAUAAAUUUAAAAUAAUAAAUAAUAAUUAAUAAUAAAAAAUUUUAAAAAAUAAAAUACAUCAAAAUUUAUAUGAGAAAUCUUCUAACGUAAAAGAAAAAAAUCACGAACCAUAAAAAAAAUUUUCACUAUUAAAUAAUAGAUAUGCAAAGUUUUUUUUUUUUAGCUAAGAUUAGAGCUAAUUAACAACUAAAGAGAGAUAAUUGGAGAAAUCUCAUCAAAUAGAUAACUCAACAAAUACACCAUAGAUUUUUUUCUAGAUAUCUUCAAACCCGAUCUUCACCAUUUAAAAUGUAAAACUCUGAAUCAUUAACUUGUUGAUAAAAUUUCAGUUCGAUUGGACCACAGAUUGACUUCCAUUCAAUCAACUCUCCAUUCUUUAUUUUCUCUCUUUUUUCCUGACUUUUUUUUCCCUUUUUUUUUUUUUAAUUUGCAACGCCAUCUCUUUUUUUCACCAAAACCAGCACUCACCUUUUAUUAUGUAGGGCACUCUUAAGGAAGCCUAAAACACAAAGCCCAUGACUUUUAAAUAGUCAAAUAACACAUGGGGCUAGACCUCACAUAUUUUAACAAUCUUUCCCUCCAACCCCAUUAGGAAAAAAUUCAUCACCAUAGCAAUUUCAUUUGGAACUUACUUUGGUCAAGUUACUGUAGAGCUCAAGUUUCUCCCUGAAAAGUAUUUUAGUUAAUAUAUCUGCUACAUUCUCAUCAGUAUAAGCUUUCUUUAAUAGCAUUUGUUGUUUCUCAAUCAAUGAAUGUAACCAGUGAUAUCUAACAUCAAUAUGCUUUGUUCUAGCAUGAUACAUGACGUUCUUACUCAAAUCUAAAGUACUUUGACUAUCACAAAAUAUCACAUACUCUUUUUGAUUCAACCCCAAUUCAGGAAAAAAAUGUUUCAUCCAAAGCAUUUUUUUACCUGCUUCAGUUGCUUUAAUAUACUCAGCCUCUGUAGUUGACAAAGCAACACACUUCUAUAAGUUAGACUAUUAAAAUACAGUUCUUCCUGCAAAAGUGAAUAAAUACCCUAAAGUAGACUUUUUACUAUUAAGAUCACCUGUCAUGUUAGCAUCAGUAAACCCUUUUAGAACUAGUUGUGAAACUUCAUAAGUCAAGCAUAUUUUUGAGGUGCUUCUCAAAUAUCUAAAAAUCAAUUUCACUACUUCUUAAUGAACUUUUCUCAGAUUAAAAAGAAAUCUGCUUACUAUACUAACUACAUAAAUAAUGUCAGGCUGAGUACAAACCAUAAGAUACAUUAAAGAAUCGACUGCAGAAGAAUAAAGAAUACUAGACAUAGCUAAUUACUUUUUUUUAAUCACCGACAAGAUAUUUUACUUAAGUGAAAAUGGUUAGCAAGUGAACUGUUAAUUGAUUUAGCAUAUUACAUGUUGAAUCUAUUACGCACUCGUUCAACAUACUUUUUCUGUGACAACUAUAGCUUUUCAACUAUUCUAUCUUAGAUAAUAUCUAUAUCGAGAAUCUACUUUAUUGGACCUAAAUUCUUCAUAUCAAAAGACUUAGACAAUUAUUCUUUCAACCUGUAAAUCAUAACAACAUCUUGUCCCACAAUUAAUAUAUCAUCAACAUAUAAUAAGAGAAUAAUAAAGUUACCAUUAGAGAAUUUUUUGACAUAUACAUAAGAAUCCACUAUUGUUCUUUUAUAACUGUGGUUCACCAUAAAAGAAUCAAACUUUUAUACCACUAUCGAAGAGCUUGUUCUAAACCAUACAAGCUUUUUUUUAGUUUACAAACUAAGUGCUCUUUCCUUUUCACUUCAAAAACCUCAUGCUGAUUCAUAUAAAUGUCUUUCUGUAAGUUACCAUGCAAAAAUGUAAUUUUAAUAUCAAGUUGCUCAAGUUCAAGAUUCAAAUUAGCUGCUAAUCUUAGCACCACUCGAAUGAAACUCAUCUUAACAACUGGAAGAAAGAUCGUAUCAAAAUCGAUACCUGAUUUUUGAGAAAAAUCUUUUAUCACCAAUUGAGCUGUGUACCUCACUAGUUUAUCACUAUCUUUUUUCAAUUUGAACACCUAUUUAUUCUUCAACGACUUUCUCUUUUUUGAAAGUUUAAUAAGAUCAUAUGUACUAUUUUUUCAUAACUCCAUCUCUUCUUUUAUUGCUUUCAAUCAAUGCUCGUUAUCCCGAGUAGCCUACACAUCUUGAAAGCUUUUUGGCUCUCUCUCACUGGUAACUAAAAUAAAAUCUAAACUUAGAUACCUGAUAGAUAGCCUACAUUCUCUAGUAGAUCUUUUAGGCUGAGACUUUGUUAUCACUUGAUGUCAAAGGUAGCUCUCCCUGCUUAACACUUUCUGGUGAAGAAGAUUACUCUCUCUACUCAAAACUGAUUGCAUCUGGCUCAUCACAACUAUAAUUGACAAAUUCAUAUCUUCAAGUUUUAUUUUUUGCUCAUUUUUACCAUCUAUGGCCCUUUCUUAUAGAACCCCUGUCGAUGUGGAAACAUCAUAUUCAAUAGUAAUCCAUGUAAUCGUAUUAUUUUUUUCAAGGUCUGUUAUGAUUUUUUUUCAUGAAAAACUACAUCUUUGCUUCUGAUUGUCUUCCUCUUCACUAGAUCCCAUACCCUGUAGUUAAAUUCAUUAUCACCAUAUCCUACAAACACACAUUGUGUGGUUUUAUUAUCAAGUUUUGACAUUUGUUUUUUUGGCAUAUACAUGAAUGUGUUAUACUUAAAAGCUUUUAAGUGAAAGUAUGAAAUAUCUUUCUUUGUCCACACUUUUUCUAGAAUGUUAAAUUCUAAAAGAAUUGAUGGUGAUUUGUUAAGCAAAUAACAAGUUAUGUUAAACGUUUUACCCCAUAAUGGCUUUGGUAAUUUUGCCAUCCUCAACAUGCAUCUAACUUUUUUCACAAUGGUGCGGUUCAUCCUUUUAGCUACACCAUUAUGCUAUGAUGUUUUAAGUUCUAUCAUCUUAUGCUUGAUCCCAUACUUUGAACAGUAUUCUUCAAAGUUUUUAGAUGUGUAUUCCCCACCAUUAUUAGUCCAAAUACACUUCAAAGGCAAUCCUGUCAUUCUUUCUAUCAUGGCAUGAAAUUUUUAAAAAUAUUACAAUACUUGACUUUUGUUUUUUAACAUAUACACCCAAGUCUACGUGGAGUAUCAUUAAUAAAAAUAACAAAAUACUUACUACCACCUAAUGACUCAACCUUAAUGGGAUCACAUACAUCAAAAUAUAUCAAUUCCAAUCUAUUUUCUUUUCUUUGAGAAUUCUUACGAAAAGAAACUCUAUAAUGCUUACCAAAUAAAUAAUGAUCAUAUGAAUCGAGAGACAUACCUUUGGUCAAGGGAAUGAGAGACUGUUUUGUCAAAACCUGUAAUUCCUUCUCACUUAUGUGUGCCAGCCUUUUGUGCCAUAAGUUUGCUGAAGUAUCAUCCUCAAUGAUUUUUAUCUGGUUGCUGUUCAAUUGCAUCAAUGUCUUAUACAUUAUGCAAUAUAAUUUUUUUCUUGUAACUACCAUAGAUCUUUUGAGAAGGUUUCAGUGUCCAUUUUUUUGUCAACUUUUAUAUCUCUAUUUAUUAAGGACAUUAAUAGCAAGCAAGUUCAUUCUCAUAUCCGAAAUAUUUUUAACAUCCCUCAAAGUCAACAUGUAAUUUGUACUAGUUUGUACAACAAUAACACCAAUUCUAACAAUCUAUAACAUGCUCUUGUUUCCCAUCUUGGUGCAACUAAAGUCUUCUGCUUUAUAAGUUGUAAACAGCUCUCUUAAGAACACAAUGAUAUGUCGCUUAUGUGUCAACUAUCUACUCAAUAUUGAGAUCACCAACAUGAUUACAAUCACCAUGUGUAUAAAUCAAAAUAAUUAAAUCACUAUCUGAAUUCACUGUUACAAUAUUGCCAUCAUCUGAAUUCUUGUUUUUCUCAUUUUUUGGCUCUUACUUUAAGAUUUUAUAAAAUAAUUUUAUAUAAGCUACUUUAUCACAACAAAAAUACUUCACUUUAUUUUUGAACUUGGAUAUAUAUUUAGACUUACUACAACCUUUUGAGUUUUAACCUCUGUCAAUAUUUUUACCCUUGUUCUCUAUGACCAGAGCUUGAUUCUCAAGAUCUACAUCUUUUUGUUUUACUUUUUCAUUAAGCAUAUUAUCUUUUACUAUCUUCAAUGUCACAUUGUAAUUAAAAGCUGAAUUAAAAAUAAUCAUAAUUAUAGUAUUUCAACUGUCUGAUAAUGAAUUCAAAAAAAAUAACGCUUUCAUUUCAUUAUCCAUCUUAAGCUCCAUAAUAAUCAUCCGAUUAAAUAUAUCUUAAAAAUCACUCGAAUGUUUUGUAAUAGAUCAUCCAUCUCUGUAUUGUAAAGUUGUAAGCUUUUUAACAAGCAUAACUUUAUUCAUAUUUAUUUUCUCCCAUACAAUGCUACCAAUUUUUUUCAAAUAGUGUGACAUUAAUAUCCUGCUUUACAUGAUAAAACAUGUUAAUAUCAACUUAUUUUUUUAUUGUAACCAACGUCUUUCUACCUAACUUUUUUCAACUUUUAUCUUUUAUAUCUACUGAUUUAACCAAAUUACCUAAUAUCAACUCAUAUAAAUUUUUAUAAUAUAAAUGAUCUUCCAGCUUUCAAAUUGAAUAAUUUAAUGCUGUAAAUUUUAUCAUGAAACUUGUAACACCCUCUACGAACUCAAAUAGAAUUUACUUUUAUCUUGAACUACUUCUGUAUCGAUAUUUCAAAAUAACUUUCGCUCUGAUACCACUUAUUAGACCUGAAGCAAUAAUCACAACAAUGCAAAAAUAAUAUAUUGUAAUAAAUCUACAGCAAUAGACAAAAGUCAACAAUAAAAAAAUUGAAACACAUUUAAAUUUACGUGAAAAACUCUCUAAUGUAAAGAGAAAAAAAUCAUAGACCACAAAAAAAAUCUUCACUAUCAAAUAAUAGAUAUACAAAAUUCUUCUCUAGCUAAAACUAGAACUAAUCAACAAAUAAAGAGAGACAAUAGAAAAAAUCUCAUCAAAUAAAUAACUCAACAAAUAUACCUUGAAUUUAUUCUUAGAGAACUUCACACCCGAUCUUCACCGUUAAAAAUGUAAAACUCUGAAUCAUAAAUUUACUGAUAAAAUUUCAAUUCAAUCAAAUCACGAAUUAACUUCUGUUCAACCAACUCUCCCCUUUUUUUUUUCUCUAUUUUUUUAGUUUCUUUUUUCUCUUUCCUUUAGUUUUUUUUAGUUUACGAUACCACAUUUUUCUUUUUUUCACCAAAAUCAAACCUCACCUUUACCUUUUAUUAUAUAAGGCUCUCUUAAGAAAGCCUAAAACACAAGGUCUAUAACUUUGAAUAAUCAAAUAACACAUUGGCUGGACCCCACAUAUCCUAAAACAUUUCUAGAGUAAGGAUCCCUCAAAAUAGGAUCCAACAAUUCCAAUGGUGUCCCAUCUUUCCAAUGUUUCCAAGCCUGCGGUAGUUCAUCAAGUAAAGAUUCAAAAAGUUAUCCCACCUUAAAUUUUAAUUUUGUGUUUCGUAUAGGCUGAAUUAUACUCACAUGGUUAAUGAGGUCCUCAGCACCAUCUGUUUGAUAGAAAUUACUGUUCCUUUGGCCACUUGUAAUUUCUAGAACUAAAACACCGAAACUAUAUGCAUCUGAUUUCACAGAAAACUGCCCUUGCAUUACAUAUUCGGGAGCCAUGUAGCCACCGCAGAACCAUUGGCAAUGUAUGUUAACAACAAUCAGGAUAGCUUGUUAUAAAUGAUUUAGCUGUAGGUGUUAAUAUGUUACAAGGAUUCCUAAAUCCGAUUAAAAGCAGGGUAGAAUCAAAAUAAGUUUUUAUUUCUUUAAGUUGUUCAACAAUUAGGAUGCAACAACUCCUGGUUAAAUUGCCUAUCAAAGUUAUGCAAACAAAUGCUAUACAUGUUCAAAACUUACAAGGCACCAACAACUCUUCUAGCGGUUCCUUGAGUUUGAUCAACUCCAAAAAUCCUUGCCGUGCCAAACUCUGAAAUUUUUGGGUUCAUUUCACCAUCUAAUAAUAUAUUGCUGGCCUUGAGAUCACGGUGUAUGAUUCUAAGCUGAGAAUCCUCAUGCAGAUAAAACAUUCUUUGAGCAAUCCCUCCUAUGAUUUUGUAACGUCUUAUUGACCAAUCCAAUUGUCCUUGUUUUGUAGGAUCUACAAAAUAAAUAAACAAAUAAAUAAGCAGUUUUUUUCACACAGCAAAUCUAAUAUUAAGAUAUACCCAUCUAUCUCUCUUGGCAGUGUUUAAAAUCAAUUAAAAGUCCCAACAAAAUUCUUGUAACAGUAUAUUACACGUACCAAACAGAAAAUAGUCCAGACUUUUAUUGGGCACAGAUUCAUACAAGAGUAUCGUUUCUUCUCCUUCCAAGCAAAAUCCGAGUAGUCUCACUAGAUUUCUGUGUUGAAGCUUGGCAACCAACACAGCCUCAUUUUUAAAUUCCUCCAUCCCUUGCCCUGAACUUCUCGAUAACUUCUUCACAGCUACUUCUUGUCCGUUAGGAAGGGUACCCUGAGAAUGUAUGAUAACCCUUCAUUAGAAAAGCUUCCUGAGAGUUUCUCAAACUCUUUUGGACUCUGUAUGCAUGGAUAAAAUGACUUCAUAUCAUUAAAUACUAAUAAUACCUUGUAAACUUCACCAAAACCACCUUCUCCUAGCUUGUUCCUAUCUGAGAAGUUGUUUGUGGCAACUUGUAUCGUGCUAAAAUCAUACUGCAGUGACUAUUGUGGUUAUAUCGUUUCCUGCUGUAAAAACAGUAAAAUCAAAAUAGCAAAUGUCAUAUUCUGAAAAAGAUUAUCAAAGAACAAGGUGAGACCUAAGAAAUGAGAUUGUUUUGGCUCAAAAUAAGUUGUGUUUUACCAUUUUCUCCUUCUAUAGCUUUUUACUUCUUCCUUGCUCUCCAUUUUAGUAGACAACAACCCACGAAAAAACGCAGAACAGAGGCAGAAGUUGGAGCAACAAUGGCAAUAAUUAUUUACCACGAAUUUUGGCUUUUUCCUGCAGAAGCAAUAAAGAAUUAAAGAUGUGUCACGAUAAUUUCUAAUACCACAAAGCAUACUUAGAAGGUGGGGAGGAUGUGUGGAAGGCUACAACUAUCAAAUAAAAUCAAAUUCAAAUUCAUUUGUGACUUUAAUUCGAGAUAUCCCCGCAGCGCAAUCUCUCGGGAACCAGAACUUUCCCAUAGUCAAGUACUCAAUUCCACCAUGGAAAUGCAAAUUUUAGUGUCGGUAAUUUCUUGGAAGAAAGCUAUAAGGCAUAUAAUCGUCAUAAUGAUAAUUAUUUAACUGAACUAACAAAAAUAAAUAAAAAAGGCAAUAGUACGGAUGGUAUGACUGAACCUGGAGCUGCUGGAGGAGGAGUUAUCACAGACAGAGGUGCCGGAACUGAAACUGCAGUUUGAUUAUAGAACGGGUAAAGUUCAUAUCAAAUGUUGCAGCUAGGAGUCAGCACUCUUCCACCUUUCUUUCCACUGCAACAAUUAGGCAGAGCCGCUAUAGCUCUCCGCAGACAUGUAUUACAAUCCGUGCUUGAUAGGUCAGGAGUACACUGCACAAGGCUGUACAGUGUUUGAAACCCUGAAAUAUUCGCCUCUCUGGUCGCAAAGUUUGUUAAACCUAAAAUAGAAUUUACAGCCAGGUCGCUGCAUUUUAUCGGAUCAGCCAGUAUCUGGUUAAAGCGCUCUUGGUCCGUGACAUUUCCCGUGUUCAACAUAUAGAUUGCAGGUACAAUGGUCACGAUGGAAAAGAUACGUUGAUUUAAGUGAUGUAAGAGGCAAUUAUCAUUCCAAAUCACAGCAAUUUUUUCAACAGCACAACGUUGAGUGAUGUCGUUGAUGGCAGUAAAGACGCAUUCUUCGCAGCUACUAUUUGAAACAUCACCUCUCCAUAGAAACAGCCCAUAGACCACGUCAGAGUUUCUGCCAGAGGUUGUCUUGUAGAAUCGAUUGCCGCGGGUGUCGUUGGAGGAUAGAGAGGAGAGCGAUGAUUGAGAUCGGCUCGGUAAGUACUGUUUGUGGGAAAAGUGGUCGUGUUCGAACAGCUAUGGGCGAGGUGAGUUUGAUGCGCUUCAAUGGUAAAGCUAAGCAAGGAGAGGAACAACAGAGUUAUGAAGGACUUCUAGACAAGCAUUUUUU
rnacentral:lncRNA from 1 species